CUACAUCUUCUUCAUCACUUCUAAAUUUUCAGGAUUUUGAGUUUUUUUUUCUUUAUCUUCAAUGCUUGUAGAAAUUUAGGGGAAUUUGAUUGGGUUUAUAGUUUAAUGAAUUAGAAUUGAAUAAAUUAUAAGUAGAUGUUUGGGUUGGUUGUCAAUACUCGAAGAAAUUUGUAGCAAGAUUUUUUUUUGGCUCUAUGUUUCAGGCAUGUUGAAGAACAAGGAGGAUAAUGAAACUGGGGAAGAGAGAUUUGCUCUGCGGUGAAUUAGGUUUAGAGAAGAGUAAAUAAAAAAAUAAAAAAAAUAAAAGAAAAGAAAAAAAGAGGUGUGGGGUGAUAGGCGAUGGAAAUUAAUGGGGAUUACAAAUAUUUUAAUUAUUAAGUAUUAAAUUAUUUUAUAUUGUGUUUAUGUUUAAUAAAUUUAUUUAUUUCACAUUUAGUUUAAUUAAUUACUAUUCAAUCAUUUCUUAACAACAAUGGAAGAUCUUGAAGGAAAAUCAAGGGACUGUAAUUUUUCUUCCGAAGAGGAUGUAUCAUCAUGUCAAGCUUAUAUAGCGAUUAGUGAAGAUCCAAUUAUUGAAAAAAAUCAAUUAAUUACUAUAGUGUGGUAGCGAAUACAAGAAAAAAACUCACGAGUUGGUUUUGAUGGAGAUGAAAAGAGAACAACAAAAAGCCUGAAAUCCCACCAGAAGAAAAUCAAAAUUGUACAAGAUUUGAUGAAUGUAUUAUAUUGGUCAAAUAAAUUUGAGGCCAAGAAGCGGAGCAAGGGCCAUUGACAAUGUGAGUGUUAUUGAUGACGUGUUUUUUUUUUAUAUUUUAUAUAUUAAAUGUUUGUUAUUUUUGUUAUUCACAUUUGGAUGAUGAAAGACUACUGUAAUUUAGUCAUGAGCGCAAAAUUUUAACUUGGAUCACUGUUGGACAGUUUUACAAGAUGGCAAAAAAAUGAAGGGCUAUAAUCGGAAUUCAAUUCUCCGAAAGUGAAAAUAUUACUUCUAGUCCGAACCUAUUUUCUAGUCUGAGUGAAUAUGGAGGGGAUUCGAUGCCGGAGACCCAAAAUUUAUGAUAAUCAUUAAACACCAACAUAAGGCCGAUGGGGCACAAAAAAAGCUAUAAACACAAAAAGAUAAGGGCACUAUAGAUGAUACCACGAGACAAGAUGAUCAAAUGGCAAAAGUAAUAAGGAAUUACCAAGAAAAAAUUUAAGAUUAAAACAUAUUUCAAAAUUAUGAUGACGAGCAGGUCCUUAGUUGAAACUCCAAAUAGUAAAGCAUGGUUGAUUGAACAACAAAAUACCAUUAUUGCAAAAAGAUCAUCUUGUUCAUUGAAUUUUGACGAUGAUCUCUAUCACCCCGAAAUGCCUCCAUCAGAUUAAGUAUUUUGGUGUUAUUUUAAUUGUUUAUUUUUCAGAUUAUCGUUCAUUAUCUUAAAUGUCGUUAUUUUAGUUGUUAAUUUGAAUUUCUAGUGAUUUUUAAUAAGUUAUUAAUAUUAAUGUUAUAUUUUUUAUAUAAUUUCUAAUAUUGAGUUUAUGGACAAUCAAUUGAAACGAGGAUUAAUAUGAUUGACCCAAAUAUCACUUAAACACUCCAAUUUCUAUCUCGAUAUCCUUGCCAGACAUGAUCGACUAAGUCAUUUCGGAGCAUAAGAUAGCGAGUUGUAUCUCUAAGUCCAACACGGUUCUUAAAUAUUCUGAAAUAGUUAUUGGGUCUCGACUAAGCACAACAUGUUGUGCUCCACGUACUCGACAAAAUCGUCACCUUCUUGAUUGCGGUUGUCUUCCACGACCACAUUAUGAAGAAGUAUACGAGAUUUAAUAACAUCACCAAUUUGUGCAUUGUGACAUAAUCGACAAGGUCCUGUAAUAAACUCAAAUCGAUAUUGAAGAAUGCGAAAAGUUCUUUCAACAUCCUUUCGAUGUGCCUCUUGCAACCUCGUAAACAAUUGUUUAUCAUGUGCGUCCUUGCGGAUCGGGAAUUGCUUGACAAUAGUGGACCAACGUGGAUAUAUAUCAUCUACUAGAUAAUACUCUUACUUGUAUACUCUACCAUUUAUGGUAAAUCGAAUAUUUGUUGCUAAACCUUCGACAACAUCAUUGAAAAUAUAUGAGUUAUAUAAUACAUUAAGAUGAUUACACGCACCUGAUGGUCCAAAGUAUGAAUGUCGAAUCCAAGUAUUAUUUGAUGCUGCGGCUUCUAGUAUUAUUGUAGGUUUGCCAUGGCGCUCGGAAUAUGUACCAGCCCACGCAGUUUGACAAAUUUUCCAUUCCCAAUACAUACAAUCCACACUUCCUAAUAUUCUAGGAAAUCUUUGUUGCUCUGUUUUCUAAGUACUCUAACCAUGUCUGCAUUAUUAGGUCAUCAAAGAUAUUCCUCUCUAUACACUGCACUGACAGCACGACAAAAACACUUCAAAGCAUCUAAAGAAGUCGUCGCUGCUAGUUUUAGAUGCUUGUCAUUUGCAUCCGUAGGAUAUCUGUAAGCGUAUACGAAGUUCAGUUAUCAUCUUGAAAUGGGUGAGAAGCCUUGCUUUCCCGAGGCAUCCGACUUUUCCUUAAAGUAGUCGUCAAAAUGCAUGAUAUCAUUCAUAAUUCGUAAAAAUAUUUCACGCCUCAUACAAUUUCUAUUUUGAAAAUCAUCAGAAGGAUAUAAAUGACGAUCAACAAAGUAAUCAUUCAUAGGUCUGUCAUGUGCACCUAUUCGGUCCCUUAUUAUGGAAUAUCGGUAUGAUAAUGUUCAUCCAUGUUGUGUUUUGCACUUCCCCUGUGAACCCAACAUGAGUGAUUGGUAUUUCACGUACAUCGUCUUCGUUAUUGUGUGGCUUUGGUUUUCAUCGUCGGAAGAGGAGUUAUCACUUCCUUGUACCAUUUUUGUUUUUUGAUCAUAUGUAACUAGAUUGUAUAUAGAACAUGUGGUUAUUGUGUAAGGGUUGUGGAGUAGCAUUAUAUAAGACAAUGAAUAGAUAAUAGAUAAGAAUUGAAUGGCCGAGAUUGAACACGAAAAUCCAAUCCAAUGAAUUAUAGUUGGAUAAAAUGAUGAAGAUCUGGAUAAGAUGAUUAAGAUGUAAGAUGAUUAGAUAAAAUUUAAUGGAUGAGAUCGAUUGAAAUCAUAUCCAACGGUUGUGUUCAACAUUUCAUAUCGUUUUAGAAUUUUUCAUUUUUUGGAUCGAAGUGUGUAUUAAAAAUAAUUAAAAUUGUUCAAAGAAAAUUUAGUUGUCUACAACCUCUUAUAUGAAUAAAAUUUGAACCAUAAACAAAUUACUAUAUAAACUAAUCAGUAACAUUAUUUAGAGACUCGAAAUUAUAGUACCCUCCACUUCUGAAUUUUAUUUUUUAGAAACUCUAAAACUCUACUAAGUUUCUAUAUAGGUCUCUAAAACAGAAUUUGAAGACCCGAUUUGCUUAAUCCAUUUGAGAUGCCCUUAACUCUCUAUUUUAAGCUCUCAUUUGUCAAGCUGUGUGUCAGAAACUCUUAUUUAAAACCACUUAGUUUGAAAUACAUAAUCUAUUCACUUUCUAUGGCUAACCUCUCUAUCUAAAUUUUGUUAAACUGUUUCAAAAUGCAUAUUUGUACGUUGAGCUAUUUAUCUAAGCCCACAUAAAACCUUUUGAAAUGCAAUGUUGUUUGUUAAACUUUCUAACCAAUCACUAAGUUUUCUAUCUAAGUUCUCCUUUAACUAGUUUGAAAUGCAUGUUUAUUUUCUAAGCUUUAUAAGUAAGCUCCCUAUAUAAGCUCUCAUUUAAGACCUCAUAAAACAUGCAUAAGCUCGUUGCUAGAAUGCAUGUUUUUCUUAUUAGGUUCUCUUUCUAAGAUUUCUUUUAAAUGUCAUGUUUCUCUAUCUAAGCUCUCAUUUAAAUUUAUGUGUAUUUUCAUAUGGUUUUCAUCAAAUAUUUUUUUGCAUAAUCUCUUUUUCUAAGCUUCAUUUUUACAAAUGGGCUCUUUGAUACAUCCCAUUUCCUAAUAGGGAUAAGAUCAAUUUUAACUUCUCAAAUGAGACCCCCUUUCACUUAAAUACCCAAAAAAAUGUCUGCAGAAUAUUCAUUUGAAAAGAGAUAAAAGAAAAUAUGAAAUACAAUCAAAUCAUAAUUUCACUCCUAAUAUCCCCAAAUAUAACUCCCCCUAAAUCCCGCUCCCACUCUCCAAAAAAUCUCUCAUAAAUCUCACUUCAUUUCAAUUGUUUUUUUUUUUGUUUUUCCAAUAGGUUUGCCAAAAUUGACUACACACUCAUCGAAGUCCACUACAAACUUAUGGAAAUCCACUAUGAAAUUAAUGUAAUUCACUGCAAAAUUAAUGUAAUUCACUACGAAAUUUUUGUAGCCAACUUUAACAAGUGUAGAUAAGCAAAUCAUCAAUCAUAAGAAAAAACUUUGAUGUGCUUUGUGAGGAGAAACAAAAAUGGCUUAAAACUAAUGAUGUAAUUGGCGAAUUCGACAUCGAUUAUUUUCUCGAGAAACUCACAGCAGUGGAUUGGGAGACAAAUUCGACGGGUAAGAGACGGCAGAAAACGAAAGCUACACAAAAGGUGAACGGCGGCGGUGGAGAGAAAAGAGAGGGGCGUCUAUGGAGAGUAAAGACAGAUGUGCAAUGCCAGUGUGUUGUGUGUGUGUGUGUGUGAGAGAGAGAGAGAGAGAGAGAGAGAGAGAGAGAGAGUGUGUGUGUGUGCGUGUCUGUGGAUUCAUAUUUGAUAUUAAACUAGGGGUUAGAUAAAAGGGGGCUAUUAAUAUAAAAGAGAACCCCUCUAGCAUUUUUUUAAUAAAGAUGGGUCCAACCCCAUUUCAUUUAUUAGUAAUAAGUCCAACUUUUUUUAAUUCUCAAAUUUACCCUUUCUUACUAUUCACUCUCCACUACUUUAAUAUCUAUUUCAUUUUUUUCUUUUAAUUAUAAUAUUCGUUUACUUAUUUAAAAACUUUGUAAAAAUAUUUUUUUUUCAAUUUUAUUAUUUUUAACUUCCAGUUUUUUGUUUCCAUAUCGAUUAUAAAAUUCCGAAAACAGCUAUAAUUCGGAAUCAACUAUUUCCGAAAUCAACUAUUUCCAAAAUCAACUACUUCUGAAAUCAACUAUUUUCGAAAUUGACUAUUUCCAGAAUCAACUAUAGAUUGCUGAAAACAACUAUUUUUUUGUUCGUUUAUUUCUCGAACCAAGAAUCACAAAAAAUAGUUAUUUUUAAUAGCAGGUUUACUAAAACUAUAUCAACUACAAAUUAACGAAAAUCAACCAUAACAAAUUAAAAUCAACUAAAAAUUUAUCAAAUCAACUUUAAAAUUAUCUAAACCAACUAUAAAAAUCGAAAACAACUAUAAUUUAUCUAAAUGAACUAUAAAAUAAAAAAUCUCAACUUAAGAGAUUAAACAACUAUAGUUCAAUCUAGAUGCUGGACAUAACAGUCGCAUAUCCAUCGAGAAAUGGCUAUAUCUCCACCGACCAUGUGUUGAAUCCGAAGGCUGUGAGGGUGAUUUGUUCCAUCGCCACCGUCUGAACCACUCCCCAACUUCUACGUGCCAAUGACUCUCAGGUGAAGAAAGGACGCAAAUCCCUUACGUCAACCGUCAAUUACCACUCUGCCACAUCAGAUCGCCGCUGCGGAUACCUAAAAUGAUUUCAGAAAAAAUUAGUAUAAAAAACCAACUACACUCUACAAUAUAUCGAAAAUCAACUACAAACCACAUUUUUAUCGAAAAUCAUGAAUACAGAUCUGAACCGAAUCUGAAAAUUCGAUCUAAAAUUGGCAAAAGAUAGGAUGAAUUAACUGCUUUGCUCCGAUGAGUUUUUUAUUACCGGUUUCAUCCUCGGGCUGAAUGAAUAGGCAAGAGCCGCGACUCGAGGCAAUCGGAGAGCGAUUGUUGCCUACUGAAUGACGGCUUCUGGUAUUUGGCGAGACUCAAAAAGAGUAAAAGAUUAACGAGGGCACUGUUGGUCGGUGACGACGGCGGUGAAUGGAGGGCAGCAACGACGGCGGUGGACGGAGGGCAGUGACGACGGUGGUUGACGGAGGGCAGCGACGACGGUGGUUGACGGAGGGUGGCGGUGGGCAUAUGAGAUCUGGCUUGGAUUGGGGAUAGAAACGAGAGAGAGGUGGUGGCUGGAGAGAAAAAGGAGAUGAAGAAUAGAAAUAGGGUUUGGUGAUGUUAUAUGAUAACUAACGGUAAUUAAUAUAGACAUACCACUUAAAAUUUGAAUUUAUGUUAAAUUAAAAUAUAAAAUAAGGGGGUUCUCACUAAUAUGUAAAAUGAAGUUAUAUCUAUCCUAAUAUAAUCAAAUGUAUUGGGGGGUUUUCACUAAUUAUCCCAAUAUAAAAUAGGGAAAAUAAAGUUGGAUCUGUAUAAAGAUAAAUAGCAAAUUUGGGGCUCUCCCCAAAUUUAUUUCCUUUUAAAAACUUAUUUAAUUAAGCAAAAGAUUAUCAACAUAAAUCUUUAGAGGAAUAAUCAAUCUGUGAUUCUGUUGUAAUGGCUGUCAAUUCAAGAUUUAUAGGGUAAUUGGCACUUUGCACCCUCAAAUAACAUGUCUUUGACACUUUACACCCUUAAAUUGAAAAUAUAGCACUUUACACCCUCAAAUUAUAAUUUUACUUGCCACUUUGCACCCUACUACACAUUCUGCCAAAAAAAAUGACCUGCAACCGGUUUGUAACAUUUAAAGAGUGGCAGAUUAUACAGAGCCUCCAGUGGAAAGGAAAAUUAGGAACAGCACACUACAAAAGUCAUGCAACAAAUAGUAACUGCUAAUUUAAUUUCUUUUUAAUGAAAUCAGUUUGUUUUAACUAUAUAAAAUUUUGUAAUAUUAUUAAUUUAAAAAACAAAAUGCUAACAGAUUGCCCUCUGAAAGAGAGUGGUCAUGAAAGAAUUAUUAUCGAGGUAAAAAUAUUUUUUUUUUUUCCAGUGGUUUACAGAGAUGCUGCAUUUCAUUUUCAACAAAGAAGGGACUGGCGGUGGCGGCGGCAAAUGUGUAGGAGGAGGUGGUGGUGGUGGUGGCAAAAUGGGAUUAGACAAAUUUGUGAUAUCCGAGGUCUCAGGAUUGGAGAUUCUCAAAAUGAGAUCAGAAAAAUGGAAUUGGAGAAUUCUUUUUAUGAGCUUCUUGUUUGACCCUUCUCUCUCAUCAAUUGCACAAAUUGAUAAUUGAUGAUGUUUCUCUUUGUUGGAGUAUGUUUUUUCCAGCUUCAGACAACAACAUGUCUGGUUCUAAAGCAAAUUUCAGUGAAUUCAAGUAUAUAAGAUUUGACCCGUAUCUUUCCACCGAGCUCUGGGAAUUAGUCACAAUCCUUUAAUUUGAUCUGCACCGACACACUUGUUCUUCUUUGUCUUCUCCUCUGUUUCUUGGACAUCCGGUACCGGUGCCCGCUCUUUAAAUUUUACAAAACUGGUUGUAGGUGUAGCAGGGUGCAAAGUGUCAAGCAAACUGUAAUUGAAGGGUGCAAACUGCUAUUUUUUUAAUUUAAGGGUGCAAAGUGCCAAAGACAUGUAAUUCAAGGGUGCAAAGUGCAAAUUACCCAGAUUUAUAUGUUGAUUCAUUAAGAGUGAAAACUCUAUUCCAAAUCCCAGCUUAACAAUCAGCAACACAACGAAAAACCGCCACGAAACCAGUAUUUGCUCUUCAAACAAUGUUUUAAGCAUCAUAUAUUAUACUGCCCGUACGUGUUGCUGUAAACGGGGCAGCAAUUUCCAUGUUGUACAAUGAUUGGUGAUCGUGAAAAGGCAACAAAGCCAGCAGCAAUUAAACCAACUAAAACAAACAUAAAUUGUUCGUUCGUUCUGCCGUUAUCUAGCCAGUCAAGUUAUUGCUUACAAUUAGACGCGCUUGUCAGGAUUUCUCCCAAUUUACAGGGCUCGAACAGAGGACAAGAUUGCUUUGAAAAUUCAAGUUCCGAAGAUUAGGCAGAGACCAUGUUUUCGUCGGUAUUUUUCAUCGGACUUCUUGAUUAUUGGACACAUUGAAGUACACAAGAUAUGGGGCUUAAGCAAUAUCAGAGGGGAUUCCUCCGGUGAACCUGUUUCUAGAAAGACCCAGAUACGAAAUAAAUGGGAAAUUCGCAAAAUUGGAGAGACAAGGAGGAAAUUGUUCAAAAAGAUGAUUAAUUUGAGUAAAACCCAACCAGGACAUAUUUCAGGCCGGAUAACGGCCAUAUUCAAUACGUAUGAGCUGUGUAAAACCCAAAUAUCCAACUCUAAAUUACUACAUUGUAGCUUGUUUCUUUUUUCUUUUAUUCCGGGAAAAAAAGAAUAAAUCUCCGUUGUUUCGAAUUCGACAAGGUCAAAGGAACAACUCAAAUUUUCCAUUGAAUUUCAAUUUUCUUCCGAACCAAUGAGCCCUUCACCACUAAAAAAAUCAAACACAUAAUAGCAAAGAUCCAUUACAGGCCCACCAAAAAUUUGAAAACAAUAAAAAAAAAUAAAAUUAAACAGUUCUAAAUCUAAAGACUAGAUGCUAGAUGCUAGAAACAAAGAAGAACAACAGAGGAAGAAACCAUGAAGCCAUAAAUGAAGAUCAAGAAACCAAAAUGCAGAGCCCAAUUCCUCUUGAACUUACCGAAAUAGUUCUCAGGUGGCUCCUGAUAAUGUAUCUCCAACUCAUCACCCAUCUCAUCCACAACGCCGCCGCUGCUCAGCCGCAUCUUGAGAUGCCUCAGCCGCUCCGUCGCCAUCCCUAGGGUCAACUUGUGGCAGCGGCGCUGAUACUUGAAGCCGUUGAUGCAGCGGAGGGUCUGGGCCACAGAAACGUAGAAGAUGAGGUGGGCCAUGGACAGAAGCCCAAUGGGCAUCCAGCAAUGGCGGCACUGCAGCCGAGUUGACUGGGCCUGACCUAAAAACACCAAGGCCAAGAACAGGAAGAAGAGAUGGAAGAGUUUCCAUAGCUCCUUUUUCUGGAGGUCAACAGCUCGUUUUUUCUCCAGGGUUUUCUCGAAGUGGAGCUGGAUUAUUGUGUUCAGUGCUUGCAGGGCUGCAUCUUUUGGGAUCAUGUUGUGGUUGUGGUGGUGGUGGUGGCUGCUGUUGGUGGCGGGGCGGUCGUACUCCGCCAUUGGAGGCUACUGCGAACUGUGGAGAUGGUGAUAGUGCUACUAUUCUAGAGAGAGAGAGAGACUGAUAAGUGAUGACUGAUGAGGGGGUUUUAAAUGGGGUGGUACUUUUUUCCAAUUAAAUAUCGAUUUUUAACGUUUUCUUUCUUGGAUACCGAGUACAACACAAAUGUAUUUAAUUCCAAACCCCAUAUAUUUGGGUUAAUUAUAGAUUGCACCCUAUACUGAAUAGAUCAUGCAACAAUUGCCCUUUAAAUACUUAUCGUAAUACAUGGGGUUAUUUACAACAAUGGCGCAACACUGAAAAUCAAUUACAAGAAGGCUCCGGCUAUAUGCAAGACUAAUUCCACUUGUGCAAGACCAAAUUAAAAUUUUCAAUGUAUAAAUACUAUAAUAUCCUUAUUUAUUAAAAAAAUAAAAAAUUCCAAAUAUGCAAGACCAAAAAUUCAAAAACAUAAAAACACAAAAAACACUAUCACAAGACCAACUCUCAUCUUCUCCAUCUUCCAAAACCCACAAGACCUUUCUCCUUCCUCCUCCAUUAACCCACAAAACCUAGAAAUUCAAAAUCAUCAAAACUCAACAAAUCUUACAAAGAUGGCAAGUAUGGAGUCAGAAGACAUCAAAAUAGAAGAUUCUAUGAUGGAAUAACCCAAUAAUGUAUGCAUUUAUGGGUUUUUAGCUAGAAUAUCGAUUUUCCAAGAAAAAUCCCGCGCAAACGAAUUCGACAUGUACAGGUCGAAUUUUACAGGUAAAAAUCGACAUUUAGAUGUCGAUUUUGAUGUAUAAAAUUCGACAUUUGAAUUUGUGCUAUAAAUUCGACAUGUCAAUGUCGAUUUUUACCUAUGAAAUUCGACGCUUAAGUGUCGAUUUGUAGCAUAGUUUUUCGACAUCUUGGUGUCGAUUUUUAUUUUUUUUCUCAUUAUUUGUAUUUGGUCUUUGUUGGGUGCUAAAUACCAACACGCAAGUGUACGUAUCGCAAACAAGUAGUAAAGUAGACUCGUGAGAGUCGGAUGUCGAUCCCACAGGGAAUACGUAAAUUAUUUAAUCCUAAGUACCAAAUCCUAACAAUUGUGAUUUUUAUCCAGCCUACGCAGGGUUGUCAAAUUAAUUAACUAAAUAAAUUAAACUAAUUAAGAAAGCAAGUAAUCACGAGAAAAUAUCAAUAUAAAACGGAUCUAGGAUUUUAUCUUCCCCCUAUGCGAUAAUUCUUUACCCGAUUAAUCUCCUAUCAUGCAAGUUACGAUUCCCGAUUAUUAACCCAAGACACGAAAUUAUUCAUAACCAGCUGUCGCUGCGCUAUAAACCUAUUAUUCAUAAAAGAUUCACUAUAUGUCUAUGCAAACCUAGUAUAAAUAAAGCAUUAAAUAUCAAGUCUCGCAAACAGCUACCUAAGGUAUUAUCUGUAUGUCUACGAUAAUACAUGCAAUCAACACACGCAUUCGGUGAAAAACUACUCGAAGGCUCUCAUAUCCUUGUUCUAAUUAUUAAAACGAUCUGUCAAUCAAUUCUAACAAUAAUAAAUAGCAACAUAAGUUAGCUACGCUCAUGCACUAAAUAAAAUCAAGAUAGAAGAAAUAAUCGAAGAAUUAAACUUGCAUAAAAGUAGAAAAAUAGGUUCGAAUUACCACAUAGGGUUCCAAUAAAAUCCUAGAAUAAAAACUUAGCUACUCAUGUUCGUUACGGAAAACAUAAUAAAAAUACGAAAAAUCAUAAAAACAAUAAAAGAGGAGAACUACGAUGAAGAGUCGUCAAGUCUUCGUCUUCGUUCUUGCUCCUUGAUUGCGUGUCGAAAGAUAAAAACUAAAAACUAAUAAUAACGAUAAAAGGUAAAAGAUUAAAGAUAGGUCUAAUUGUGUGCUUGUGGCCUUUAAAUAGGGUGCAAAAAUAUAAUAGGGCGGGUUUCCUUGUGUAAUUAAACUUCCUUCACUGCGCCCCUACGUCCAUCCGGACGGCCGUGUGAGAUUUUUAACUAAAAUCCGCACGGUCGUGCGGUCUUUUAAUUCUCCAGAAUUCUGCUUUUUUCACUUUUGGCCCACUUUUUCUCUGAAUUUGCAGUUUUCACCCCAAAAGUUGUUAAUUCUCCAAUUUGCACCUAAAAUACAAAUAAUAGCCAUUUUAAGCACCAAUUAUCAUUAAAACACACCAAAAGCUCCAAUUAAAAGGUACAAUUAAGUGUAUAAAUAUACACUUAACACACCCCCAAACUUGAACUUUUGCUUGUCCUCAAGUAAAAUCAAAUAAAAUAGCACAAAACAAAACCAUACAUCUCAUUACAUAGAUCGAUGGGUCAACUUCGCGUUUUCAGAACUUGCAAUUAUGAUGACAAUUCAUAGGUAUUCGCAAGCUUAACAUUCAACGGCACUUAGUCACUCAUUAUUACCAAAAACCACAAAUCAUACAAUUGCUUCAAGUAUCCAAUAUUUGCAAGUUAAAGAAAGAAAGAAUUUAUACUUACAUGCAUAUAUUUGACUCCAAAUACUCACCAAAUUAUUCUACUCAACUAAUAUUGAACAAUAAGCUCUUGGGAUCAUUGGGACUUUGUGGCUUUCAAUUGUUAGGCUCUUUGGUCCAAGGUAGGUAAUAUGAGAAUGCGUGGCUAAUUUUCUUGAAUUGAGGUGAUUACGCCAAAAUUUGAAAGAUCGGUGUUUGAAACAAUGAAUUCACCUCUAGGGACUUUAAUAAACUCGAUUCUCCAAAAUUCACAUGUCAACACUUUUACCUUGAGGCAAUGGAUCGAGUUUUCAACACAAUUCAUCCACUAGUCCUUAUUUCUCCCUUCUAAUCUAUUCUUCUUCUUCUUUCCUUUUUUUUUUUUUUUUUUUUUUUUUUUUUUUUUUUUUUUUUUUUUUUUUCGAAGAAGAAGAAAGAUCUUAUAAAACAUUUCGACCGAAAUCCAAGGGAUAAUUAUUCAAAAAUCUCCACUUUUCUACCUUCUACAAAUUGGCUAAAAGAAAGAACACCUUUUCUCUCCGAGGCUCAAAUCAUGGUUCUAAGGAUAAAAAUUUAAAGGUAGGCUUGAAAGGCUCAAACGGUUCAAAGAAGACCCAAAUCAUAUCCCAAAUCACUUACUAUCAACACUUCGUAUCAUAAAUGUCAUAAGGUGAGAUUUAAAACCGAACAAAGCAUGAUUGAGCACAAAUAAAUUCCAAAUUUAAAAUGCAAAACAUUCAACCAAAGCAAUGCACAAGGUGUGAUUCCUAGCAAUAAUUCACUUCUACGUUCCGUUGAAUCGAAAGUUAAACAAAUACAUACUCCUUAUCAACAUAAAACAAGUAGUUUCAUCAUCAAACAUUGACCAUCCACCAUCAUCGUAAUUCAUCAAUGCAUUGAACAUUUUUUUUAUUUUUUUAUUUUUUUUUUUAUAUAAAAACGAAAAUAAUAAAACGGCAAUUAAAACAAAAACUAAAGCAUGCAAAAUAAAAAAAAAAAAAAAAAACACACAUAAAGCGCACAUAAACGAAAACAAGUAAUUAACCACCCCCAAACUUAAAAUUCACAUUGCCCUCAAUGUGAUUUGCCCGGAGUUUAAGGAUAGAAAACACCUGUUUACGCGUCGGGACCAUCGUUGGGCUGCUCGUCAACUCCGCCUUGCGCAUGAGCAUUACCAUCUCCGUCAUCAUCCGAAAGCUCGGGUACCAACUCAAGAAUCGGUGCGGGCAACGGAGCCGGUUCUUCGCACUCGGGAUUGCCACAUGCCAAAUGGCGUACAAUGGCUUGAAGCAUCUUUCCCGACCACCGUUGGAGGGAUUCGAUAGUGCUCACCUUGUGCUCCACCGUUGCAAGCCGAUUUCUCGUGAUUACCAACUCUCGCUCCAUUCUUCGUUGAAAUCGUCGGUCCGAACUUGUGCUUGGACCCUCGGGUGGAGCUAUUGGUUUGUUCUCAACGGGUUGCUCGCCAUCUUGGAUGGGUGCCUUGUAUUGCCGGGCCGCAAGGUCGUUCAUCGGAUUUCGAAUUGAUGUGAAAAUGUCUGUCGGUUUGGUUGGGACCUUCGCCUUUUUGCAUAAGCCGGUAAUGAGGCAAGGGAAAUAAAAUCCCUUGGAGUUGUUGACCAUGGAGGUCCAAAAUCGGCCGGAUAUGAUUGCGCCAAUGUUGAUCGGGGUGCCCUUGAGGAUGUAGUAUGCCAAAGCGCACCGUUCGGGGUCCACGCGAGUCCACGAGCGGGUGGGAAUGAGGUUGGCACAAAUGAACGUAAGGCACGCCUUGCCUACUUGGUUGAUGCAUUCCCACUCUAACUCGUACUUUUCUUCGGUUGAUAGUUCGGACCAAAUGGGGGGUCCAUCGCACAACACCUCGGCGAUUUGAUCUCGUGUGACCGCAAGUUGCAUUUGCCCCCAAUUGAAUGGUGUCCUGUGUCGGAGGUGAUAGAAAGAAUUGAUUGCUUAGGCAUUCCACUCGACCCUCUUGCCUCGAACCGUGCUCACGUUCCGCUCCUCUGUGAGGUGUAUAUGGUUGUUGGCGUAGAACUCGCGGACCAAUGAUAGGUUGAUCGAACCCUCCGGUUCCAAUAGUGCUUGCCACCCUCGUCGUAGGAAUUCUUGAUGUAACGGGGCAAAUUGUGGAAGGGUGAUCUCGUAGGCACGCUCCGUUACUAGUUUCUUCCCCUUUUGCUUCUCGAAACGAGCACUAGCGCCUUCGACACAAAAAGCGUCAUCGUCGGGUGUCGGAAUUUGGUCGGUUUUCUUGCCCUUCCCCUUGCCUUCUGAAGUUCCCUCGCCUUGUGAAGUGCCCUCCCCGUCACGUCCUCGUUUCCCCAUGACUUGAGAAUGUGUGUAGAAGGGAUUAGGAGUGGAUUGCUUUGCAAAAUUUCCCCCAAACUUGAGUCGGACAAUUCGUCGAACACCUUGUGGGCGUUCUUGGUGGAAUGGAUUUUUGGAGAAAUUUGCACUUUUCUUGAACCCCCUGCACAAAUUAGCAACAAACAACUAAGUUUACGUAUUAUGUGUGUGCAAUUGGUGAAUUUCUGGUGAAAUUUGUCAAGAAAAUCGAAAAAUUUAAAAAUAGGGGGGAGAGUUCGAAGUGGAGAGAAAGAGGGUUUGGAAUUUGUGAAAAUUGGGGUUUUGAAAACCCUUAUUUAAAAUGCCCCGUUUUUCCCUUCGGACGGCCGUGCGGGAUUUUGGCCUAAAAUCCGAACGGCCGUGCCAAACUGUCAAUUUGUACAGUGGCCCCUUUGAAUCUCGGACGGCCGUGCGAGAUUUUGGCCUAAAAUCCGCACGGCCGUGUGAAAUGCUGAUUUUGGGCAGUAGCAUCGUCCGCUUCUCGGACGGCCGUGCGAGAUUCCAAGUCUUUUUCCGCACGGCCGUUUGACAAGUUUCAAUAAUUGCAUUUAAGGCCCUGAAAAAUAAAAACUUCUUAUUAGUGCCCCUGAAACUUUUUUUUUUUUUUUUUUUUUUUUUUUUUUUUUUUUUUUAUAAAAUAAACUAAAAGCAAAACUAAAAAAAUUUAAAGUGACAUAAAAUAAAAUAAUAAAAAAAAACGAAAGCUCGGGUUGCCUCCCGAGAAGCGCUAAGUUUACAGUCUUCAGCCGGACUUUGUCUGCUUCUUUGUUCAAGCUAACGUGACCGAAGUCACUUGGCAAUUGCAUCCCUCUCCCCAAUAAUGCUCGUUUGGUUCGUUAGGUGGCCACAUCCACCUUGCUCGUUCAUCAUUGUCAUCAUCCCAACUCUUUUGACUGUCCCUCGGCGGAGUUGAAAUUGAGCUCGCACAAUAAACUUGCUCCGUCCGACUAUCUUUUCCGCCACCAUCUCCUGCACUCAAAGAUCCUUUCCCAUGGUCUAAGAUCAAAAAGUCAAAAUCGUCAUGAUUUGAAAAAUCCACAAGAUCAAUAGCAUAACAAUCAUUAUCAUCACAUGGAUUUUUCUUAGUGCUAAAAACGUUAAAUUUGACCGUUUGAUCAUGCACCGUCAUUGAAAGAUCACCACUAGCACAAUCAAUUAGAGUUUUCGACGUGGCUAAAAAUGGUCUUCCUAGAAUAAGAGGUAUCUCCCUAUCUUCAUCUAUAUCAAGUAUAACGAAAUCCACAGGGAAAAUAAAUUUAUUCACUUUCACUAGCACGUUCUCUAAAAUACCUUUUGGGUAAACUAAAGACCUAUCGGCUAAUUGAAGGGUUAUAGCCGUUGGUUCAAUCUCACCUAACCCAAGAUUUUUGUAAAUGGAAUAAGGCAUAAGAUUAAUGCUAGCACCUAAAUCAAGGAGUGACCUAAAAUUUCUUCCUCCAAUAGUGCAAGGGAUAGUGAACUUACCUGGAUCGCCGAGUUUUUGUGGAAGGGGUCGUACAAGGAUUUCACUGCAUUGCUCCGUGAGUUGGAUGAUCUCGUUCCCUUGCAAUUUAUUCCUCUUUGUUACGAGCUCCUUGAGGAAUUUCACCCACUUUGGCAUCUUUUGAAUGGCUUCGAUAAACGAAAUGUUGAUGUGGAUUUCCUUCAGCUUGUCCAAGAAUCCUUGGUGCUCCGCAUCGAGCUUCUUCUUUUUAAGCUUUUGGGGAUAUGGGACUUGAGGGACUCGCGGGAUCACUGUGGGUGAUGGUGGUUCUUUGCGAGUUGCUUCUUUUUCCUCAAUCUCAAUCGGCUCCUCGAUUACCGUAUUUUGCUUCUCCUUUCGUGGGACCUCUUCUAAUUGUCUCCCGUUCCUUAAACUCACGGCGUUGCAUUGCUCGACGUUGUUCUUCCGAGGAUCUUCUGUAUUUGACGGCAGUGCUCCCGAUGGCCUCGCUGUUAGUUGGGUUGCAAGUUGACCCAUCUGUGUUUCCAAAUUUCGGAUGGAGGCUUGAGUGGUUGUCAUGAACUGCGCCAAGAUAUUUGUGAGAUCUCCACCUUGAGGUUGGGCUUGAGGCGGAUUUUGGAAUCCGGGAGCUGGUCGUGAAUAGUUAGGCGGUUGACCUUGCGGCGGUGCUUGCCUUUGCCCUUGCUGAUUUCCUCCCCACCCAAAGUUAGGGUGAUCCUUCCAUCCUGGAUUAUACGUGUUGGAGUACGGGUUCCUCUGUUGUCGGUUGGCGUCAUGCACAUAAUUUAUCGACUCCGUUUCGCCUACGCCUUGAUCGGGAGCUUGGACUGCAUGGACUUGCUGCGUCUGCAAAGCUGCUACUUGCUUCGAUAGCUUCUCCAAUUGGGCCGUGAUUGCCGUGACUCCGUCUAGCUCCAAAAUUCCUCCCGUCUUGACUGUUCCGCUAUUCGACCGGUCCGAUGCUCGCAUGUAUUUAUUUCUGGCGAUUCGUUCCAAGAGCUCGUAUGCUUCGUCAUAGGUCAGACUCAUGAACAUACCUCCAGCUGCAGAGUCGAGCACUGUCCUCGAGUUGUCUUGCAGUCCAUCGUAAAAUAUUUGCAGUUGGCGCCACUCUUGUAGUCCGUGAUUCGGGCACCUCCUUACUAGCUGUUUGAACCGCUCCCACGUCUCGAAUAAUGCUUCACCGGCUUCUUGUAUGAAGUUUUGAAUUUCUCGCCGGAUUCUCUCAGUUUUUGUUGGGGAGUUGUAUGUGUUCAUAAAGAGUUGCGCUAGCUGGGCCCACGACGAGAUGGAGUGCGGUGCACGAGUUUGCAACCAUUCUCGGGCUGCUCCUUGUAGGGAGUGCUUGAACAGGCGGAGUUGCAGUGCUUCGGGUGUUACUCCGUUCAUCUUGUGCGAAUCACACGUCUCGAGAAAAUUCACCAAGUGGAGAUGUGGAUCUUCAUUAGCUAGGCCGCUGAAUAAUCCAUUGUUUUGGAGCAUAGUGAGGAGUCCCGCUCGAAUUUCAAAAUUGUUGGCUUCAAUGGGGGGCUGCUGGAUGCUUGAUUGAAACCCAUUGAGCGUUGGAACGGUAUACUCAUGCAGUGCUCGUUGACGAGGUGGUGGAUUAAUUAGCAGGCGUUGGUUUUGCUCGUUGAUGAUUUCUCCUGCCGCGUUCGGUGGACGCCUUUGGUCACCCUCCCCACGAUUAAUCUCUUCUUCCAUCGUUGCGGGAGUGUUUUGAGCUAACCGUUGAUUUCUCCUAGCUUGUCUGAACGUUCGCUCAAUUUCAGGAUCUAGAGGUAGCAAGCUCGUAUCGUGUCCUCUUCGCAUAAAAAGUACCUAAAAAAAAUAAAAAUAAAAAUAAUUAAAAAAAAUAAAAAAAAAUGGCUGAAGUAAGAAAAAUUGCUCAAAUUUAAUUUUAGGAUAAAUAAAUAAUUUAGCCGUAUUCCCCGGCAACGGCGCCAAAAACUUGUUGGGUGCUAAAUACCAACACGCAAGUGUACGUAUCGCAAACAAGUAGUAAAGUAGACUCGUGAGAGUCGGAUGUCGAUCCCACAGGGAAUACGUAAAUUAUUUAAUCCUAAGUACCAAAUCCUAACAAUUGUGAUUUUUAUCCAGCCUACGCAGGGUUGUCAAAUUAAUUAACUAAAUAAAUUAAACUAAUUAAGAAAACAAGUAAUCACGAGAAAAUAUCAAUAUAAAACGGAUCUAGGAUUUUAUCUUCCCCCUAUGCGAUAAUUCUUUACCCGAUUAAUCUCCUAUCAUGCAAGUUACGAUUCCCGAUUAUUAACCCAAGACACGAAAUUAUUCAUAACCAGCUGUCGCUGCGCUAUAAACCUAUUAUUCAUAAAAGAUUCACUAUAUGUCUAUGCAAACCUAGUAUAAAUAAAGCAUUAAAUAUCAAGUCUCGCAAACAGCUACCUAAGGUAUUAUCUGUAUGUCUACGAUAAUACAUGCAAUCAACACACGCAUUCGGUGAAAAACUACUCGAAGGCUCUCCUAUCCCUGUUCUAAUUAUUAAAACGAUCUGUCAAUCAAUUCUAACAAUAACAAAUAGCAACAUAAGUUAGCUACGCUCAUGCACUAAAUAAAAUCAAGAUAGAAGAAAUAAUCGAAGAAUUAAACUUGCAUAAAAGUAGAAAAAUAGGUUCGAAUUACCACAUAGGGUUCCAAUAAAAUCCUAGAAUAAAAACUUAGCUACUCAUCUUCGUUACGGAAAACAUAAUAAAAAUACGAAAAAUCAUAAAAACAAUAAAAGAGGAGAACUAUGAUGAAGAGUCGUCAAGUCUUCGUCUUCGUUCUUGCUCCUUGAUUGCGUGUCGAAAGAUAAAAACUAAAAACUAAUAAUAACGAUAAAAGGUAAAAGAUUAAAGAUAGGUCUAAUUGUGUGCUUGUGGCCUUUAAAUAUGGUGCAAAAAUAUAAUAGGGCGGGUUUCCUUGUGUAAUUAAACUUCCUUCACUGCGCCCCUACGUCCAUCCGGACGGCCGUGUGAGAUUUUUAACUAAAAUCCGCACGGCCGUGCGGUCUUUUAAUUCUCCAGAAUUCUGCUUUUUUCACUUUUGGCCCACUUUUUCUCUGAAUUUGCAGUUUUCACCCCAAAAGUUGUCAAUUCUCCAAUUUGCACCUAAAAUACAAAUAAUAGCCAUUUUAAGCACCAAUUAUCAUUAAAACACACCAAAAGCUCCAAUUAAAAGGUACAAUUAAGUGUAUAAAUAUACACUUAACAGUCUUACAUGAGAAGAAAAAAAAGUCAAUUUAAUUUAUGGACAUACUUGUCAUUCCAUCUUAAUAAAAUAGAAUAUUUUAGAAUAUUUCUUUAAUUUGGUCUUGCACAAGUGGAAUGAGUAUUGCAUAUAGGUGCAGCCUUACAAGAAUUGUGUGGUUUUAUUUUGAUUUACAGAAGUAGUGUAAAUCACCACUCAUACAGUGAAGAAAUCGCCUCUGCGACAUGUGAUUUCUAUUUUCUUUUUUUUCUAAAUGAGUUAAUUAUAUAUAUAUAUAUAUAUAUAUAUAUUUAUUUAUUUUUCUUUUUUUUCUAAAUGAAGAUUAUUUAACAUUUAAAGUUGUAAUUAAAUAAAUAUCACAUAAAUGUAAGAAUAAAUAUAUAUCAAAUACAUAAAUGUCAAAUACACAAAUGUCAAAUACUACAAACCAUGUAAAACACAUAAAUGCAAAAUACUUAAAAAUAAAUGCAUCAAUGACGUCCAAGAUGUCCACUGGUCCCACAUCUAGGCGGACGCCUGUUUCUACGCACUCUACCCACUGGUUCUUGCGGAAUAUCCUCUUCAAUACCAUUGGCAACAUAGUUCUCGCUAGAAUGACUUUGAGGCGAUGGGAUGUGAUAGGGAACGGGAGAAACAUUAAAAUGCAUGUGUAGACUCGUCACCUUGUAAAUAUCCUAAAUUGAGAUCCAAGAAUUCAGUCCCUGAAUACAUGUUCAUAUCGGACUGGUAUGGAGUUGCUGGUGUAUCCAUUUAAAAUGUGGUUGGAGUAUAAACAUCAUCAGUAGAAUUGGGAUAAGUACCAGGCUCAUUUCGAAGUGUGGAAGGACCGGCCUCAUUUCGAUAUGUGGAAGGACAGGCAUAAUCUCGGUACGUGGAAGGAUGUGCCACAUCUUAAUCUCGGUAAGGGAAAUCGGUCAUUUCUCUUGUAGACCUUUGAGUCAGUUGUGAGCCCUCCUUCUUCCUCCAUCAUGGACACUCGUAAAAGGCAUCUCGAUCAUGUUGAGCAUAUUAAUCAUAGGCUGCAUUUCUGGUACAUUGGUGCUCAUGGAGGCUAGUCAAAUAGCUUGAAAUAAAUUAUAAAAUAAGUUAUAGAAAUCGAGUAAUUGUAUGUAAUUGCAUGAAUGAAAUAAAAGAUUACGUACCACCAAAUUCAUAAUCGUCCGAUCUCCAGUCUGAAAAUCAGUGCUCGUCAAAUUGUCAAUCGGUGAUAUAAAAGGACGAGUGUGCUAUACGAUGCUUCAUGACCAUCCUAUUAUCUGGUCCAUUGAUCGGUUGAAAUGGUCCGACAGUCUGAAAUCUUUUGCCAUUUACCAACAUAUGUACUCAAAUACUCGCUCUAGUCCAGACCCGAUUGGCCUUGACGAGUCAAAUCAUGUAAUUGGUUGGAAAUAGAAACAUCUAUAUGAAGUGAUGGAAUUGGUUGGACCAUUCCGAACUGUCGUAAUUCUCUUUCCGGACGAUGCAUCUCCACUCAUGAAUAAAAAAUAAGUGGACAACUGGACACCAAAGUAAUGGUGAAACAAUUGUUGAAUCCGAAGCCAAUUAUUGGUACUCAAUAUCAUUGGUGUUACAUGGAAUCCAAAUGAACUGUAAAAAAAUAUUAUGAAAUUUACGAAUAUUAUCAACAACAUUAUCAACAAUAUUAUCAACAAUAUGGUACACAAAUAUUAUCAACAAUAUUAGCAAAUUUACGAACCUGGUUUGCCAAUAUUUGGUCAAGCAUUGUCCUAUAUAUGCGAACUGAAUGACUAGUAGUGUGAACAUAACUCAAAGGAUGCAACCAACUGCAAUGUGUUACGAAAAGUACGUGUAUUUAAACAAUGCAUAUAUUAAGUGGAGAUUUAAUUGCAAGAUUUGAAAUUAUAUUGAAUUGGUUAUGGUUAGAGUAUUAUCGUCAUAUUGUGCACCAUAUGGAGGCACUAGAAAUACAUCACCCGCGUUUAGUUGAAACACCGUAAUUGGAUCGUAAUCUUUUAAGUGGUUGUGGUAUAGGUGCUAUAUGGCGAAUUCUCGUCCAUGCCCACAACUGUAGUAGCUUCAUCUGACCUCCAACGACAUCCCUACGGUCUCUUCAUACUGUCGGCUUGCAUAGCUCAUGAUACAGUACCGUCAAUGUGGCACUACCCCAACUAUAAGAACGAACUGCAUCGAGGUACUCAAAAUGUUGCAUUGAGGUCCUCAAAAUGCUUCAGAUACAUCAAAGGUAUAGCAUUGUCAGUACUAACCGGAAUCAUAAUCCCACCAAGUAGCAUAAAUGCCAAUGCUCGAGUAAACUGAGCAACAUGUACAUUUGAACUAUGAUCACUGACAAAAUUGUCAAGCAAAUAGUCUCUAAGGGCCAAAACCUUUAACUUCUCUCCCCUAAGAUCAUUAGGUUAAGGAAGAAAACCUAAUAAGGCCCCACAAUAGUCGAUCCAAGCAGUUGUAGAAUAUAUAUAAUUUGUACCGACACGAAAAUGAAAGGUGUGCGUCUCUUCUCGCCAUCUCUCGAUCAAAUGAGUUAUAAGGUGAAAAUCAACAUUCAUGCGUCUACACCGAUAUACGCCAUAAAAUUCCAUUGUAUAUAUCAAUUUCAUUACUCAUGGAUGAGGAUGCACACCCGUCGGGAAUAAGGUCCAAAGGCCGUUAUCGGCACGUCUAACACGCACAACAUCGUCCAUAUUUUUCUCGUCAAGAUCACUUGAUUUAUACCGGCCUUGUAGACGUAACAAUGAUUGCGAGGGCCAUAUGCCUCCUUCACCAGUGCAUCCAUCUAACAAAAUAAUUAUAAAAAUAUAUUAGACAUACAAUAAACAUAUAUUAUAAAAACAUAUUAGACAUAAGUAUAUUAGGCUUAAUAGACACACAAUCUAUUACAGUAAUCAAACAUACGCUAAAUGCGCGCACAAAGUUUCACAAAUAGUUAAACAUAACCUUAAUGAACUCACAAAGUUUACCAAAUAAUUAAACAUAGGCACAAUCACUACACAAUCUAUUACAAUAAUUAAACAUACGAUUACGACCAACUCAAAGAAAUGCCUAAACAUUUUCGUUUCGACUUGCUUGUUGUCUAGCAUGUGUUUGCGGUAUAUCCAUUUCAUUUGUAUAACGAGUAGAACGUCUUCUGCCAGCUCGUGUCGCGUGACGCAAUGUCGUAUCGUGGAAUAGUUGACAAUCUGCAUCCUCCCAAUAAGCUUCACUUACAAAAGGCCGAAACACUCCAUUGUAUGUAGAUGAAUAGUGAGAAACACUAUAAUACUUCUCCACAAAAGCCGAAGCAUCCAAAUGAUAAUCACGACACACGCGUUGGACAUGAGAGCACGGGAUCCCAAAUCACGCCACUUUCCACACGUGCAUUCCCUUCUUAUGCUUACUGAAUGUGUGUUGUUUCCACUUCCUAUCAUACAAGCCCUUAGUAUUACCUUAGCCGAUUGGAGUUGUUGAUUAAACAUCCAGGUAACAUGCUUCACUGAUUCCCUUUUUCACUUUGUGAACUUAUUAUGAGUACAAUUUGAUCAUCGUUGUCCUUUACUUCGCAUAAGUAGAUGUUUCGCAACAUGUAUAUGAAACAUCUCAACAGCAUGGUGAAAACAAUAAUUAGCUAUAACUGUUGGGGGCAUCUUGCGAGCACCUUUCAAAACUCCGUUAAUUACUUUUGAGAUAUUUGUUUUAUUCUGACCGCAUCCGUCGUGAACUAAAUUCCAUUUCUCUGUGUCAAUACCAAUCAAGUAGUUGUAUGCUUCAAUAUUUUCAGAUCUGAUCACAUCCAUGACUCGAUCAAAUUUAGUGGUUACAUGUACUGAUCCGGCCUUUCAACAUACUUUCAACCUGACACUUCUGAAAUGGGAGUUCAAAUUUGAACAAAUAUAUCGGAGACAAAAACGAUGGACAAACCGGGUAGGCAAUGUCUCAACAACAGCAAGAAUUUUCAGGUGCACGAUGAGAGAUUAAACAUAUCGUAGUAGUCUCCGCGAUAAUCGAAAAUAGAUGUUGGUUUAGCAUCGCGAAAAACCUGCUCCAUGCACUCGUCUUUUCUUCAUCCACCAUAGCAAAUCCAUGUGACAACACUUGUUGAUUGGCAUCCAAAUACGUAGCAAUCAACAACUUGUGUUUGUACUUUGUGUACAGAUGAGUUCCAUCCAUACUAAUUACUCUGCAACAGAAGUUGAAUCCAUCUAGACAUGGCUUGAAAGCCCAAAAGACAUACUUGAUCACUUUCUGGCUUGGAUAAUUCAUCGUCUUACUCUGCCACUCCACAAUCGUUCCGAGAUCGAUCAUUUGCAAUACUUUCAUAUACUUGGGCAACUUCGCGACUAAGUUCUUCCAAGUACCAUAUAUGUUAUCUCUGCAACGUGUUAAACUGUACCACGCCUUCUGGUAUGAGAUAUCAAAUCAUAAUUCAGUAUACAUAAGUUGUUUGGCUCGAAACUUGACAAUAUGGUUUUUCACGAACUGUUUUAACCAAUGUCGCAGAAAUAUAAUUCAUGUCCAAAUUACGAUGGUUAGUAAACAUUCUGCCCAUAACACAAGUGUGAUCUCCACCAUACUUCGUGAUCUCCGACCCUCGCAACCCCCAACCGCAAGGUGUUCUUUCACUGUUAUGUUUGCAUUUCACCUUCCAAUACAUUGGUUUACUUUCAAAGAACUAGAGAGAAUAUCGGAGGAUUCCGUAUGUUCACCUGACUUAUCAAUCGAUCUUCCACAAUCGAUUUUUCGAGCUCUACAAGCUUUUUUUGAGCAAGUUCCGAAAGCUCGCGAGUCGAUUCGACUCAUUUACACCCCUAAGUGGAAUGGUGCAAUUAAUUUGACCAAAUAAUAAUAUUUAUUGCGGGUUUUAAGUGUAAUAACGUGUUUGACUAAAAACGAAUAUUAUCAGUCAAUCAUCUUACCGGCCACUAAUAUUUAACUAACAGAGUUCAAUAGCAUUAAGCAAACGAGCCCUAAGAAUGUGACGAGUGUGUGUGUGUGUUUGUGGUCUUGCAAUUAGAAUGUUUGUAUAUUGUCUCUAUCAAUGCUAUUAUCAAAUUUAAUUUAUAAUUGAAGGGUAUAACAGUCUUUACACCUAGGGGUAAUUGGAAAACAUUACGCUGGAGUUGGAUUAUAACCGUAGUUUGUUAGAUUUGUUUGGGCGGGAUAUUAAACUUCAAAUAUUAUAUAUAUAUAUAUAUAUAUAUGAAAAUACAUAUAUAUAUAUAUAUAUAUAUAUAUAUAUAUAUAUAUAUAUAUAUAUAUAUAUAUAUAUAUUCAAUUUCUAUAUUCAACUGUUCACAAAACGUCAUUUCACACAGAAACACCUAGAACGCGUGAAAAUGGCGGAGGAAAACCCCGCGAAAGAGAGCUGCAUCCGAAUUGCAGAAGAGCUGCCGGUGACCGCCGUAGACUACAUCAACCAGGAGAGUUGGGACAGUUUCUUCACCUCAAAAGGCACCGACGAUUUCUGCGAGUGGUACGCCGACUGGCCCCAAUUCCGGACCUCACUCAAAAACCUUCUCUCGUUUCAGCUGGCGGAGGAGCUAAACCAUUUCUCAUUUCCGCUGUUGCAGCCGCCGCCGGAGGAGGUGAGUAUUUUGGUGCCGGCGUGCGGGGCCUCGAGGCUGUCGGAGCAUCUCUACGAUGAAGGGUUUACGGAUAUAACGAAUGUGGAUUUCUCGAAGGUGGUGAUUGAGGCCAUGAUGAAGAGGAAUAUCAGAGUACGGCCGGAGAUGAAGUGGCGCGUGAUGGAUAUUACUAAUAUUCCGGUAAUUUUUCCCUUUUCUUCAUAUUCAGUACCCUAGGCCAUGUGGUUUUUAAGGCUUAUACACAAAUUCACUAGUUUCUAACCCUUGCAAUUGCACCGAAUGAUUUACUUCAUAAUAAUCAAAUUAAUUGUAAAAAUUGUCAGUUGAUUGUAAUUAGGAAAUCGCCGAUAUGUAUAAUAAAAAGUGGGCUGGUGUAUUUGUUCAAUUAUGGAAACUGAGAUUAUGGUUUUAUGAUGUGGGAAUUCAAUUUUGGGUCAGAGAAUGACAGAUUUGAAGGAGCAAGAAAAUAUGGUUAUUAGGAUAUCAGUGCCGUUUUUUGGAUUUAGUUCAUCUCCAAAGUGCCUGUUUCAAAUGAUUAAUCAAAUCAUUUUUAGUCAAUUAGCCUGUAAUUUCCCGCACUCUACUCUUUUGGCAUGGUUAUGUCAAUUACUAAAAUCAAGAACGGGAAUACAUUAUGAAGAAAUUGCCACCUUGUUCAUCAACCACUAAAGAAUAGAUUCUGAAGAAAUUGCCACCUUGUUCAUCAACCACUAAAUUAGUUCUGCUAUCACUUGUUUUAUUAAUUUCAUGAAUUAUUUGCUAGUCGUUAACAAUUACUCUUAGCAUCAUGAACUCAUUUCUUAUCCUAUUUUUUGGAACUCUUUUCUCUAUCUAUUUCCUUUUUCUAAUGAUUUGUAAUUGAUUCAGUUUCCAAGUGGGAUCUUUGAUGCCAUCGUCGAUAAGGGAGGAUUGGAUAUUCUGAUGGAUUCCGAGCAUGGCUCCAGAUCAGGACCAUUAUCUUAUAUAUCCGAGGUUUAUGAUAGUCUUGUUUGAUAAUGACACAAUUUCGAUAUCGUUACUUGUUAUGGUCCAAAAGUUUGACUUGUCAACAGGUUAAAAGACUGUUAAAAGCUGGAGGCCGAUAUAUUUGUCUCACCUUGGCAGAACCUCUUGUGCUAGGUACUGUUUCACGUUAUUAAUUAUUAUGGUGAACGUGAAGAUAGGAGUAGUUGGAUUUUUAUUCAGUAUAUCGUUUCUCUCUGCACUAAAUUAUUUCAAUCAUAUGACUCUCUCAGAUCUACUUUUUUCAAAGUUCCGAUUUGGGUGGAAGAUCAAUCUUUAUACCAUUUCUGACGAAGCAUCUCCUGGAACCACCACACAACAGACUUUUAUGUUGGUCGCAGAGAAAUCUUAUUUAACUGUUGUGUCUAGGAUAGUACCAUUCAUGGAUGUAUCUUUUGUAGAAACUCAGGGUAUUCAGGUGAGAGCAGUCGACCGUUUUCUUUUGACCUUUAAGACCAUGCACUUUGGUCAAGAUUCCGAACAAUCUGAUACCAGUACUGUUUCCUAGCUCAUUUGAACAUUUAUUUGGAUUACUACGGAUCUUGAGAAAUACAUUUACUUUUUGAGACGUUAUAGGUUGAUGAGCUACUUGAAGCACUUAACAGAGAAAAUACCAUCCGCGAAGAGUACUCCAAGAGCACAGAUAAAUGGUACUCACUUGAAGAGCUGAAGCAAGGGGUCAAUGGAAACAUUGGAGUGAUUGAAUCUGGUCGUGUUAUAAAGCUUUUUUUAGGUGAAACUGGAACAUCGCGUUUCUUCUAUACUUGUGUCCUUCUUGAUGCUCCUCCAGAGACUGGACCUUUCUCAAAACAAUUUCUCGUAUUAUACUUGCAGAAAGUUAGUUCUUUUUUCUCCCCUUAGCCCUUCACUUGUCGUUUUAGUUACAGUUUAAGAUUCUAUUGCUCUUCCGUUCAGGAAAAUCUGAAAAUAGAUAUACUUUAAUUGCUUAAAAAGUUGUGCAUAACGAGUAUAUUAAUCUAAUAUGAGAUUAUGGUGUUUAUUUGCUACAUAACCAAGCUCUAUCUCCUUCUUAUUUAUUGCUAAGUUAGUCUAUCGUAGAUCGUGUUCUUCCUGUCAGUUACUUUUCUGUUUAAACUUUUGCCAACCUGGACAGCAUUGAGUCUGUCUCUUUAUACCUUAUUUUCAAAAUUAACCAGCUUCAACUUCCAUGACUUUUUAAUAAUCUGUUGCCUUUCUAUUUAUUAGUUUUUACAUUUAGUUUUCAAUAUAGGGUCAGGCAUGUGUGCUAUAUAUGUUCGAGUUACUGAACAUUAAAUAACUCAUGUCUCUAAAGUUUAAGCUUUUGCAUGAGAUGUUCAUUUGAAUCUCACCAUCGUCCAUUUAUGAGAAAGUCCACAGACAAAACUUUACUAAGAAGUAGUCUAUACCAGAUGAAGUGUGUUAGAGUUACUGCUUCUUAAAUUAUUACAUCUGUUAGAGAUUAAAAUUAAAUAUGAGAUAAUCAUUCACCAUGUGGUGCACUUGCUAUUGGCAUACUUCACUACUUAUUUUGUUUCCAGUCCAACUGUUAUGUGACUGAGGUUUUCAAUUCAGUCUCAAGCUUCCCAGAAGAUCCUCGCAUCAGAAUUCCAACAACGGCUAGUUCUUCAAAGCUUCAAAGCUGCUCGACUGUUGAUUGUAAAUAUUUCCAGUCAUUUAUAAAUUUGGUGUACUUUCUUCCUGUACCUGCCUCUUCAUAUUUCAUUUUUCACUCACAUCAUUUUAUUGAUUGGUUUUAGAUUGUACUGGAUUCCAGUUUUUAUGGUAUUUCCUCUGACGAUAUAAGGGUAACAUUGAAAUUUAUUUUCAAUAUGUAAUCCAAAUUGUGAGCUGUAUACUUGAUGUAUACUUAAAUUUUUUAUUUUUUCCUUUUUCAGGAGGAUACCGGCUAUUUUGUCGCUGAACUGCGCCAAGUGGGAGAUGAUGACACUGAUGCUGAGUAAGUAUCCCAUCAGCAUCGCUUGUCCAAUACAGAACUCAUUUGAUAAUGAUUUUAGCUCUUGAUUUCAUAUUAGCCAUGCUACUUUUGUAGUAUAUUUUGUUUAGAUACUAUAUUUCAUCAGCUCGCCAAUUGCCCCCUUCCUUAUUUGCAAAGUUUAAAUCUUUCGUGGUCUUAGUUUAAGUGUUUUAUGCACAAGGUUUUGUUUCUUCAAUGGUAUAACAUGUUUAUGGGUUGUUCAGUAUACCAAGGUAUGCACCCUGUUUUGGGAACACUUGUGAAACGUUUUGGAUAAAUGGGUUUUGAGAUUGCAAGUAAGAUGGCCUCUUCGAGAAAAUUAUGUUACUAUAUUCUUUCUAAGAAUUGCAUGAGAAAUGCCAUUUUUCCCAGUCUUGUGUGAGAACAGACGAGGAAUCGUUUAAAACCUAGGACUAGGAGGGAAAACAAUUGAUGGUUCACGUACUAAUGGCAUUUUUGUUUAGAUUGAGUGAUAUUCUGCUAGUUACAAGAGAAAUAUGCAGUACUUCUAAGAGUAGGUGUUCCUUCAUACUGAUACUUCAUGCUUUGGAUAGUGAGAGAAGUCAUAUUCAUUUUCAUUGAAAUAGAACUUACCCUAUGGUGCACCAAGAAAUUGAUGGAAUGAGAGAGCAUUAAAGUUGUUGCAAUGGUUUCAGUGCAUUGUAGCUUUUCCUUGCUAUAAUAUUGCCAGAAUGAUUUUACACGUAUUCGUAUAAUUGGUAAGGCUUAAUAGAGUUUAUCAAAUGGAGCUCUUGCAGAUUUACGGCUGAUGAUGGUAGGAUUGAGGGGAUUAAGCAGAAUACAAUUGUGCAUCAGGUUGAAGAACUACUAUUUCUUGCCUCAUCUUAUGAGAUCUAUAGGAGUUGUAUUAAUUGUCUUUUUCAUGUGUAGAGUAAGUUUGUUCCAGAAUAUGGAUACAGCUUUUAAAUUGAUGUGCUAAUACUUUGGUGUUCACUGAUAAUUAUUACUACGUCUAAAGGAUAUUUUGACAUGCUAUUUUUUUUCAAUUCUCAACAUUGAUUAUUUGCUCUCUUAGCACACUUUCAUGGUUCUAUAUUCAGUGGCAUGUUUCUAAUGCAAGUUUCUAGGAAUAGAUAUUUCAUACCUACUGCUCUUUAUGUAUUUCCGUCUCUCAUUUUCCUCUCUCUACUUUGGUUCAUCCAGGUUUCAUCUGUCUCGACUGGUCAAAUCUCUGUCGAAGACGUGAGAUAUAACCAAUCUCAGGUGAUCACAUUCCGCCGCCUUUAUUUUGAAAGAGCUGAGAGUUUGAUGCAUUCUGAAGCUCCAUUAUCCACAGAAGCUUUCAGACAGAAGAAAGGAAAACCAAAAAAGAUUGAUUCUCACGGUGAAUUUCUGAUAUCUAUCAGCUUUUUUUUUUUUUUUUUCUUCUUAUGCACUUUAGUUACCACAUUUGGGUUUUGUAGACAUUUUAAAUUAUGACUUUUUGCUGCAUACAUUCAAUAAUUUUUUCCUUAAUGUAGCUGAUAUACAUGUACAAGAUAUUAGCCAUGUUCCAAUUCUAAGAAUUCAUCCAGAGCUAAUAGAAUUGGGAAAUAAAAUAACCGCAGGAGACUAUCUUCAUUGAGAAAAUUCAAACUCUGUUCACCACAGUGUGUCAUGUUCUCAUCUGCAUAUUAUACUAAGAUGAAAGAAAAUUCAAAUUUUGUCCUCCGAUUCUUUAUUUGCGCACACACAGUUAUAAUACUUUCUAGGAUUGGUAGACUUCAGGUUCUUUUGCUAGAACGUGGUCUGUCAAUUUAUAUUUAGGUUCCAGUGGCAAUAAUUGUAGGACAUGUACCUAAGGCUCAGUGAAACUAUCUUCAUUGCGAAAAUUGACACGCAAGCAGCUUUUACUAGCCACCUCUAAGUCAAUCUCUUUUUUUCCCAAGCUACCUUAAAAGCCUUUUAAACUUACUGUUAUCUACCGCUGAGGAAUACAAGUAGCAAUAUUUAUUCACCUUCGUUAAUCGUCUUUUUAAUCCGGGGCAGCAUCAAGUGGUGUUAAAGUUGAACACAAAAUUUUGACAACUGGAUUCCACAAGGGGGUUAUUGCUGGACUACUGUUGUUUUCUACACAUUCAAAAAGAACUACCAAAGCUGGUGGUUUGGUGAGCCAUCUACGAAUUACUUCCUCAUCUCUUUUUUGCUUAAAUGAUUCUCCAAAUAGAGGCAAAAAACCUGCAUAAGUGACUUAAGUUGCUAUUAACAUUGAUGACUAAUUUAUUUACUAAUUAAUAUAGUAUCUACAUAUUACUAUAUUAUUAUUCACUGUUCAUACAGCUGGUCGUGUAAUGGAAAUGAACUAAAAUAUUCCCACUUUUUUCAGGUCAAAACAGUGAUCAUUGGUCUUGGACCAGGAAUACUUCCUAUGUUUAUGAGAAAUCGCCUACCUUCUCUAAAGAUUGAGGUAUAACGAAAAUUCUGGCUGUGCUAAUUUACCAUUUUUUCAAUCCUUAUGUAUAUUCUUCUUAAUUUGCAAGGUCGUCGAGUUAGAUCCUGCGGUUCUGAAUGUUGCUAGAAAUUAUUUUGGUUUUACAGAAGAUGAAAGGUUGAAGGUGGUAUUCUAUUUUCUAACGUUUUCUUGUUUAAGGUUGUGAAAGGCUGUUGGUUCUAGCAUCCACAUUUCAUUUAGCUGUAACAUACAAAUGUUCGAAGAUGCUUACAUUAAUUCUGACUUAAACUGCCAAAAAUUGCUCAUACUUUUGCUACUCUCCUUCUCAUGUUCAGGUACAUAUUACUGAUGCAAUUAAGUUUGUCAGAGAGAGAGCAAAUUCUGAGGCAGGUAGGUAUAAAGUAGCAACAACUAGUUGUGUAUUGUAGUAAUAUAAAAAGGUUAAAACAGCAUGCUUAGCAGCAAGUACUUAACCGUAGUUCAUGCAGAUGGAAGCAAAGUUGAUUUACUCAUAAUCGAUGUGGAUUCAUCAGACUCGAGGUAACGUAGCUUUUAAUAAAAAAAAAAAAAAUCAUUUUUAUUUAUUUAUUUUGGUAUCAUUUUUUUUUCACCUGCUAGGUACUAUUUUUUUUUUGUUUUUUUUAAAUUGUGCAGUUCGGGUUUAAUCAGUCCAGAGGCAGACUUUGUUGAGGAAUCUUUUCUAUUGACCGUAAAAGACUCACUUUCCGACAAAGGUUUAUUCAUCUUUAAGUUGAUCCCGAAGCACUACUUUACUAGUAUGAGGGCACCGGUGUAUUCAAAAUUGAAAAGGGUGAGAAAAACUCGUGAAGUAACAUUUUGUUUCGGGUUAUUUUUUUUCCUUCUCUUUGCAUUAUGUUUUGAUGAUAGUUGGUGGAUAUUUGACAGGUAUUUAGCAACUUGUAUCACAUGUACGUGGAUGAUGGCUUCGUCGAAAUAAUAUUUGCAGUGAAGAAGGAAGCUCCGGUUGAACUUGAAGAAGCUUGUGAAGCACUUGAAAGAUCGUUACGGGAUAAUUACAACAUGCGUCCUUUGAUCAAUAAUGUGUUACAUGACUCAAAAUUGAUCAAACCAUUCUACUACCCUCCUGAUAAUGGUUUUAUUGUAAUUAGUGACUGACUGGUUUGUGCUUCUUUUUGUAUAGCUAUUAAAUAGUGUUACUAUACUACGAAUGUAAGCAGAUAUUGUAAAUAUCUGGUGAUCUGAUGAGAGGCAUUACUGUUGAUAUAAUAAAUUUGCACAUAUUAGUAUUACCUUUAUUGCUGUAGUUUCUUGAAUUUUGACACUAUACUUUUUUCUUUUAAAAAAAUUAAAUUGAAAAAGAAAAAAAAAAUCAUGAUUCUACUUCAAUCAAUUGCUAUCACUCCUCUUCCCAGAUAUUUGGAGAGAAAUCCCUCUCUCUCUCUCUCUCUCUCUCUCUCUCUCUUCUCUCUCUCUCUCUCUCUCUUUGUGAGUGUGUGUGUGUGUGUGAUGAACAUCCAUCACACUAUUUCUUCUUCUGCCCAUCACUCAAACACUUACAGCCCACUAAAACAACCAUGGCAAAGAUUUCAUCAGCACCACCAAAAUUGUCUGAAAUCCAGGAUGUGAGAUUUUAUUACCUAUUAAUUUAAUUUCUUGUUUUUCUAAGACUAUAAAAAUAUUGUAACUUCAAUAUCAUUUGUGUGUAUCUAAACUAAAUCAUUGUUUACAUCAACAGUGCUCAAUUUGGGUGUGGAUCAUUCAGCUUCCCUCAACAAAAAUCAAACAUUUGGAAAUUAUCAGAAACAAAGAAGAACAGUCGAGAUGGAGGCAGAAAAGUCACGAGUAUCAGCACUCCUUGGAGAGGCGAUUUCUGCUUUAGAAAUCACCUCUGUCAGAGAUGAUUUCUGAGCAUUGGUGGGGGCCAGCUGGGCGACUUUAUUUGGGCAUGUGGGGAGGUUGGGGUUGAUGUAAAUAAAAUACUUCCAACUUCUUCUCCCAUUUUUUCACACUCCUUCCAAAAUUAAUAGGUUUCUCUCCAUUUUUUUUAUGUUCUUAGCAUAAUUUUUUUUGGGUAAAUUCCACAUUCUCCCCUUAUACUUUGGCUCGAUAUCACUUUACCCCAUUCUACUCUCGAUUGCAUUGAUUUGCCCUCCUAUACUUGAAAAAUUCUCAAUGCGGCCCUCGUUGUUAGUUGUCAUAUAUUUGACCUUAACAUCGUUUGGUCUAAGCUCGGAAAUUACAAAAACACUACCUCUCCCAGUUUAAAUACUAAUUAAAAAAAAACGAAAUAAAAAAACCAAAAAAAAAUUAAAAAACAAUUCAAGACAACGAGAAAACAUAGUCCACCACGGCAGCCACAAUUUAUUUUAUAUAUAUAUAUAUAUUUUUUAAUAAUUAUUUAAAGUGGGAGGGGUGAUUUUUUUUUUUUUGUAAUUUCCGGACUUAGAUCAAAUGGUGUUAAGGUUAUGUCUAAUAAUUAACGGCGAUGGCCACAUUGAGAAAAUUUUCAAGUACAGGGGGCAAAUCAAUGCAAUUGAGAGUAGAAGGGAGUAAAGUGAUAUCGAACCAAAGUACAAAGGGAGAAAGUGGAAUUUACUCUUUUUUUUUUUAAUAACUAUGUUUAAUUUUUUAAACAUUGUGGUUGUUGUUAUAUUAAAUUAAUCUAUUUAGUUAUAUAUUUAGAAUAACAAAAUCAUAAAUUACAGGUAUUUUUAAUUAGUUUUUUCAUUUUCGUUUUUUUUAAUUUUUUUUUUGAAAUAUUUUACUAAUUUUAGUAUGCAUUAUUUUAAAUUGUUUUUUUUUUUUGCAGAUUUAAAAUGCAAAAGUAAAAGGUCAAUCCAUUAUAUUGUUAACGGUGUUAGUAAGUUAAUAUGAUUUUCCAUUAAUGCCUUUAAUCACGUUCGUAACAAUCUCAAGAAAAAGAAAAGCACAUUGAUAACAAAAUAACUAUUUUCCUAAAUUCCCUCAAAAAACAAAAACUACACUUCUAAAUUAAAAAAAAAAAAAAAGUCGUAAUUUAUCUGUCUAGAAUGUCAAAAUAAUUAUACAAUUGAAAACCUGAAUAUGUUCCGAGAUAUUUUAACCUAAUAUUUUAAUUUCUCAUUUCAUUUAAUUAUGAAAAAUGAAAAUACAGUAUAUAAUAGCUAAGAAAUAAAAGAGUUCAUAAGAUUAACAUGUAAUCAAAGAUAGAAAAAAGUAAACUUCGAACAACUUCUAAAUAGCACAUGAAAAAAAUAAAAUAAAGUAACUUGCAUAAAUACAAUCAGGUUUACAAAAUUACCCAAAAAACAGAACCAGUACCAUCAAAAUGAAAUCACUUGCGUAUUCAUUAAGAUAUAAUCCAAAAAAUCAAGCAUCAAUAUUUAACUCCUAAUAAGAUAUGCAAAAUUAAAAGAUCUUGCUUCAACUUUCUACACAUCUCCAGAGUCUCCAUAAUCAGGAAUCACUAAGUAGUUAUGUGAGGGUGCUUGGGUGGUAGAAAAACACGGCAUCACCAAAUCUCGUUUUCUUCCUUUUGUAUCUACAAAAGCAUAGUUGUAUAUAAAUAUACUAUCAAAAACUAUUUUUCUAAUUUAUAGAAUUGAAGAUCUCACCUCUAACACCUGCAGCAGAUUGAUUUUUUUUACUUUGGGAUGCCGUAAAAGAUUGUGAAACUUGUGACGAUUUGUCAUACGAUGGUUGUUGCAAGAAAAUAAAGUCACUAGCACGUGAUGUAAAAUAAAAUUAAUCAAACAUAAUAAAUCAAUGAUGAAUCCUAGAGAAUUUUAGUAGCACGUAUUGCAUUAGCAUCAACAACUUUUGUAUUUGUGACCUGGAAAUUAUAUAGACCGUCGUUAAGGUAUUUAUAUUUGUAAACUAUUAAUACAAAAAUGUAAAAAAUAGUUUUACCUCGGCAGAAGGGAUGAACUGGUGCAUGUUUGACAUGUCAAUGCCAUUCCAAUUCCCAAUACCACAUAAAGGCCCAUUGUUCCACCUCCCUCUUCCUCUUUCAGUUCUUGCUUGAGUUCCUCUAGGUCUUCCUCUUCCUCUUGGAGCACUUGAACCACUAGACAUUGUUGGGUUUCGGGCACGCGUACGCAGCGGAAAACAAAAAUUUAAUGUGAUUUAAACGACUUUAAAGCACACAAGAACAUGCCCGACAAAUUAAAUCAAUUAAUUGCGUACCUUUGCGCUUCCAGCGAAAUUAAAACAACAACAUGCUUAAUUACUUAAUCGAAAUUAAAUCAAUUAGCAUGCUCGCUUUUAAAUCAAAUAAUCAUGCUCGCAAUAAUAAAACCAAUUUCAUGUAGUCACAUAAAAUCAUACAAGUUUCUUAUUAAAACGAACAUGCAUAUAUUAAUUUAAACGUAGCCGAAUCGAAUGACAAUAGAUUCGAAACAUUACCUCUUGAAGCGUGAGGUAGGCGCACUAAGCAAAGCUAGAUUUCCACGGAAACCAAUCCGUGCAAUCCGGGGCAGCAACUGCGAUGAGAAGAUGGCUAGCUGCUCUUCCCACUCCUAUUGAUCCAACCUGUUUGCUGAUCUGAAAUUACAGCCUUGCUCCGACUUCAGUAUCUCCAUGCGUAUUUACUGGAUGAACAAUUCCUUCUGGAAGAUGGUAGAUUUAUGAGUCGUGAAGCUGCUGUCAAAAUUUCACGUCCAUCGGAUGACCGGUUGAUUUAUGGCGAAAUUUCUCGCUGGGCAGCGCAGAAAAUCCGAGAGCAGUUUUUCGGAAUUGCCUUCUCGCAUCUUCGAUUCUUCGAUCUUCGUCCUCUUGGAUUUCACCUCGUAUACUUCGAUCUACUAAACACGUGGCACUAGACACGUAAUAGUCAGAAUAACGGAAGAAAAGAAAGAAGGAAAGGAAUACCGAAAGAGAUCGGCCAACGGGUGGCCGAUUCCGGCGAAUUUCCGGCGACGGCGCGGUGGUGGUGGCCGUGGGAGAGGGUGGCUGAUCGAGAGAGGCAACGGCUAGGGUUAUGAACGUGUGUUCUCUUAGUUAUGUGUGUGCAAGACCUAUAAAUCAAGUAUUUAUAUGUCUUGCAUAAAACCCUAACGGGCUUAAGUUGGACAGGGCCCAACAACUUAAGUUCGUUAGUUCUUUUACUUGCUCGUCUCUCUCAAUUCAAUGAUCGGAAAAUUGUAACGAUUACAUUUUCGGAAUCAUUAUAAUGUCCUCGUCAUUACGAGUGCCAACUCUCGAUUUCCAACUUUCCAAAAGUGGAAACCCUAAUUCAGUGCACUUUCUAAAUUUGGAAACUUCCCGAUUUAGAAAGUCCACUAAUACAUUUGCCUAUUCUUUUCCUUUUCUUAUUCUCAUUCAUAAUUCCAAAUUACGAAUGUUGGACCCAAUCAUAUUGACUUCCAAUCAUGCAAAGAUAAACCAUUUUAUCUCUGACCGUUUAUUCAAAGAUCUCAUGUGCACGAGCAGUGUGACCCUCGAUGGUUCAGGUGUAAGCUAGCCGUGGGCCCACAACCCUUUGUGGUCAAAACUCGUCCCCUUAGAGUUACGAUUAAGAUGAAACUCGUUUCACCUUAAUCACCCAACGAAUCAAGAUUGGCGUCUAGCAACUACGCGUCAUGAUUCCCUAGAUACAAAUGAAGUGCCUGCAAGAACCUUCAGAUAUAGUUAACGUACAGUACGGUCCCUUCGAUUCAUAUGUCCCGAUCGAACUAGAGGCAUUGGUUCAUCGAGACCUCUUUAUAUGUUCGAUGACGGUGCGAUCGUUCUAAGUGUUGUAAUCCUUACGUGCAUGACUUAGAGAAUCGAAUUCUCUAAUCAUCACUUAGUCAGCUCUGGCCAGAGACUUAGAAUGAUUACAAACUUUCAGAACACACAGGACAUCCAAGACUAUUCUAGCGAUCGAAUCCCCGACUACAAUGCACAGACCUCCCACUAGAUUUCGGACUGCACGAACACUGGCCCUUGGAAUGGUCCUCGGUGGAACUCAGGGACAGGUCACGAUACAGCUGGUCCUCUAGUGAAGUCACGGUGAUGUCUAGGUCAUAAGGACUAAUGGUGUACAACUAUAUCAUAGACAUCUCUACUCGAUUAUUGGGAACCACUUAGAGAUUUCUAGGGUGAGGGAGUUCAGUGAACUCGUCAACUUACGAGCACCCACUUAUGCAUGCCGAUAUCACAAUACCGUUUACUGAUGAGAUGCAGUACACAUACACUAAGUGCUAGUCUUAAUGGGAAAGGCCGAUAUCCUCAUUAGUGGCGUAACCCUUCGACUAGGAACAUGUUUAACAGUUAUAAUACUUAAGUAAAUAUCUCACGAUCCUAACGAUCAAUUACUAGUACUUGUAAUAACUGUAAGGACUAUAUCUAUGCUUGUGACAAAGGGACAAAGAUAUAGAAUGCCAAGGUGUUUUAUCAUUAAUACGAAUAAAAGUUCGUUUAUUACCAUAAUAAAUACGAAAGACCACAGCCAAAAGUUGGCUUGUUGGUCACCUACUCUAACAAUCUCCCACUUGACCUAAAGCCAACUACCCAUGAAUCGCAAUCCCAUCGACUCUCGAUGUUUCUCAUGGACCGAUCUCGGUAAAGGCUUCGUAAAGGGGUCUGCAACGUUCUCUUCCGAGGUGACUCGUUCUACUUUAACUUCACCUCUACCAAUGAUCUCUCGGAUCACAUGAUACUUUCUCAGAAUAUGCUUCGACUUCUGAUGAGAUCUCGGCUCCCUAGCUUGCGCCAAGGCUCCGGUGUUAUCACAGUACAACGGUACUGGAUCACUAGCACAAGGAACGACACCCAACUCUUGGAUGAACUUCCUUAUCCAAGUCCCAUCUUUUGCAGUUUCGGACGCUGCAAUGUAUUCCGAUUCGGUAGUGGAAUCAGCCGUUGUGCUUUGCUUGGAACUCUUCCAACACACGGCACCACCAUUAAGCGUGAAUAUAAAUCCAGAAUUCGACUUUGAGUCGUCCACAUCCGAUUGAAAACUAGAGUCAGUGAAACCCUCUAAUUUCAACUCGGCACCCCCAUAGACCAAAAAUAUAUCCUUAGUUCUUCGCAAGUACUUGAGGAUAUCUUUCACGGCUUUCCAGUGAGCCGGGCCGGGGUUAGACUGAUAUCUGCUUGUGACACUCACAGCAUACGCAAUAUCGGGUCUAGUACAUAGCAUGCCAUACAUUAUGCUUCCUAUGGCAGAAGCAUAGGGCGUUCUUUUCAUCUCCUCGAUUUCACUAGGUGUUUGGGGACACAUAGAUUUCGAGAGACGAACCCCAUGGGACAUUGGCAAGAAUCCCUUCUUGGAUUCUUCCAUGCUAAACCGUUUCAUAACGGUGUCUAUGUACAGGCUUUAGGAUAAGCCAAGCAUCUUUCUUGCUCUAUCUCUAUAGAUGCGUAUUCCCAAUACGUAAGAUGCUUCUCCCAAAUCCUUCAUUGAGAAACGUGUGGACAACCAUGCUUUCGUUUGCUGUAACAUUCCUACGUCAUUCCCAAUGAGUAGAAUGUCAUCAACGUAAAGCACUAGAAAUAUUACUGCCCUCCCACUAACCUUCUUGUAUACACAAGGUUCCUCCGGAUUCUUCUCAAAAUCAAACUCUUUGAUAGUUGAGUCGAACCUAAUGUUCCAACUACGGGAUGCUUGUUUCAAUCCAUAAAUGGAUCGCUGGAGCUUGCAAACCUUUUGCUCACUUCCAGAAGAUAUGAAGCCUUCCGGCUGCGCCAUGUAAAUUUCUUCCUCAAUGUCUCCAUUAAGGAAGGCGGUCUUCACAUCCAUUUGCCAUAUCUCGUAGUCGUACCACGCAGCUAUGGCCAGCAAAAUCCUAAUGGACUUCAGCAUCGCGACUGGCGAAAAGGUUUCCUCAUAGUCAACGCCUUGCCUUUGAGUGUAUCCUUUUGCUACCAAUCUAGCUUUAUAGGUCGAUACCUUUCCAUCAACUCCAAUUUUCUUCUUAUAGAUCCACUUGCAGCCUAUAGGAAUAAUUCCUUUGGGUGGAUCUACCAAGGUCCAUACCUUGUUGGAGUACAUGGAGUCCAUUUCGGAUUUCAUGGCAGUUAGCCAAUGUCCCAUGUCCGCAUCCGAUACGGCCUCAUUGUAUGUUCUUGGAUCUCGUCCAAGAUCAACAUGAUCUUCAUCAUUUUCGAGGAGGAAUAACCUAUCCGGCAUUUUCCGAACUCUUUCGGAUCUACGUACCGUAGGUUCAGGAGGUAUAUUAGUGGUUUGUUGUAUUGGUUCGAUUGCUUGUUCUUGUGUUUGAACUUCACUUUGUGGUUCUUGAACUACUUCAAGUUCUAUCAUGCUGCCCUUUCUAUCGGAUAGAAACUCCCUUUCCAAAAAGGUGGCAUUUCUCGAAACAAACGUCUUUGCUUCUUUGACAUAGUAGAACUCGUAUCCCAUUGAGUCUUCGGGAUACCCCACAAAAUAGCACAAGUCGGAUUUACUAUCCAACUUAUCUCCCACUAAUCGCUUCACAUAAGCGGGACAACCCCAUAUCCUAAUAUGUUUGUAAUUGGGUUUCCGGGAAUGCCAAAGUUCAUAAGGUGUGGAUUUAACUGCUUUGGUGUUAACUCUAUUCAGCAAAUACGCGGCAGUACGAAGUGCAUGACCCCACAAGUAUGCCGGUAAGUUUGUGAACCCCAUCAUUGAUCGAACCAUAUCUAAUAAAGUUCGAUUCCGACGUUCGGAUACUCCAUUAAGUUGAGGAGUUCCCGGUGGAGUCCAUUGGGACUGUAUCCCAUUUUCUUUUAGAUAGUCAAUGAACUCGAUGCUCAAGUAUUCUCCACCACGAUCGGAUCGCAGCUUCUUAAUACUUCGUCCGAGUUGCUUUUCUACUUCAUGUCUAAAAUCUUUGAACUUUUCAAAUGUUUCAGACUUGUACUUCAUCAAGUACACAUACCCAUACCUAGAAUAAUCGUCGGUAAAGGUGGCGAAGUAGUUGUAUCCACCCUUCGCACUAACACUUAGUGGACCACAUACGUCUGUAUGGAUCAAAUCCAAAAGACCCUCGGCUCGUUCCAUUUUCCCUUUGUAGGGUGACUUGGUCAUUUUCCCUUUAAGGCAAGAUUCACAAGUUUGUAGUGAUUUCACGUCCUCCAAAGAGAACAAUCCUUCACUAACAAAAUCGUUCAUCCUUCUUAAAGAGACAUGACCUAAUCUAGCGUGCCAAAGUUGUGCGGGGUUUUGAUCUAUCUCCUUACGUUUUGCUGAUAUAACAUUAAUAGGUAUUUCAUUUGGAUUUAGUUCAUACAAGUUGUUUAAUAGUCGUCCUUUGCAAAUUAAAUUCUCAUUCUUUUGUAUAAUGCAAAUCGAAUUUCCAAAAACAAAAGUAAAACCUUCAAUAUCUAAUACAGGAAUAGAAAUAAGGUUUCUAAUGAGCGACGGAACAAAUAAACAAUCGUUCAAAACAAUAGGAAAACUAGAAUCCAAAACAUUUAAGUAAAUAGUGCCAACGGCUUCAGCAGCAACUCUUGCUCCAUUCCCCAUCCUUAGGUAGGUCUCACCCGCUCUAAGUCUUCGACUUCUUGUCAUUAGCUGCAAAUCAUUGCACAAAUGUGAGCCACAGCCCGUAUCCAAUACCCAAGAAGAAGAGUUGACAGACAAAUUUACGUCAAUGAAAUACGUACCCUUUUCAGAACCUUUCUGCUUCAGGUAAGCCUUGCAGUUGCGGCGCCAAUGUCCUUUCUUUCCACAGUGAUGGCAAGCAUCAUCAACUUGUUUGCUAACCUUUGCUUUGGGGCCCCCACUACCUUCACCCACUUCGAACUUGCUGUUAGGGAAAAGAACUCUUUCCUUUCUCUUCUUUUGGAAAGAACUCUUCUUUCCAGAAGUAGCAGCAAUGAGAACAGACUUCUCUUUCUUAAUGGUGGACUCGAAGCUGACCAACAUGUUCAUUAACUCAUCCAAGGGAGGAUCUAGUUUGUUCAUGUUGAAGUUCACUAUGAACGAUUCAUAGGAACUAGGAAGAGACAACAGGAUCAAAUCCAACGAGAGCUCGGCCGGGAGGGUGACAUCAAGAUUCACUAGCUUUUCAAGGAGAGUGAUCAUUUUGAGACAGUGCUCGUGGACCGAAACCCCUUCGCGCAAUCUCGCUGUGAUCAACUCCUUUGUAGCAGCGUAUCUCGAUGCCCUAAUAUUCACACUAUACAUGCUAUCGAGAUGAGCCUUUAUAUCGAAAGCAUGCAAGUGAGACUCAUAUUUCCUCGCAAGCGCGGGCUCCAUGGCGGCUAUCAUAUAGCACCUAGCAUGAGUGUCAUCUUUCUUCCAAACUUCAUAAGUUUCCUUUUCAGCAUCAGUUGCUGUGGCAGGUAAAGUGGCGGGAAGCCUCUCGUUCAAAACGUAGAGACGCCCCUCAACAGUUAGCACAAGCUUAAGACUACGCAACCAAUCUAGGUAAUUAGGGCCAUUGAGUUUAUUGUCGAGGAUUGACAUUAUGGGAUUCUUAGACAUGAUUAUCUGAGACAUAUAGAGAAGAGGAUUAUUAGAGAUUCGCGUUAAAUGAUUGUUACAAUUAAAUGUUUGGACUUAUGUUAUUUAAUUGUUCUCCCACUAAUUUUAUCGAAUUCCACUUCCCUCUAGUAGACAAACGAGAAAACUGAUUUUUCUUAAUGGGCUUUAGGUCCAAUAGACAAAUAUAACCCGUAGUUAAUCUAGCCCGAUUAUAUUUGCCCAAAGGUAGAUCACAAUCAAUCAUAUCCACAAUAUGACCCUAAAUUAAUUUUCCUCACACUUGAUAAUGACCUAAGUUAAUCUCGCGAAUAUCAAAAUCGUCGUGUGUCAAGUCUAACCUACCAAUCAAAGAUGCUCAUAGAACUCGAUUAUGCCAAACUAAUGCAGUCCCUAGUUAAUCUAGCCGACCACGUUAAUUCAACAUAACCCUUUUCUAUGGCUACCUUCAUCGUUAUGUCAAUUGAAUUACAGCUUACUCUACCAUAGCACUCCCCGCUAACACGGCUUACUGCACUAUAGUAAAGGGCUACACAUAAUCCAACCGUUGGCAGAAGGAAAGAAAUAACUCAACAGAUUGGGUUUUUCUUUAUAGCUUGAAAUGAUUCUUAAUUAAAAGAAUGAGGGAUUUUAAUUAAAGUGUUUUAUCUCAUCAGAAGGUUUUGGAUUGGUCUAUGUGAUUCCUACAUCUAUGUUCUCUAAAGGUAUAUGGAAGCGCAUAUUGUCCUAAGAGGAACAUACGACCUAACUACAUAAUUAAUUACAUUAAUUAAUUAUCGGAUUUCCAAAAUAAUUAUAGAACCUCAACUAGCAUAAAUCAUUCAAAUAAUGUUGAGGUACUAUUAAUUAAGUUGAAGUAUAAUCAACAUUAUACGUGUGUUCUAUUAAUUGAAAUCAAUCUAACAAUUUAAAUUAAUUAAUUAAUCUAACACCUAUUUACUAAAAUAGAUGAUUGUCGAUCCAAUUAUCUAAUUGGGAUUAAUCGAAAAUAAUUUUCCAAAAAUUAAAAUCAAUUUGUUUUAAGUUUAAUUUUAGAAAUCUGAAAUAAAUUUUUUUUUUUUUUUUUUUUUUCAGUGGACCGGUUCGGCCCAACCGGUCUGACCGGUUCGGACCGAAGCGGUCCGGUUCUGCCCGGUCCAGCUGACCCAAAUCAGUGGGCCGGGUCAGUCGGACCGAGAACCGGUCUGACCGACCUGAAUCCACGUGGAUUCGGUCAACUAGAUCGCACACAACCAUCGAACCGGCCGGUUCGACCGGUUCGAUCCGAACAUUUAAAAACCGACAUUUUAAAAACAAUUUCAGAUCCGAUUUUCCAAUUUUAAACAAUUUUAAAGCUGGAAAAACUCUAAACAAUAUUUCAAAAAUAUUUUAAACUUACGAAAACUCCCAAUUACAUAAUACGACAAUCGCUACUUUAAUAAAUCGAACAUGCAUAAAAUCAUAGCAUAUUAUACAACGCAAUUAAUUACGCAACGAGCUCUGAUACCACUGUUGGGUUUCGGGCACGCGUACGCAGCGGAAAACAAAAAUUUAAUGUGAUUUAAACGACUUUAAAGCACACAAGAACAUGCCCGACAAAUUAAAUCAAUUAAUUGCGUACCUUUGCGCUUCCAGCGAAAUUAAAACAACAACAUGCUUAAUUACUUAAUCGAAAUUAAAUCAAUUAGCAUGCUCGCUUUUAAAUCAAAUAAUCAUGCUCGCAAUAAUAAAACCAAUUUCAUGUAGUCACAUAAAAUCAUACAAGUUUCUUAUUAAAACGAACAUGCAUAUAUUAAUUUAAACGUAGCCGAAUCGAAUGACAAUAGAUUCGAAACAUUACCUCUUGAAGCGUGAGGUAGGCGCACUAAGCAAAGCUAGAUUGCCACGGAAACCAAUCCGUGCAAUCCGGGGCAGCAACUGCGAUGAGAAGAUGGCUAGCUGCUCUUCCCACUCCUAUUGAUCCAACCUGUUUGCUGAUCUGAAAUUACAGCCUUGCUCCGACUUCAGUAUCUCCAUGCGUAUUUACUGGAUGAACAAUUCCUUCAGGAAGAUGGUAGAUUUAUGAGUCGUGAAGCUGCUGUCAAAAUUUCACGUCCAUCGGAUGACCGGUUGAUUUAUGGAGAAUUUUCUCGCUGGGCAGCGCAGAAAAUCCGAGAGCAGUUUUUCGGAAUUGCCUUCUCGCAUCUUCGAUUCUUCGAUCUUCGUCCUCUUGGAUUUCACCUCGUAUACUUCGAUCUACUAAACACGUGGCACUAGACACGUAAUAGUCAGAAUAACGGAAGAAAAGAAAGAAGGAAAGGAAUACCGAAAGAGAUCGGCCAACGGGUGGCCGAUUCCGGCGAAUUUCCGGCGACGGCGCGGUGGUGGUGGCCGUGGGAGAGGGUGGCUGAUCGAGAGAGGCAACGGCUAGGGUUAUGAACGUGUGUUCUCUUAGUUAUGUGUGUGCAAGACCUAUAAAUCAAGUAUUUAUAUGUCUUGCAUAAAACCCUAACGGGCUUAAGUUGGACAGGGCCCAACAACUUAAGUUCGUUAGUUCUUUUACUUGCUCGUCUCUCUCAAUUCAAUGAUCGGAAAAUUGUAACGAUUACAUUUUCGGAAUCAUUAUAAUGUCCUCGUCAUUACGAGUGCCAACUCUCGAUUUCCAACUUUCCAAAAGUGGAAACCCUAAUUCAGUGCACUUUCUAAAUUUGGAAACAUCCCGAUUUAGAAAGUCCACUAAUACAUUUGCCUAUUCUUUUCCUUUUCUUAUUCUCAUUCAUAAUUCCAAAUUACGAAUGUUGGACCCAAUCAUAUUGACUUCCAAUCAUGCAAAGAUAAACCAUUUUAUCUCUGACCGUUUAUUCAAAGAUCUCAUGUGCACGAGCAGUGUGACCCUCGAUGGUUCAGGUGUAAGCUAGCCGUGGGCCCACAACCCUUUGUGGUCAAAACUCGUCCCCUUAGAGUUACGAUUAAGAUGAAACUCGUUUCACCUUAAUCACCCAACGAAUCAAGAUUGGCGUCUAGCAACUAUGCGUCAUGAUUCCCUAGAUACAAAUGAAGUGCCUGCAAGAACCUUCAGAUAUAGUUAACGUACAGUACGGUCCCUUCGAUUCAUAUGUCCCGAUCGAACUAGAGGCAUUGGUUCAUCGAGACCUCUUUAUAUGUUCGAUGACGGUGCGAUCGUUCCAAGUGUUGUAAUCGUCACGUGCAUGACUUAGAGAAUCGAAUUCUCUAAUCAUCACUUAGUCAGCUCUGGCCAGAGACUUAGAAUGAUUACAAACUUUCAGAACACACAGGACAUCCAAGACUAUUCUAGCGAUCGAAUCCCCGACUACAAUGCACAGACCUCCCACUAGAUUUCAGACUGCACGAACACUGGCCCUUGGAAUGGUCCUCGGUGGAACUCAGGGACAGGUCACGAUACAGCUGGUCCUCUAGUGAAGUCACGGUGAUGUCUAGGUCAUAAGGACUAAUGGUGUACAACUAUAUCAUAGACAUCUCUACUCGAUUAUUGGGAACCACUUAGAGAUUUCUAGGGUGAGGGAGUUCAGUGAACUCGUCAACUUACGAGCACCCACUUAUGCAUGCCGAUAUCACAAUACCGUUUACUGAUGAGAUGCAGUACACAUACACUAAGUGCUAGUCUUAAUGGGAAAGGCCGAUAUCCUCAUUAGUGGCGUAACCCUUCGACUAGGAACAUGUUUAACAGUUAUAAUACUUAAGUAAAUAUCUCACGAUCCUAACGAUCAAUUACUAGUACUUGUAAUAACUGUAAGGACUAUAUCUAUGCUUGUGACAAAGGGACAAAGAUAUAGAAUGCCAAGGUGUUUUAUCAUUAAUACGAAUAAAAGUUCGUUUAUUACCAUAAUAAAUACGAAAGACCACAGCCAAAAGUUGGCUUGUUGGUCACCUACUCUAACAGACAUUCCCCUAACACUGCCUCGUUCCAUACUCCUUCCCCCUCGUCCCCUACCAGUUUGAGAAUUAUCUUCUCCUUCCAUAUCUCUAUUUCCCGUGGUGUUACUUUGUGCACUCACUCGAGAUAUUCUGGUUAAUGUCUGUGUUGUAACCUGUGUAAAUCAUUGUAUUUUUUGAUUGAAUUGUAUAAUAAUAACUAAGUAUAUAAGCAUAUUUAAGUCGGUAAGUUACUUGCACUGUUUUGAUUCACUUGAUUAAAUCCUGGAGGAUAAUUGCAUUUUCUCUUAUUAUGUGUGGUUGCUGCACAGUUUGAGCAAGAAAUGUUGCCACCUUUUCUAGUAACUCUCUUUCCAUCUGAUAUUUCAUCAGCACUUUUAUUUCUUGCUUUUUUGGGUCUGCGAGGCUGUCUUCUCACAUUUGGGGGAAUUAUGGGAUCAUUAUCGGCAGGUGGCCAUUGACUUUUGUCUGGUACAAUGUGUAUAGCCAAGUUAUAUGCUUGUUUGUACUUUGACACCAAGAAGUAAUGACUCACAAAGUCUUCGAGAUGUCGAUGCUCUUGCAGAAUAGCCCAUGUAGAAUGUUCACGUGGUAUUUCUGUUAAGUCCCAAACUCUGCAGGUGCAUGUAUGAUGCUCCAAGUCCACUACAUAAGCUUGAGAUCCACUAAAUAUUUUCCAUUUUCGGAGUCGUUCAUCACUAUAAAAUAAAAACGUAAAUUAACUGCUUUAUUUCGCCCAAUUCUCGACGUGUCAACUGUGACUCAGAAAUCGCAUGUAGGAGUAAUGAUUUGCACCACUUCUGCAAAUCCAAAUAAAACUACACCAUUCUUGUAACUGAUUUUCACUGUUGCACCAGUAUUGUAAAUAACCCGUAAUACAUGACUAGGGGUGGUUUACGUAAGGUUACAUGAUAUUAUUGAGUCAGUCUCACUAAUUAAAUGCUUGAUCAUCAUUUGUUUAGCCUGUAAAAUUCCUUCAUUGAAAGCCUAUAAUUAAGCUUUAUUAUUAGUAGUGACUUCGUUUUUUCAGCUAAGUCCAUCAUAAAUUGUGCACUCGAGUUUAUUUGUUUUUUGGCUGCUCCAUCUAUAUUGUGCUUGAACGAGUUAACAUGAGGUGUUAGCCAUAUUAUUUUAUUAAACAAGCAUAUAUUUAUUAGCAACAACUAGGGGUGCAAGUUGGAACGGAAAUUCCAAUUUAUACCGGUUUUCAUUCGAAAACUUCCAAUUUUUAACAACUUUUUUCAUUCGUGACUUUCAAAAUUCUAAUUUCCGAUUUUUUCGAUUUUUUGGAUUGGAAUUGAAAUUAUAUAUAAAAAAAUUUGGAAUUUCCAAUUUUCGAUAUCGGAUCUGAUUUAAUUUCCGAAAUUAAUUCCGAAAAAUUCAGAUUGUUUUCUGAAAAAUACACCUAUAAAUAAUAUAUAUUUUUAAUACUUAUUUUAAGAUAUUUUUUUUGUUUUCUGAAAUAGUAAUUUGAUUUAAGUUUUGUUUUAAGAUUUUGACAUAUUGAAUUGUUGUUAGAAGUUUUACUGGAUAUUAUGAUGUAGUUUAUUUAUUUAUUUAUUAGUUCUAUUUUUUCCAUGACAAUCAAAAAGUUAACGUCAAACUCUCUCACACGUUGGACUAUACCUUCCAAAGCCCCGUUUUCGGUCAAUUUACAAUCAACAAAAGUUAAGGCCAAACUCUCUCACACGUUCCUACAUUUAAUUGUAUGUAGCGUUAUCUCGAGGGAAGAGUAGAUCCGGAAUAAUGAUUUUCAUCAAGGGAGAAUCCGGUGAGUUGUCCAACUAGCAACGUCAUGUACAAAGUAGUAUUCCAAAGAAUACGAAGGUACACAUUAACAAACAUCAUUUAUCGAUAACAUGUUGAUAUUUCUUUGUUAUUUCAACGUGUACAUAGACAUAGUUCAGUUUUAUUUCCAGCGAGUAAUAUAUUUCCAAAUGGAGAGUCAAUUAUUCUUUCUUUUUCCAUGUGCUCACAUUCUUCAUUUGUUGUUUAUAUAUAUUUGUUUUUAUCUACGUAUAGGAAAUGAUGAAAAAUAACAAGUUAUUUAUCCUCUGGUCGUAGAAAUUUCCGUAGUUUUGUGGUUAUGUCCGUAGUUUCGUGGUCUUCUACAACAACAUCCAGAUUAAUAUACAAAACUGGUGCAUUGCUUUGAUUGCAAUCUUGGAGUUAUUUGCUAUAUUUCAACAUGGAUGAUGUUUAGAACACUGUCAGUUUAUUUUUAUGUAAACUUUUUAUUGAUAAAUUAAAAUACAAAUUUAUUAUUUUUUGUUCGAUCGUAUUCGGUUUACAUUCUCGACAUAUAUUCCUUCGUUGGUUUUCUACAUUAACUCAUUUUCAUUUUUUAAGUAAUCCCCGUGGAUUGCAUGGUAAGUUAUUCGUAAAUAAUAAUAAUAAUAAUAAUAAUAAUAAUAAUAAUAAUAAUAAUAAUAAUAAUAAUAAUAAUAAUAAUAAUAAUAAUAAUAAUAAUAAUAAUAAUAAUAAUAAUAAUAAUAAUAAUAAUAAUAAUAAUAAUAAUAAUAAUAAAAAUAAAUUUCCAUUACUUUGUUGUGUCAUUAAGACGAUGUUCUCAUAUGAAAUAUUUGUCUAUGUCUACGUGAUACAUUAAUGGAUCUUCAACUUCAAUAAUCCAAAGCUCGUAGUUACGUUUGUUCUUGAGCUAUCAAAAUAAUUUCAAAUUGUGUGAUAUGUCUCUUAUCAUUGAAUCACAAAGGAAUAGUCUUUUCGAGUACAAUGUAUUACUCGAAUAUCAAGGUUUGAGUUUUAUACCUUGAAUUUAUGUACUCGAUUUAGGCCUCAAGCCUUUAUAAUUGGUACUUAAUCAUGAAACAAAUAGUACCACAUAUAAAUCGGAAUAGUUGUUUAAUAUACUACGCAAAUCUUCGAGUCAGUUCAUUGCACGUGCUCGAUUUGAGCCUCAAGCCUCCAUAAAAAAAUGUUAUAGUACUUACUCGUGAAAUAAUAGUACUGUAAAUGGGAAAUACCCACGAACUCAAAAUUUCAAAUUUGGGUAUUAUCACGUAGACUUGGAGACUAACAUAUUCAAUCGAAACUGUUGAUCUCCUCAUCUAGGCUGCAACCAAGCCUUUUUCGAGGACUUUAUAGGUUCUUGUAGUAAAGAAAUACAGUCAGAAUCGCAUAAUAUUGAACUGUAAUAAUAAUGUUCAAAAUAUGUACAAUCUGAGAUUCUAUUACUUCAAUUCCGAAAUAUAUACUUAAUUAUAUGUAAUAUGAUGGGAAUGUAAUCUUAUACCUUGCGAAUUAUGUCCAUCGCAUAUAAAUGCAAAAAGUCGGCAUAGUCGAAUUUAUCGAUCAAUAUUAUGCAACCAAUCAGUAUAUAUAUAGAAGCAGCAGAAGGACUUCACCAAUUAUCAAAUACGUACAUUAUCAACUCAGCAUGAGAGAAGAUAUGAUCACACAAACAUAAAGGAACAAUUUCAUUUAACACUUAAAAUAGGUUAAUGGUAACAUAUAUAUGUUCAAACAUGCCCUCGUAUAUGGAUGGAAAUAUGCAUAUAAAUACAAGAUAACACCUUUGCCGGAAUCACAAAUCUGUAGGGACAUGUUCAAUUAUAUAUUUGAGAUAAUAUAAUUAUGUGCAUAGCCAGAUAUCAUUAGACAAAAUGAAAAAUUUGGUGACAAAUAAAUAUUUAAAAAUAAACAAGAUCUAAAGAUCACAAUACUCAAAAUGAUCUAAAUUUUUCAUUUUUUCAAGAAAUCAAAACUAAGUGCAAAUUCUGUAGGAAAAAGAAAUGUGAUAGCAAAAUAAUCACCAAUGAGUAAAAUUAUCAAACAAGUCACUGAGAACGACAGGUAAUGAAAAUGAAAUAAAUAGUGCAUAAUGACUAUACCGUCUAAAUGUAUUCUCGAAACUAAUCAACUGAUAUGUUUGAUAGAAAUAAUAUUUUACCUUUCUAUAAUCUAACUUUCUUUCUAUUAAUUAGAAUAGAAAGUAGAGCAAAUUCGUUCUGAUAACGUAUUAUAAAACAAGGGAAAAACAAGAAGAGAGCAAUUGUGUGCAGUGGCGAAUCCAGGAUUUUUGUCAAGAAUGUUCGAAAUUAAAAAUAUUUUUAAAAAUAUAUAAUGGUUGAGUAAAGUUUACGGGGGUUCGGGGGCAGCGCCCCCGAUUUUUUUUUUAAUACUAUAUACAUGAAACAAUAAAAAUAUGCAAUAACUUCAAAUUGAAAAAAGAUUAUUUGCAAAUUUUGGGAUAAUUUAGGAAAUAUUUAAACAUAAAAUUGAUGAAAAUAUUAAAGGAGCAGGAAAUAAAUUAAAGUUGUAAAGCAAAACAAGUAUUUUAUUAACGGAUUUUGAUUUUUUGAAAUAAAAAAAUACCCACAUAGUUGGAAAUUUAGAAAAUAGUUAAGAUGAAGAAUUUUGGAAUAAUUAAGAAAAUGUUUAGAGAGAAAAAUUUGCGAAAAUGAUGAAGGAGGGAUAAAAAGAAUUAAAGUUGCAAAGAGCAAAAUAUAUAUUUCAUUAGAAAAUUUUGAAAAUGUAGAAAACAACUGAAAUAUUUAUAUGUAAUAGGAUAAAAGUCAAUUUCGAAAGUCAAACUCUAGUUAAUACAUAUAUAAAGAGAAAUUAAAAAUUAAAAGGCAUAGGCAGGAUAGUUAAAACUUAAAAAUUAAUCUGAUUAAUACAAUUAAAAAGGCAUAGGGAGGUAGCGCAGGGUGUCGAACUCGGCACCUCUACAAAAUGGGGGAACCACUCCACCAGUUCAACUACAGCAUCACAUUUACCAUUUUUACAUUUAAAGUUAUAUAAUAUUUAAGUAUAUAGGAAUUUUUUUUUUUUUUUAAAUCAAGGGUGUGCAGCUGCACACCCUUGCACCAUACUAGAUACGCCACUGAUUGUGUGUAUAUAUUGUAUUCUUAUUCAAGUGUAUCUCAACUCCAUACAAUGAUGUCCCUUUUAUAGUACAAGAAGACCAUUCAAAAGGUCAUGAGUUACAAGGGAAUGAAAAGCCUUAACAUCCACCAUUAUCACCUCUAAUUACACACACUAAUGAUUUUGUAACCCCUGUAGACAUCCACCAUAGGUUACAUAACGAUAAUAUCCACAACCAUCAUCAACCAUUAUAUUCUACUUUUGCACGUACUUUCGUAGAGAAAACUCACCACAACAAAAAAUAUUCUCUUUUCUACACCUAUAUAAAACUAAAAAUAUCACUUCAUCCAAACAUAUUCUCAUUUUCUACACAAAAACCAAUACAUCAACUUUUUCCAUCAGAAAUUUUGAAAACUAGAAAAUCACAUUAGAAACAUAACUAAACAUCCGCUAUGUGUUCCGAAAUCCCGAAAUUUCCGGGCCUUUUAAAAUUGGAAUGAGUUUUUAGAUUUCGCAAAUUUUGAGAUUGGAAUUGUAAUUAAUUUUAUAUUCUCGAAAUUGUUAAAUUUUUUUCAAAAAAACUAUUUCCGGUCCGAUCUAUCCGACUUGACAACAACCUUAUAUAUUCUCUAGGUUACACAUAUCCCCUACUAAUUAUGAUAAGGGGAAUGGUUUUACAAAUGUUUUUCCAUAUAAUAACUAUUAUAGGAUUUAGCCUUAUCAAUUUCCAAAAGAAUAUUAUGAGGGAAAUAUUUAUUUGUAAUGAAUGAAUCCAAAGGGAGUCAGAUUCCUUUAGCAAUCUCCAUCCCCAUGUUGAUAUAGUUUACAAUUUACAUAUGGUAUGCCCGUUUUAUAAGACUUUUCAUGUGACUAGAAAAAAUAUAUUGGAAAAUUAAAAAGAAACAAAGAAACAAAUAAUUGAAGAAUUUAAUCGAUCGCUAGCAGGUACACUUGAUAAGUUAUUACCGGUGGAGGGUGUGGAGUACAAUGGGUUCAGGUUCAAGGUCAUGAAGAUCUCUAGCAGUCGAGAAUGAAUUUGAUUUAAUUAUGACCGAAGAACAUGAAGAUCACAUAUAUAAGAAGAUGAGGUCUUGGGUAACAAAUAAUAUAAUCAACAUAUUGAUAAAAAUUUGAAUGCCGAUGAUCAAGAUAACGAUUUUCGUGAAAAUUGUGAAACGGGCCUAAAACAUUUAUGAUCCCAAAUAUUGGGAUACCAAUGAUCACAACUUGAGAAAAAAAAAUUGGUCGAAAGAGGACCAAUAAGAAUAAUUGAUAAUGAUGUCGUUUUUUUCCAAAAGAUGACAGCGGUUUCUCGUUUAUUUUAUGUUGUUGUAACAAUUUGCGUAAAAGAACGAAAAUACUUACAUGUUUGUCGAAAAAAUGAAUUGUGAAAAAUACAAAGAACGAUCGAGACUUGCCAAAGCAAUUCCAUUCAGACAAUAUUCCAUGGUUGUCGAUGGUGCACAAUCACUUCCCGGUAGUCUCCCAAGGUACAACGAUCGGAUGUCUGAAUCUUGCACGAGAAUCAAACCCACGGCGAACUUGAACAACAUAAAGGAAUUUGAACAAAAGAGAAUAACAUAAAGAACUAUAAACUCAACUAUCGAUUGAAAAUUCAGUGAAUAUUUGGCCAGAUUCUUACUUUGUUUAUAAGCGGUUGAGUUUGAGGCAACGAUUGUCGAAGGAAAAGACACAAGUAUAUAUGUUUGGAACAACGUCUCUCAUACGCGUUUCUUUGGUUCAAAAGAAUGGCUAGGAAUUAGGAUAAUUAGUUAUUUUGAUUAAAUUAGAUUUAAUAGUUUCAAUUAAUUUGGUUGGGCCUAAUUUUUUUUAUUAAUUAAUUGUAACACCCCACAUUUUCUGUAGAAUAUUAGUAUUUUAUUUUACCACCUAUAUGUGUAAUUUUAUUAAAUUAAAAUUUAGAAUAAUUCUUGCAUGAUUAAUAAUUACGUGAAUUAUAUAAUUAUGUGAAAUAUGUGAUUAUGUGAAUUAUAAGAUUACGUGAAUUAUGUGCUUAGCAAAUUUUUAGAGAUAUUAUGUCGAAAUAAAUAUUUAUCGAAUUUGUAAAAUAAAUUACUUUCAUGGACCAAUGUUUUUUUUUCUUGCAUGAUUAAUUUAAAUGAGCAUUUUAUCAUAUUUAUGCAUGCACUAAAUUUUAGAAAAUAAAAUGAACCCGUGCAUUUUAUGAUUAUUAAUUAGUGGAAAAAAUUAGAAAAUCCUUCACUUAUUUUCUUGAAAGUUUAGGCCACUAAUUAAUACACACACAUACAAUGAUUUAAAAACUGCAUGUUAAUUAGGAGAAUACUAGCAUUAUAAGGCUUGUACUUUGAGCAUUAAAAUAAAUACAUAAGUUUAGCUUUUUCUAAUCAUUAGUUAGGGACACUUAACUACUCCCACACUCCAUCUUGAGCAAUGCAAGAGUCACUCUUCUUCUUCCUCUCCCCCCCUCAUUUUGUCAGCCCCAAACCAUCACCGUGGCCACCAUUUUCUCAAGCUUAAGCCACCCAAGAACCACCACCACACCUCUUUCAAAAUAUUGCAAAAUCACCCCCACAAAAACAUGUAUUUCCCUUUCUUCUCCAUAGGCUUUGAUGUCUCCAAAAACUCUAUAAAUACAUCCAAUGUGUUGGGAAUCGGACACGUGUACGCAGCGGAAAAUAAAAAUUUUAUGCGAAUUAAACGAAUUUAAAACACAUAAACACAUGCCCGAUAAUUGAAAACAAUUAAUUGCGUACCUUUGCGCUUCCAGCGAAAUUAAAAACAACAUACAUGCUUAAUUACUUCAUCGAAAUUAAACCAACUAGCAUGCUCGCAUUUAAAUCAAAUAAUCAUGCUCGCAGUAAAUAAACAAUUUCAUGUAGUCACAUAAAAUCAUACAAUUAUCUUACUUAAACGAACAUGCAGAUUAUAAUUUAAACGUAACCGAAUCUAACGACAAUGGAUUCAAAACUUUAUCUCUUGAAGCGUGAGGUAGGCGCACUAAGCAAAACUAGAUUGCUACGAACACCAAUCCGUGCAACCCGGGGCAGCAGCGGCGAAACGGCAGCAGCGGCUAGGCGAGCUACGACGGCGCGUGUGGCUCAAGCGCUGUCUUCGAGCGGCGCGUCGGAUUGCGUGCGACGUCGGCUCGUGUGCUGCUCCUCGAUUCUUCGAUCUUCGAUCUUCGAUCUUCCUCCUCUCGGAUUUCACCUCGUAUACUUCGAUCUACUAGAACGUGGCACUAGACACAAAGUAGUUAGAAUAAACCGGAAAGAAACGAAAAGAGAAAAGAGCUACCAAAAGGAUCGGCCAACGGAUGGCCGAUUCCAGCAAGAUGGUGGCGACGGCGGCGGUGGUGGCCGCGGGUUGAGAUCGGCCGAGAGAGGUGAGAGCGGCUAGGGUUUAGUUUGUCUGUUAUCUUUUGUGCAAGACCUAUAAAUCAAGUAUUUAUAGUGUCUUGCAUAAAACUCUAACGGGCUUAAGUUGGACCGGGCCCAACAACUUAAGUUCGUUAGUUCUUUUAUUUGCUCGUCUCUCUCAAUUCGAUGAUCGGAAAAUUGUAACAAUUACAUUUUCGGAAUCAUUAUAAUGUCCUCGUCAUUAGGAGUGCCAAUUCUCAAUUUCCAACUUUCUAAAAGUGGAAACCCUAAUUCAGUGCACUUUCUAAAUUUGGAAACUUCCCGAUUUAGAAAGUCCACUAAGAUGUUCGCCUAUUCUUUUCCUUUUCUUAUUCUCAUUCAUAAUUACAAAUUACGAAUGUUGGACCCAAUCAUAUUGACUUCCAAUCAUGCAAAGAUAAACCAUUUUUACCUUUGACCGUUUAUUCAAAGAUCUCAUGUGCACGAGCAGUGUGACCCUCGAUGGUUCAGGUGUAAGCUAGCCAUGGGCCCACAACCCUUUGUGGUCAAAAUUCGUCCCUUAGAGUUACGAUUAAGAUGAAGCUCGUUUCACCUUAAUCACCCAACGAAUCAAGAUUGCCGUCUAGCAACUACGCGUCAUGAUUCCCUAGAUACAAAUGAAGUGUCUGCAAGAACCUUUUGAUAUAGUUAGCGUACAGUACGAUCCCUUCGAUUCAUAUGUCCUGAUUGAACUAGAGGAAUUGGUUCAUCGAGACCUCCUUAGUAGUUCAAUGACUGUGCGAUCGUUCUAAGUAUUGUAAUCGUUACAUGCAUGACUUAGAGAAUCGAAUUCUCUAAUCAUCACUUAGUCAGCUCUGGCCAGAGACUUAGAGAGAUUACGAACUAUAAGAACACACAGGACAUCCAAGACUAUUCUAGCGAUCGAAUCCCCGAGUACAAUGCACAGACCUCCCACUAGAUUUCGGACUGCACGAACACUGGCCCUUGGGGCGGUCCUCGGUGGAAGUCAGGGACAGGUCACAAUACAGCUGGUCCUCUAGUUAAGUCACGGUGAUGUCUAGGUCAUAAGGACUAAUGGUGUACAACUAUACCACAUAUAUCUCUACUCGAUUAUUAGGAACCACUUAGAGAUUUCUAGGGUGAGGGAGUUACGUGAACUCGUCAACGUACGAGCACCCACUUAUGCAUGCCAAUAUUACAAUACCGUUUACUGAUGAGAUGCAGUACACAUACACUCAGUGCUAGUCUCUUAAUGGGAAAGGCCGAUAUCCUCAUUGGUGGCGUAACCCUUCGACUAGGAACACGUUUAACAGUUAUAAUACUUAAGUAAAUAUCUCAUGAUCCUAACGAUCAAUUAAUAGUACUUGUAAUAACUAUAAGGACUAUAUCUAUGCUUGUGACAAAGGGACAAAGAUAUAGAAUGCCAAGGUGUUUUAUUAUUAAUACGAAAAAGGUUCGUUUAUUACCAUAAUAAAUGUGAAAGACCACAACCACAAGUUGGCUUGUUGGUCACCUACUCUAACACAAUGUCCAAGAUCAAAAUACACUCUCAAACUCCACUCUCACCAUCUAGAAGUUCAAAGUCUCUUAUUUCAACAAGAGGAGAAUUUUCGUCAAGGCUAAGUAAGCUCCUUCUUCCUCUUCUUUUCUUCAUUUCUUUUCGAAAGAGCUAAGCUCUUCCUCUUUCAAGUUCUUUUUCUUCUGAAAAUUUUAAUCCAACCCUUUAUCUCUUAUGGUAUUAGAGAGUAAAGAGCUAACAAAUCCUUCCCUUAAUGAGUAGAGGUGAGAAUUCUUGAAUUCUUGCUCAAACAUGCAACACCACUAUAUUUUCGGUUUUUAUUUAAUUUCUUGGUUGAUUCUUGCAUGUUAUGUGGUUAUAUUUCUUAGAUGAUGAUUGUAUGUUAGUGUUUUAAAAAGAUAAGUUUUUUUCUUGAAGUUCUAUGUUUUUCGAAAAUUUUGGGAAAAUUACUUAAGUUGCUUAUUUGGUUUAGUUAGUAGCGUGCAUGUGUUAUCUAGUGAUUGAUUGUUGAUUUGUGAAAAUAAAUUGAAUUUUUGGAUUAACUAUGAAACUUUCAAAAAAAUUCUUCUUUGGCUAAGGAAAUGGAAAAUUAAUGAAAUAAGAGAAGAGUAGUACAUAUGGAUGUAUGUUGAUGCAUGUGGGAUUUGUGCAGAGAAGAAAUUAUUAUUUGUGUGUGAUGUUACAAAUUUGGGAUAAAAAUGCAUAAGUUGCUUAUUUGGCUUAAUUAGUGUCUUGCAUGUGUUGAUCUAGUGUUUUCUAUGAAGACUGAUAAAAGAAUUAAGAAGUUGUAGUAAACUUGAUUAAAAGACUCUUGCAUGUGAAGAUCUAGUGGAAAGACUUGAAUAAAAUGUAAAGAUGAAAGUCUUGAACUUUCUUCUUGCAAAAUGUUAGAAUUAAUGAACUGUUGAUUAUGGAUUGUCUUUGCAUAUUAAGAUUUUGGUUAUUGCUUGUAUUUGGUUAUGGUUCAUAUUUUUAUGCCUAAUGACUAUGUGAAUAAAUGACUGUAUGGAACUUUCUUUGUGUUUUGCUAUGUGAUCUUCCUUUGGCUUGUUUAUGUAUUGAUCAUUGGGUGUGGGAAUGAGAAAAGGGUAAGUAGAUGGAUAUGCAUGUGUGGGUGCAUAAGUGUCAUGAUUUUUAAAAGGUAAAAAUAUGUUGGAAACUCUUUCGAGGUUACGGUAAAUAACCGGGGUACGACGAGUUGGUACCGUAAGGCUUAGGGGUGGUUUGAUUCCACGUAGAUAGACGGAUUCGUAAAAUAUGAGGUUAUUUAUCGGGAACUUAGAUUGAUUCUUCCAAAGAUAUUCCCGAUGAUUUUUCAUGUCAUGCAUGUCUCAUUAUGGUACUGAAGAUAUAGGGUCAUAAAAGUGAGAAAAUCUCACUCUAUGGUCUUGGGAUCGUAGGGUUAUAAAUGUGGGAUAUUCUCACUCUAUAAUCUUCAAUACGUGUCAAGGCAUAGGGUUAUAAAGGUGGGAUAUUCUCACUCCAUGGUCUCCGAUCAUAGGGUUAUAAAAGUGGAAAUUUAUCUCACUCUAUGCGCUUGAAAAAGGAACAUCGACGAAGAACUCCGACGAAAAGGGAAGUAUAUGAUUGCUUUAAUUUAUGUUGUAUGUAUAUGUAUAAUAAAAAUAUAUGUAUAUGUAUGCUCUAUGUGUUAUAUGUAUUCGAUAAUACUUCAAGUUUCUCAUUGAGUUCUCAAAAGCUCAUGUAGGUGUUGUAUGUUUGUAGGUAUACUCGAUUUAGAGCCCGAGGAGUGAAGUUGGGAAUCGAACUUGAGAAUCGGGAAGAGAUCAUAUGGAGGGGAUGUGGAUUGUGUUGGCUCUCAACCUAGCUAUGUGGUUUUAUUUGUAUAAUAUGCUUGUAAAAACAUUUGAUACGGUUUUAGGUAUUUACUACCGAUCGCUUCCUCCGAUCGGUGGAAAUUAUUAAAAGACAAUAUGUGUAAUAGUAAUUUGGAUUACCCUCUUUUUGAAUAUUUAAUCGGUAGUCCGUAAUAUUUUGUAAACGAAAGCGAAUUUUACCAACUAUAUGAACAUACGCUUUUCGGCUAGUAAUUUCUCCGUAUCUCGAUAUUUGUAAAUUAUUUUUAUAUAUGUGCUUUGCUUAGAAAAUCAUGAAAUUUUGUGAUUCUUUGCAUCUGUUCUCAUCACUUUGAUAGGUCUUAUGCAUAAAUUCGAUAAGUAUUUAAUUAGUUGUAAAUUAUUUCUCACUACUGCACUAAAAUAGGGUCAGUCUAGUGUUUUAUGUUAUAUAACUGAUGUUUUACUCACUCAAAUGUCUUGCUUCUACUUGGAAAAUGUUAUAUACUUAUUUUUCUGUCUUGGGAUAAAAUAUGGUAGUUUUUGGGAAAAUUGGGAGUUUAUUAGGAAAUUUCAAAACUCCCUCCCCUGUUCCGAUUUUAAAUUGAGUGUCCGUGCCAUUUCAUUUAUUUCUCCCAAAUGGUUAAGUAUCUUUCAAAACUGUUUUAGCUGAGUGAUUUAGGCUCAUGGUAGAAGGUAUGGUAUUAUUGGAGUCAUUGUGAUGAUUAUUUUAAGACGAAAUAAUUUUUGAAGUUGCUCCACUGAAUCUGUCCGAAAUUUUAUUAGGUUCAUCAUACCAAGUUAUUUUCUAGUCUUGCAUGUAGUAUGUAUUUGUGUUAAUUGAUUGAUUAUGAUUUAUAUAGUGUGAUCUCUCUCCCUCUUAUUUGAAAUAAAAAUUUUGACGUAAAUUUAUAUGCACAAUAAUCAUUUUUUCUAAAAGUCUUUUGCUGAGAUUACAUAUAAUAAGAGUAAUCGUGAGAGGGGUGUCACAUUAAUAAAAUAUCUCAAUCCCAAAUCAAAUAAUUGAAACUUAUACCCAAGCUCAAGCUCGACCGAAUUACCGAUCGAUGAACGUCUCCACGCGAGCAUUUAUUUUCGACCUUGACCAUCUAGGUCAUCUCCCUUCCUCCAAAUUUAGAGACAAUUUUUAUUCAACUUACUUUAUGAUUUUGAGUUAGCAAAUAAUUAAAUUAAUUUCCACAUAAUUGAAAUAAUAUUAGUCAAUAUUAAUUAUCGAAAAUCAUGAAAGUUCCAACAUUUUAUGUCCUGGACCUAUUAAACUGUGAGAAAGAGAAUUGUAAAUGUAUAGGACAUAAUAUUUUAAUUUUGUUGUAAAUUGUUCAAACAAGAUAAAGCCAACUCUUAUCAUCUUAUGUAACUAACGAAGGAUAUAAAAGUUGGAGCAACAUUGGCGGAGACUUAAAAAUCAUGAAACCAACAGGGCGCACUUCACUUGCAUGAGAAAAUGGAUUGAUUUGCAUAUAAAAUUGAAAAAACACGAUGCGAUAUAUAAGAGUUUUCAAGAAUACGAGAUCGAAACACAAAAGCAUCGUUGUUUUAGGUGUUUAAACUGUAAAUGUACCUAUUGCUCUAACUAAUUGUCCAUCAUUUCUAAGUGUGAUAAACUCUUAUCACUGACAAUUCAAUUUACUAUUUUGAGUUCUAAAUAUAUUGAUUCAAAUGUCGUUUUUCUACAAUUUAUUACAUUUUAUAUGGUAUUUACGAUUUUAUCGGCUUUUCAAGAUCAAAACUCAUCUUAUAUUUUAUAUUAGAAAUAUUUUGACAUUCUUUUGAAAUAAAAUUAAACAACGACAAAAAUCUCAAAUUUAAAUUAAAUAAAAAAAAUUACAAUAGAGACAUAAAUUUCUAUUAACAAAAUUCAAAUAGUAUUUCUAUAAAACUACAAUUUAAGCAUUACAUAGUAUUUGUUCAUUAAAAAACAUCAAAACAUCUCGUAUCAUCUAACUAUUGUUUUUUUUUUUUUUAUGUAUUUUGUUGUUUAUAGGAUUGAGAACAGAAGGCAAGGCAGUAAUUCGAAUUAUGGGACGCAUAAAUUCAAUGCAGCGACACAAUAUUAAGGAGACAUAUCAGCAGGUCUACAACAAGUCCCUCAUUUCUGGUAUCUAGCUUCAAAUUAAUGAUGUUAAAUGAGGAUUUAACUGUCUUGUCGAAAUGGUAAAUUUCACCUUAAUUAGUACUUCCACGAAAUACUAACCUACAUACAGAUAAUUAUGUCUCCUAAUCUUUGAUCUUCUAUCUAAAUACAGAUCUAAUUUCAUUGUAUUAUACGAAUGGGAGUACAUAUGUUGUGGAGUACUUUGGUGAUAGAAUACACAGUUUUGGCGUUUACCGCUUCGCCAAUGAUCAUUAUCACGAAGGAUGUUGGCACAACAGCCGUAAACAAGGCUACGGCAUGUAUACUUUCCAAAAUGGUGUUUGCAGAUGUGGUGUAUGGGAGGAUGACAUUAUCAAGACUCGCCUCCUCUUUGACUGAUGUAGAUUUUAGAGCAGUAGAUGUGACUAGUUUUAUGUCGCGAUCAAUAUUGCAUAAGACUUUCUUUCCAUUAAAACCUUAAACUUAGUCAAUAUCUUUAAUCUUGUCUUUUUCUAAAGUUGUAACAUUUUUGCAGGUUACUAGGAAAACUUGGGAGUCUUCUUCUUCUUCGGUUGUAGAACGGUAAUAAAUGUAAUGUUUCUACUUCAUAGGAUUUCUCAUUUUGUUCAGGUUGGUGCAAUGAAUAAAAUUUCUUGGUUUCUUUUAUUUCUUUCUAUUUAUUUAUUUUUUUUCCAAAUUCUGGUGCGAAUUUGACAAAUGUGAAUCAAUAUGAACUGUUGUUAAAUUGUCUUCAUUUUGUAUUAAUGACAUAUUUUGUGGAGAAGGAAGUUCAACUAUUUAUUCUAAUUUCUUUCGAAAUGCAUUUGUAUCUCAACUUUGUGUAAUCUUUUCACAUUUCGUACAUGUUAGAUGAACCAUGAUGUAAUGACAAAGAUUAGACUACAUUCCAAAUAUUUUCUAUGUCAUUAGUUUUCUUAUGUUUCGGAAUUUCGAUUACAUUCGGGACCACGGGUGCGAUGGACAUUUAGUAUGAUUGGCUACCGAUGGGGGUUGUCUUGGCCAACUGGUUGCCAUCCGCACAAAAGGCCCAAUUUAGUCUAACCGAACCCACGACCACAUACUCGGUCGCGGUAAGCGAGAUAGACCUGAUUAUAUGCGGUCCAAAAAGAGGCCCAACGAGGCUGUUCACCAUAGUCAGCCAAAUAAGGUCUCAUUGUAGAAAGCCCAAUCAGAAGUCCAACAAGGCCCCCUCGUCGGGGUCAAUGGAGUAGCCCGUUCAAAACCCACGAGAUGUGAGACGAGCGGGGUAAGUGGUGAAAGUCGUGAUCAGUGUAUCAAUGGCAUAAAUAGAUAGUAUGCAAUAUGUAACGUGAGAUCAAUUAGGAGAUAAUGAUGGAUCUUAAUUGAUACCCAAACGAGGGUCCUCUCUUUUUUAUAUAAGAGAAAUAAUAAAACCCUAUUAGGGUUACGUUUUGAAUGAGAAUCAGUAAUAUUUAGAUACUCUCUCUCUCUCUCUCUCUCUCUCUCUCUCUCUCUCUAUAAAUCUAUACUCUCUGAUUGUCGAAUUCAUCUUCUCAGACGAAAGACUGGUGUUAGGUGGGAAAGACUGGUGUUAGGUGGGUUUCCCGGUGUUCGAGGGAGUUGGGCUUGGAAUGAGGUCUUGAGGGUGUAGAUCCUACACCAUCAACUACCUUAAGGUCCUCUUUGAUUGGAAUGUCUGGAUAGAUAAGUUGGGAUGUGAUACAUAAUAUUCUGAUUAAAAGCAUAAUGACUCAUAUUAUUCAUAUUAUUUGGUUUGUGGUAUUACCUCAUCACUAAUAAUCUUUUGACGAAUAUUGUGCCGUUUUAUUUGCAUGAUAUGAAGUUAUUAGCUGUGAUUUGUUACAAUUUUUUGUAAGUGCCCUUAAGUGAUACUAUUAUAAUGUACCCAAUUCAUAUUCUUUACAAUUAAGAAUGGAAACCCCCAUCCCAACCAAAUCGCGUCGUAACCCUAAUUUGGAAUUCUUUCAAAUCAAAAUCACCGAUUGUUGAUUUGAAGUGUUAAGUUCUUUUGCAGAAUAAAUAGUAUUGGCAUUAGUUUCUCAAGAACGAGUACAAGUAACAACAGAUAUGGCGCAAACGACAUACAUAGCAAUCAACCAUUUUUUUGUGACUGCAGACUGAAGCUAGUUCUGCAAACUUCAUGGACGCUGGCGAAUCAAGGGCAAUAGUUUCUAUCAUGUCCACAAUGGGGGUAAUUAUGUAUCCAUAGUUUCAAGUGGUUUGUUGUUACUUUAUGGUGUAUUUUAUCAAUAUGUUUUUCCUUUAACGAAUAUGAUAAUUAUCGUCUGUGAUUGGAAAGUGAAAUUGUGAAACUUAGUUGAAAAUAAGGAAUGGGGCUAUUUUUUAUAUACUCGACUAUUUCUACAUCAACAACGAUUUUUUCGGAAAAAUAUGAGCCGUCAAAUUCAAUGGAACCUAUUCAAACAUAUUACCAUGACUCUACCGUGCGUAUCAUUUUGUUAUAGCGUCAAAUUGAUCAUUAUCACGUUAAUGCUUGUCCUAUUUUUUACUGGUGUGAUUCUGAAAUGUGUCAAAGAUUGAAACAUGUAAUCCCCGGUUUGAUGAAGAGAAUAAAUACUUUGGAAUCACAAGUUCCAUUGCAGAUUCUAGUUUUGUUGAAGAAAAUAACAGAUUUGGAAUCCCAAUUAAAGCUAAAGAAUGAGGAGAACGAGGUGACUAACUCGUACGAUUGGUUAAUAGCUUGUGCGGUUGCAGUAGUUGUUAGUCGGUUUUUUUUCUUUGUUUCGUAGUAAGUAUUACUUAAUUGUCUUUUGCAAAGAAGUGACGAACGGAUGCUUCUUAUGUCCGUCACAUGUGAUUGUUUUUUUGGCUGUCCUCUUCAACUACGAGGUUUAUUUUAGUAAUUGUUCUCAAGUAUUGUAAUUGUUAUCCUUUUGAUCUUGUUGUAAAUUGUAAACUGACCUAACAAUGCUUUGGCUUUUGUACUGUUAUUAAGUAGUACAACUUUUUCAAUUGUAUGAUUUGAAUGUUUACUACUUUCUACGAAUAUGAACUUAUAGCGAUUUUGAAUGAAAUAAAUUACAUGUACUUACCAAAUUGUUUGGCUAUAUAUGUUUCAUUGAAACGGCCAAGCAGUUUUAAUAAAUAUAUAUUUUUUCAAUUAGCUAUAUCCGAAUGAAAGUACAGGAAAUACAUAAGCAACCAUUCAUAUUUGAUUGACAAUCGGGAAUUUAGUCCUAUUCAACAACUUACCGUACCAAAUACCCUCCGUAGGUGUUUGAAAAUUUGAGAACGUAGUCCCUUACAAAAGAAACAAACUUAACAUUACUUAAGCAGACAACAUCACAUAUGCAUUUACGAAACAAGUGUAACUACUGACUACACAACAAAGGCGUUAAUCGGCAAUUACCGAUCCAUUGACAUCGGAAUCGUCAUUUGAAUCACUGUGACCUUUGAAGCUCAGAGUUGGUUCAUCAUCUCCCUUAGGGACUCCAUGGCUCCCAUUCUCAUUGUUUCCAUUUUCCCGCAACUUCGGGAUUCGGGACUGGAACCCGUUCGACAUCUUCCGGAUCGUCACAUUCAUCUUCAUCGUCAGUCACCAAUGGGUUGUCGGGACUAAAUCCCCUAAGGCCUUGAAAGUUGACUACAUGUGCUUGUUUGUCUUCAAAUACACAUUUGCAAUCAUCGAACAAUGGAAAACCGUUGAUCUUAAACGACAUCUCUUCCUUUGUCUCUUAAUAUUAGAUUCAAGUUAAAUUAAAUUAUGUUGUACCAAAAUUUUUGAACAUGUAGAAUACUUAAUAGUUUCAACAUUUAUCAAAACAUACUAGUUGAUUCCAUGGCCAAAAACUCCUAUCCAAUGUGAUAUUUUUCUUAGCCCAGUUGUACAUCCCACCAUUUCCCACAAUAUAACUCUUAAACCAUAAAACAGUUUUGAAAUAAUUUCAUUCUACUCUUGAUCCCAACAUCAAUGGAUUUUCUUGAGAACCGAAAAUUUAUUAACAUAUUAACUUCAAAGAGGAUAUCUUCAUACACUUCAUAGUUACGCAAAGAUUUAACGGAUCGGGAAAAUAUUGCAGCGGAUUCCAUUAAAUAUUGAUCGUAUUGAACGGGCCAGUUGGGAGUAUUCAUCCUUGCCAACAUCCUCUGAUUACGGGUUCUUGGCGUCGACAUGGUACCUACAAACAUUCAAGAUGACAUCAUUGAAAGAAUACUAAAUUUUCCAACAUUAAAACUGCACAAUAAACAUGGUGUUGCAAAGAUGGGUACACCAUAACCUUAGUGAUGCCGGCAGUUUUCUUUUAGGGUUAGGAAGAUGAAAAUGCAGGUUAAAAAUAAAUUGUAAUAACUACCACACUACCCUGCAUUUAUAAUUAGAGUAAUGUUGAUUUGAUAGAGGCUGUCCAAUAGCCUCUUUUACCACCAAUCUAUGUCUAAAUGCAAUAAAUUUCAUCACCUUGUUUUUUAUGUCAUUUCAUGUAGCAUGCCAUGAUUCCGACUUUCGAAAACUUACCCACCCCGACUGUCUUUAACACACAGAUACAUAUCGACCCCUCCACUUGUAUGUUCCAUUUUUUUGUCUGAUUACUAAUAUUUUCAAUUGGCAUUUAAUUUCAAAUGGUACCAUUACAUAUUCCAUUCUUUAACAUUUAAAUGAAAUCCUAGUCACAACUAAAUGACAUGGUUCAAAAAUCAAUAUUAAUUACACCACACAAUCUAAUUACCACUAAUAUACUCUGGCAUAUCUUUGUGACAUGAUUUAAAGCUUGUAUUGUCAAUCCCAAAAUUCAAUGGUCUAUCCAAAUGGUUGUGGCUCAUAAAUGUGUAAAUAUCUUAACCCUCCUUACCUAACUUAAUUUAUUAGGGUUUCAUUGGCGUAUAAAUCACGAAUAUGUAGUUGCCAACUGUAAGAAAUCAUUUAGAAAUUUAUAAAAAAAAAACAAUAUUUCGACAAGAAGAUUUUUGUAUGAGUUAGAAUGGAGUAAAAGGAUCGAUGAUUAUUUCUUCGAGUUAUUAUGUUUGGAAUCAUGCAUUGGCAAUUUCGAACGUGAAUAUAAGAAUACACUUGCACUCUUCCGUUGUCAAGAUGCUAUCUAGAAUAAGUUCACCACGUUCUUUUGAUACAAACAUCUCACCAAGAAGAUGACUUUGUUAUGCAAACGAUUUAAGAUGUUCCAUUGGAUUCUUGCACAAGAAGGGGUUGUUUAUAAUUCAUCUACGAACAUCAUUUCUGCAUCAUAUGCUAUAUGGGAUCAUAUUUUGAAGGUAGUAAUUUCCGUCUAAUAUGUCAUACAAUAUAUAUCUAUAUAUAUAUAUAUAUAUAUAUAUAUAUAUAUAUAUAUAUAUAUAUAUAUAUAUAUAUAUAUAUAUAUAUAUAUAUAUAAUUAGAAAUUUGGGAUUAAAUUAUACCGAACGGAAUUUGACCCAUUCCCGAAUCCCGUCCCAUUUUUCAUCCGAAUCCCGAUCCCGAAUCCCAUAAUCCCGAAAUCCCAAAUUUCUACUCCCAAAUAGCCAAAUGUCGAUCGGGACGGGACGGGAUCCCGAAUCCCAAUCCUGAAUUUCCAGUCCUAAUGGUGAUGUUAUGUUAUCACUAUUAUCAAACGCUACCAUUUGUGAUGCUUAUGUUUUGAUAGUGAUUGUUUCGCUAUUGUAAAAUACCAAUUGUGAUUGAAAAACUCUCUGAAUUUUGUUUACAUUGGUUAAAGCUAAUCAAUUUAAUUUAUAAUUUGGGUUUUGAAAGCUAGCAACAAAGGUGAUAAUACAUAUCAAAAAAAAAAAUCCAAUCAAAGUAUUUAAUUUAAUCAAAACAAGGGCCCCAAAUGGUGUUGUUCACCUUCAAAACAUAAAACACAAAAUAUUUGAUAGUAGUUCAUNNNNNNNNNNNNNNNNNNNNNNNNNNNNNNNNNNNNNNNNNNNNNNNNNNNNNNNNNNNNNNNNNNNNNNNNNNNNNNNNNNNNNNNNNNNNNNNNNNNNAUUUGAAAAUGGUGUCAAAUAAGAAUUUGAGACUUUCUGCCCUUAUUCCCAAAAUACGGUAAUUAACAUUUCAUCGGGUACGUCGGGCAAUGUCGAUUUUGACAUGAUGAAUUACUUUCACUAUGUGUCCGAUUCUGAGGGUUCAAGGGACACGAUGGAACUAAGCACUGCAAACUCACAAUUCGUGGAUGAAUCAUUGGAGAAAGGGAACUCUAUUUUUUCAUUUAUGGGCGGAAAUCAUAAAAAAAUUCAACCCAUUUGGUACUCCAAAGAGCUCCACAUCUUCUAACAAGACACAAUUCGUUGGGUUUUCUACCCUGGGAUAAAUUAAAAUUGCGUGGUUUUGAUGUUUGUGUUUUUCAUGUAAAAUAAUGAUUGUGGUACUUUGAAAAAUGGUUUUUUUUUUUUUUUUUUUUUUUUUUUUUUUUUUUUUGUGUGUGCAUAUAAGAUAGAUCACGUGCUUGGGAUGAAAAUAUAGUUGUUUUUCCCUAACAUGCAUGUAAUGUCGUGCAUUUGGGCUUUUGUUUUGUGGUUUUUCUAUUUUUAUAAUGGUGAUUAGGGGUGAGUUCGGGACGGGAUUUCGGUAUUUCGGGAUCAGGAUUUUGGGAUUUGGGAUAGGAAUUUUAAAUCUCAAUCCCGUCCCAAACUUUUUAAUUCCGAGUGUAUCGGGAUCCCUAAAUAUUUCGAGAAUUCAGGAUUGGGACUGGGAAAUCCCAAAUUUUGUCUAAAAAAUAGUGUUUUUUAUUUUUCCAUUCUCAAAAAUAAAAAUAGAUGGAAACCUGUAAUACUGUUGAAGCAAUAAUAAAGUCAUUCACCAUUAACAAAAAGAUAAAAUAUGUUUGCACAUGUCAAAUAUAAACACCACAAACACCACAGCAAACUCUAUGGAUGCAAAAUGCAAAUCAGUUGCAAAACUAACAAAAUAACUCCAAAUGGACCAAAUAACUAAGCCAAAAGUUUAUCAAUCGAGAACGGACGAAUCAGCUCCAAGUGCUACCAACUCUAUAAGAAUAAAUAAAAUCAUAAGUGUAAGUACGAUAAUAUCGUUUAAAAAGUAUGGAUGGAAAUUAAUGAGAAAAAUUAAAAAAAAUUAAUUUACCUUUAUCAAGUCUAUCUAGCUCGUAUAAGUCCACUUCCACAAAUACUGUCUUUGAAUCCGAUAGGAACCAAUCAUGAGUACAAAGAAGAGCUUGAGCUAUUCUAGGAGAUAAAGAGCUCCUAAAAUCAUCAAGAAUCCGUCCUCCCGUGCUAAAUGCAGACUCUGAAGCAACGGUAGAGAUUGGAACUACUAGAAUGUCAAGAGCCAUCUUAGAAAGAAUUGGAAACCUAUGAGCUUCUACUUUCCACCACUUAAAGAUGUCAAAGUCUGGCCCACCGUGUUCAUAAUCCUCAUUCAAGUACUUAGCUAACUCUUACCUUUCUUUUUUAUCUUUUCCUUUCUUGGACAUCUCAAACUCAUCAUCCAGGUCACAUAAACCAUCCCGACUCGAGCUCUGAAGUGAACUCUCAUUGAUUGCUAUUUGACCGGAACUUGAUCGGACCGCACCACCAUGAAUUCGAACAUACCUGUCAAACAACUGUUUAAAAUCUUGAAGAACUGCUUGCUUCAUUUCGUCACGCAAUGGAUUUACAACCUGACCCAUCGGCGUCGAUAGAGAAGGGUACAUCUUGUCAAAUGAAAACUCCAUAUAAGCUCAUUUACGACGUGGAUCAAGAAUCACCGCAUAAUAUAUAACCAUGUUCCCCCAAUACAAGUCGUACUUCUCAUUCAUUUGUUUUGCCAUCUCACUUAGUUCAAAAUCAUCACUAUUCAACCACGUAGUAAGCAACAUAGAUAUUGCACCAAUUUCUUUGAAAACAAGAUUGGUUGUCACAUAUAAAGAGCCUGAAAUUUUGAGAAUUAGAUUAUAGAAAUGACUCAAAAACUUCAACAAUAGAGUAGCUCUAUCCCAGUCAUGCCGAUUAGGCACCCAUCAUCAAGUUCGGAUCUAAAAGAGUUUUCUUCAUUUUCAUAUGCUUGAAAGACUUUCUUAAGGGAUGUAGCAGCUUCCAACAUCAAGUAUGUCGAGUUCCACCUAAUUGGCACGUCAAGACACAACAUUUUAUUUGACUCAAGAUUUUCGAGUUGUGCACAAUUGGUGAACUUUUGGAACCUAGCUGGAGAACUCCGUAUAAACUACUUAUACGAGUUACAACCAUACUCUCCCUUUUAGCUUUCAAACCAUCUUGCACAACCAAGUUAAGUAUAUGUGCAAUACACCUCAUAUGCAAAUACUUCCCACCUAAAAUGCUAACAUUCUCAUUAUCGUCAAAUCUUUCUUACAAGUACUUGAGAGCAACUUUAUUUGAAGAAGCAUUGUCAACAGUUACAGUGAAAACUUUUUUAUCAAUCCCCCAAUCUUUUAAACAUUUGAAAAUAUCCUCGCCCAAUUCUACGCCCUUGUGACUUUGUUUAGCACUCAUCAUCAAUAAAAUGCACAGUAAUAGACAUGUAGUUGAUUUUUUGAAUCGAGGUCCAUGUAUCUGUAGUGACAGAAACUCUUUGAGAAUGAUUUUGCAAAAAAGUCUUCAGCAAACGUUUUUCAUUAAAAUACAUCACGAAAAUAUCUUUGGUUAUAGUUUUUCGAGAUGGAAUCACAAACAUAGGACAAAUCACCGAUAUAAAUACCGAAAUCCCAGUUUCUCCACCAACCUAAAUGGCAACUCAUCCAUAAUUAUGAAACAACAUAGUGCUUUUAUAGCUUUUAGUUGGUCGAAUUGCCAAUUAGAAAGAAUACAUUUUUGCCCUGGCCCAAGUGGUUGAUAUUGCAAACGAUUUUGAUUUGUUGCAACUUCAUGGGGUUUUUUUCUUGCAAGAUUUAUAGUGUGCUACGAGACCAGUGGUACCAUUAGUAGCAUUGUCGGCUCUAAUAAUCUUACCAAUAUAAAUACACUUAGCCUUCCAUCUUUUAUCAAAGUCGUGAACAAAAUCUUCAAAGUGUUGCCAAUAGACUGACCUCUUUUCCAUUUUCUUUCUUUUUAUAGGUUUUGAUGCAUCCUUAAUCUCAUCAUUGACGACGUCGUCAAUAAUGUCUGCAUUUUUAUCUGUCAGUUGAGGAGUUUGAGAGUCCAUUGAAAAAGAUGAGACCCGAAUCAAAAUCUGAGAUACAAAUGCAUGAAUUAUUCAAUUAGUGACAAUUUUACAUUUAAUUCAAAAUUAAAAUACCCAACAAAAAAUUAAGCCACGAUGUAUUAGGGAAUCAAAAUAGAUUCAUUAUUCAAUCAAACUUUUUGUCUUCACUUAUUUAUUUUAUUGGUUUACUGUUUGUUGAAUUCAUUGAAGAACUACUCUUUUGAGAAAUGAACCUGUUAGUGAUGAUGUCGAAAGUGAGAUGCCAACUUGUGAGCGGCUGACGAAGAAAAGCGGCAAAUAGCGGUGGGCGGCGAAGAGAAGCAACUAAGAGCAGUGGGCGGGAAAGAGCGGCGGCUGGGUGGUCAACUGGUGGUGGAGUAAGUGGUGAUGGUAAAUUGGGGCGACUUGUGAGCGGCUGGCGAAAAGAAGCGUCUGCCGGUGGUGAACUGGUGAGUGGUGAUGUCAAAUUGGGGUGGGACUUCAGACUUGGGCUGCCCUAAUAUAUAUAUAUAUAUAUAUAUAUAUAUAUAUAUAUAUAUAUAUAUAUAUAUAUAUAUAUAUAUAAUUAGAAAUUUGGGAUUAAAUUAUACCGAACGGAAUUUGACCCAUUCCCGAAUCCCGUCCCAUUUUUCAUCCGAAUCCCGAUCCCGAAUCCCAUAAUCCCGAAAUCCCAAAUUUCUACUCCCAAAUAGCCAAAUGUCGAUCGGGACGGGACGGGAUCCCGAAUCCCAAUCCUGAAUUUCCAGUCCUAAUGGUGAUGUUAUGUUAUCACUAUUAUCAAACGCUACCAUUUGUGAUGCUUAUGUUUUGAUAGUGAUUGUUUCGCUAUUGUAAAAUACCAAUUGUGAUUGAAAAACUCUCUGAAUUUUGUUUACAUUGGUUAAAGCUAAUCAAUUUAAUUUAUAAUUUGGGUUUUGAAAGCUAGCAACAAAGGUGAUAAUACAUAUCAAAAAAAAAAAUCCAAUCAAAGUAUUUAAUUUAAUCAAAACAAGGGCACCAAAUGGUGUUGUUCACCUUCAAAACAUAAAACACAAAAUAUUUGAUAGUAGUUCAUAACAUAAUGAAAUAAUAGUUGCACAUACAACUUAAAACACAUCAUCCAAAACAAGCAUUGUAAAAUUUUAGUUAAUAACGAACUUCUAGGAUCAUUUUCACCAUAUUUUCCUUGGGCUCAUCACUCAAACAAAAGAAAAUGUCGAGCUCUUUGAAAUUAUCGCAGAUUCUAGAAGUUACAUUUAGUCUUUGCUCGAAUGUAAUAUUCUCCAAGUUUUGUAGGGCAUCAAACCCUUGUUUUCUAAUUGUCGACACAUCCUUCUUGAAACCCAUUCGACUCACCAAUUCACCCAUUUGUACUUCCAUUUUCUCGAAGAAAUUUGCCGCCAUCUCAACGUAGCCACCGUCAACGGGACCACUAUGUGAGCGCUUCUUGGAUUUUGGUUUAGGUUUUUGAUGAAGUGGCUUCAUCAGCACGACUGAAAGAUAUAUGUUGAGAAUAGUUAUCCACAUUUGAAGGCUCUAUCCGUGAAAUGUACUCAUCCUCGUUAGAUAUAUGUUCUUUCUUUUUGUUAUUCGCCACCAAAGUAUUGACCUAUUCGAUAAAUGCCGACAUGUUCACAAGUAGCAGUGUCUUUUCCAAAGAUUUGACAUCAAUCUUUGUAAAUGGCCACGAUUUGUAUCUCAUACCACGAGAAUUUGCAACCGUCUACAUCAAAACAUGCAAGAAAAUUUCAAUUGUAAUCUCUUCCAUACGAUUAUUAACUACAAAAAUAUUAAUGCAUUACAAAAUGUGCAUCACAUUAUAUACAUUUCUUUAUAUAAUCUUGCCAUACUUGGUCGUCAACGACCUCGAUGGGAUUGUUUGUGUAAUUCCAACUGAAUUCCGACCUUGAUAACAUUGUCCUUAAUGAUCCAUAAUAUUUUUGCCACACGUGUAUUUUUGAAUGGAUAUGAUCGAGGCGAGGCUUUAAGGUCGGUACCGGAAAAUUUUGGAACCAUAUAUUGUUCAAGAUCGAGUUCCUAACAACCUAGUUUUAAAUUUGUUUUCGCAUUUCCACCCCCUAGACACAAUGGGGAUGUUUGGUUAUGUUUCUAAUGAGAUUUUCCAGUUUUCAUAAUUUUUAAUGGGAAACGGUAGAUGUAUUGGUUUUUGUGCAGAAAAUGAGAAUAUGAUUGGAUGGAGUAAAAUUUUUAGUUUUGUAUAGGGGAAAAUNNNNNNNNNNNNNNNNNNNNNNNNNNNNNNNNNNNNNNNNNNNNNNNNNNNNNNNNNNNNNNNNNNNNNNNNNNNNNNNNNNNNNNNNNNNNNNNNNNNNNNNNNNNNNNNNNNNNNNNNNNNNNNNNNNNNNNNNNNNNNNNNNNNNNNNNNNNNNNNNNNNNNNNNNNNNNNNNNNNNNNNNNNNNNNNNNNNNNNNNNNNNNNNNNNNNNNNNNNNNNNNNNNNNNNNNNNNNNNNNNNNNNNNNNNNNNNNNNNNNNNNNNNNNNNNNNNNNNNNNNNNNNNNNNNNNNNNNNNNNNNNNNNNNNNNNNNNNNNNNNNNNNNNNNNNNNNNNNNNNNNNNNNNNNNNNNNNNNNNNNNNNNNNNNNNNNNNNNNNNNNNNNNNNNNNNNNNNNNNNNNNNNNNNNNNNNNNNNNNNNNNNNNNNNNNNNNNNNNNNNNNNNNNNNNNNNNNNNNNNNNNNNNNNNNNNNNNNNNNNNNNNNNNNNNNNNNNNNNNNNNNNNNNNNNNNNNNNNNNNNNNNNNNNNNNNNNNNNNNNNNNNNNNNNNNNNNNNNNNNNNNNNNNNNNNNNNNNNNNNNNNNNNNNNNNNNNNNNNNNNNNNNNNNNNNNNNNNNNNNNNNNNNNNNNNNNNNNNNNNNNNNNNNNNNNNNNNNNNNNNNNNNNNNNNNNNNNNNNNNNNNNNNNNNNNNNNNNNNNNNNNNNNNNNNNNNNNNNNNNNNNNNNNNNNNNNNNNNNNNNNNNNNNNNNNNNNNNNNNNNNNNNNNNNNNNNNNNNNNNNNNNNNNNNNNNNNNNNNNNNNNNNNNNNNNNNNNNNNNNNNNNNNNNNNNNNNNNNNNNNNNNNNNNNNNNNNNNNNNNNNNNNNNNNNNNNNNNNNNNNNNNNNNNNNNNNNNNNNNNNNNNNNNNNNNNNNNNNNNNNNNNNNNNNNAUUAUUAUUAUUAUUAUUAUUAUUAUUAUUAUUAUUAUUAUUAUUAUUAUUACCAAUGUAUUGAAAACCGGACCGGACCGGCCGGUUUGACCGGUUCAACCGCGAACCGGCGCCUUGUCCGGUCCGGUUAGAGGUGAAAACCCAAAAAAGCCAAAAACCCGGGUCAACUAGUCCAAACCCGGUUCGACCGGUAAGAACCGGGAAACCCGGGAACCAGUCAAGAACCGGUUUUUUGCUCAAAAGCAUGUUUCAUGGCCGAAUCUGGUUCGAAAUUGCUCGUGGGUGACUGAAUCUUGUCGGAGAAGGUUGUGGGUGAUUAGAUAUAGGCAGAUUUGGGUCGUCUUUUGCUCAAUCGAAGCGGUGGCUACCAUAUCUAUUGAUUGAAGAAAAGAAGAAGAAUACGGUGAAAAAGAAAAUAAAGAGAAAAAUGAAAAAAAUUAAAGUGGAGAAAACAAAUUAUAUGUAUGGAAAUGGAGAGAAGAAAUAAUAAACAGAGGGAGAAGAAAGAAAGAAAAAGAAAAGAAGGGGAGAAGAGCAGGGGGUGGGAGGCUUGUGCGUGAAUGAUGAGGAAGAAGAAAGAAGAUAGAGAGAGGAGAGAGAAGAGAGGAGUAAAAAAUAUUAUAAAUUCCUUUUUUUUUUUUUAAAUGAAGUAAUACUGAAAAUGAAUAUAAAAAAUAUUACAUUUAAGGUAAAUAAAUAAAUAAUUAUAUAUAUAAAAAAAGUAAAAAACCCGGUCGAACCCCGGUUGAACCGGUCGAACCGUGACCCGGUGGUGCGUCCGGUUCGAUGUCCGGUCCGGUUUUCAAAACAUUGGUUAUUACUAUUAUUAUUACUAUUACUAUUGUCACUAUUAUUAUUACUAUUACUAUUAUUAUUAUUAUUAUUAUUAUUAUUAUUAUUAUUACUAUUAUUAUUAUUUUAUUUUAUUAAUAAAAGUAAGAAUUCGCCUAAUAAAGUCUAUGAGAUUUUUCCUGCUCAUUUGAUAGUUAUAAUUAUCGUUUAUCUCACAAAAAAAUGUUUGUUAUGGCUGAUAAAGAAGAAGAUUCCCAAACUUCUACGUUAACUGAGAUAAGAUAAAUAUACAACCAUAUUAAAUAAAAAAAGUUAAAUUAAUCAAUAUGGCACGACAAGUUCUUAUGAACAAAUAAAAGUAAGGUUGCUCUUAAUAAAUCCUACGAGAUUUUUCCCGCUCAUUUGAUAGUUAUAAUUGUCAUAUAUUUAUUUUAUUAUUAUAUUUCAUUUAAUAUAAUAAUUUUAAUAAAUCCAUUAAGUAUCCAGCUUUUUUUUUACAACGAAUUCAUGUAUCUUAUUAAUAAAAGUAAGGUGGCUAUUGGUAAAACCUAGGAAAAUUUUCCUGCUCAUUUAAUAGUUUAAUAUAUCUACAUAAUACGUAUUUUCCCACAAAAAAAAUAUCUGUUAUGGGUGAUAAAGAAGAAGAUUCACCAAACUUCUAUGUUAACUGUUAAGUGAGAUAAGAUAAAUAUACAACCAUAUUACAUAAAAAGCAUAAAAUUAAAUUAAUAAAUAUGGCAAGAAAAAUUUAUGGAUGGGAAAUUAUCAUCACUACAUAUAGCAAAGCAUUAAAAUGUCUUGAAACUUCAAUUUUGUCGUUUAAAUUGAACUUUACUUUGUAUUAAUUUUACUUCAAUCUUGUGCAUCACACGUGCAAAAAAUUUAGUAAUUAUUAGAAGAGAGUGGGAGUUGAGAUAUUAAUGAGGAGGGAGAAAUUUGAGGAAAGAGAGUGUAGAUUUUAAUGAUGAGAGAGAAAUGAGAAGAGGGAGAGCGUGAAUAUUAAUGAUGAGAGAUGAAUAGAAGGAGAGAAAAAUGGGUUGGUGGAAUAAAAUAUUGGGGUAAUAUGCUAUGGAGGCGGUGGCAUGGGGGGGCGGAUGGCGGCGGCGGCGGCUGCUCUGGGGGAGGCGCUCAUGGUGACCCGGUGUUGGUCAUGAGGAUGGGGUCGUUGGGCGGCAGCUCUCCGGCUGGGGGAUCGUGUCGGUGGCGCUCGACGUUGGGGGUGGGGAUGGGGGCCAAUAGCAGCGUGGGUGGGGUUUGUGGCAUCUUUAGCGGCGUGGUGAUGUUGGCGUCGCAGAUCUAGGGUUUGAUGGGGGAGAUCUAUGGUUUGGUCGGGCGGAUCUAAGAUUUUCCAAUUUCAUGUCUAUAGAUGUCUAUGAUUGUAUGUGGGUGUCUAUGAUGCCUGGCGGCUAGGGUUCAAAAGAUAGGGUUUUAAGAAUAUGUGACUACGGAUUACUAUAGGUUUCUUAUGGGUUUCUAUAGUGUCUAUACAUGACUAUGGAUUACUACGCUUUCCUAUGGGUUUUUGUAGAAGACUAAGGCCGAAAAAUAUUAAAAAAUCAUAAUUUUCAAUAUUAUAUAGAAAAAAAGGAAAAAAAAUGCGAAAAUGCAAAAAAAAAUAGAAAAAUUGUUCUACGAAAAAAAAUAAUAACCAAAAUGCUAGAUGCGAAAAUAAAAAUGUUAAAUGUAGAAUGAAAAAAUGAUAAAUACAUUUUAAAUAUUACUUGGUGCAGAUUUCAUUUUUUGUAUGUGGGGGCAUUUUUUGAAUGAAAUUUAUAAAGGAUGUGAAGCAAAUGUUUAGUUAGACUUGUCAUUUAGUUCUAAUAUGUUUUGUCACCAGAGACCUAUAUUAAGCCCCCUAAAUUAUAUAGGUUAGUAGUAGGUUUGAAAAUUGAAAACAAAUAUGAAUAAUGUGUUUUCAAUAGAAAUUUUGAUAAGAAAAGAUAGGAAUUUCUGGAUAAAACUAUCUAACAAACAUGAUCUCGGUUUUAUGAAUAGUAUAAAACUGGAAGUUAAGUUUUGAAAACAAAAACAAACAUCCCCAAUAUCUUUCAAGCCUAAUAUUAAAGUUUGUACGUCAAGGACCGUCCAACUACACUUAUUAUUGUUCACACCACUCUUAGUAGCUGUACCUUUUUUGAAUCCCGCAUUGUUGUCGAUAAUCCCUGUAUUUUUGGACAUUACCCAAUUUAGUGUAAAAUGCCAAAAAUAAUAGGAGAACCCAAAAAACAAACCCUGGAAAUACAUUGCAAUGAACAGAUUACACAAUACCAACAAUCCACACUUGCAUUAAAAAUGAAAAGAUUAAAAAUUCCAAAUAACAAAUUAAAUAGUUGAAAAAUAAAAUCAACAAGCCACACUAGGAUUACAACCAACGAUAGUAUGUUAGUUUAGAGAGAUAGUAGCCACUCUUUAUACAUGUUCAACGCAGUGGUAUACUACCAAUCGGUCCAUUCUUGUGAUUUUCAACAAUAUUUAUAUAAUUUUCACCACUAAUCACACCUGGAUCAAAACCCUUUUCAUGUAGUUUUAGCAAGGCCAAAAGGAUCAGGUUAACAUGCUUGCUUACUGCGUAACCUAGUCUUUUGAAAUGACUUCACACGACAACAUUCUUCGUUUGGUGUGCCAAAAUAUGAAGAAACAUUGACUUACUCGGGAAUGGUAACAUUCCUAUUCGAUCUCAGACCACGUUAUGUUUUCUAAAACGUAACACUAGCGAUAGAAGGUUUGUUUGUCCAUUCUAAGAUUAUCACGAUAUGUAACAUCAUCCAAUCCAUCUAUUGAAUGCAAAUAGUCGAGCUGAGAAAAUGCUCUUCCUAUCAAACUUGUAAGUUUGGGGGUCAUGUUGCGAUUAACUCAAACGACGACGGUUAAAUUGGGAAAGUAUGCGCAUGGAUAUUAAGAAAAAUAGUCUCAAAUUAAACAUAAGUUGAUGCAACACAAAUAUAACAUCUUCCUUUCGUUUUGACAAAAGACAAGAUCGAAACAUCCAAAAAACAAGGAAUUAAAGGGGUGGAACCGCGACUCCUUGCUUAUAAAGAAGCAAGAACCUUGGUAUGUGAAAACGCUACAAUCAAUUGUGAAAGAUUGAUUGAUAAGUCGGGGUGAACUCAUAGAAUCCUCCGAAAUGUUCAAAAAUGCUUAAAGAACCAAAAGAAUAAUCUCAAUUUAUUAAUCAAAAUGUUUUCAUUAAAAUAAGCCAAAUCGGCAUCAUAUUCAUAAGGCCUAAAAAGACUCAUUUUUCACAAGAAAAAUUACUCAUACCUAAACUACAAUAAAGAAACGUCUAACUAAGUUGAUUCUAACCAUAAUAUAACUCUAAAAUAAUAAAACAUAAUAUAUAUGUUGAAAUAAAAACGUCCAUAACUAAAUUAAAUAACUUGAACGUCAAAUCGACAAUACGAGCACUCUUUAAAACUCGAGUAGACAUUUGGAUGUGCAUGUGCAGCAACUUCAAGUUCUACUUCUGCCAUCUUCCACACCAAACCUCUCUCCGAUCGAAACAGAAAAGUUGUAGAUCUUUAAGUUGGUGUGCCACGGCAUUUUGAAUUCAAAGCAGUCAGACAACCAAUAAGAGACUUAUGACCCGAACGGUAAAAGUAUCACAGAGAGCCAGGAAAUUCGGAUGCAUGAAAUUCGGCUAGUCCAAUGAAUUAUCUCUUUCUUUUCUUCCAAUUCCACACACAAAAAACCCAUCAUAUUACAUUCACAAUAUCAUGUUCAGAAUACACAACAAUUGGAAAAACCCAUCCAAAUUUCGUCCAAUAUAUUGCCAAGAAGAAGAGAUAUUUUCAUGUUGCUCAAAUUCUAGGGUUUAAAUGAUGAAUUUUGAAUUAUUAUUUUGAACAUCCCGAAAUUUCAAAAUUUUAAUUGCAUUAUUUUAUUUUGGAUGAUGCAGGUAGCAUACUGAGUGUUGGUGGAAGUGGACCGUUCGAGAAUGCAGAGUCUGCAGAUUGGGCGGCCAUGGUGGAAUGAAAUGGGUUAGGGAUAAUAAGGGUGGUUUGAGAAUUAUUAAAUAAUAUUUGGGUAGGAUAUUAGGUAAGUGGGUUUUCUCUAAUUAUUUUUGGGAGGGAGGGUUUUCUUAACUCAUUUACCUAGAUGAGGGGGUAUUGCUAAUUAUCCCAUAAAUUAAUUCAUCAAGAUACAUGAAAAUCAUUAAAUAUAGAAUAUAUCAUUCCAUAUAUUUUGAUAUCAUAUUAAUUUGCAUUUAUCCUUAUACAUAUAGUAUAUAUAAUUAUAGAAUAAGAUGUUUGAAAAUUCGAAUUAAAAUUAAUCUAUAAAUUUUUAAAAUAUUAUGAAUUUAUAUUUUUUAUUAUUAAAAUAAAAAAUAAAAAAUGUGUGUAUAUUCAAUAUAUUUUGAACAUUUUAUAAAAUAAGAAUAUGCAUUUAAUUUUAUUAUUGACUUUCUAUAUUUUAAUCUGAUUUGUUUUACUCUUUUAAAAAAUUUGGAUUUUUUGUCAUACAAAUUUUGGGAUUAAUAUAAAUUAAUUUGAAUAUAAUAAUGUGGGAAAAUUAUUAAUAUUGUAAUUUUUCUUUUCUUUUGAACACUUUGAAUAAAUUAUAUUUGAAAUUUUUUCUAAUAUUUAUAUUUUUAUGUAUAAGUUACAAUAAAAAAUAUAGUUUUCUUUUAUUUAUUAAUAUAAGAAUAAUGUUUUUAAAAAUCUUUAAUAAUUCAAAUGAAUCUAUCAAUAAAUUAAUUCAUCAACACAUAUGGAAAUCUUUAAAUAUAGAAUAUAUCAUUCAUAUGAAUAAAUUAAUUCCAUAUGUUUUGAUAUAUUAAUUUGCAUUUAUCCUUGAAAAUAUAAUAUAAUUAUAGAAUUAAAUUUUUAAAAAUUCGAUUUAAAAAUUAAUAUAUAAAUUUUAAAAUAUUAUGAAAUUAUAUUUUUUAUUAUUAAAAUAAAAAAUAAAAAUGUGUGUUUAUUUAAUAUAUUUUUAACAUUUUAUUAAAUACGAAUAUGAAUUUAAUUUUAUUAUUGACUUUCGAUAUUUUAAUCUGAUUUUUUAUUUACUCUUUAAUGAUGUGGAAAAAAUAUUAAUAUUGCAUUUACACCUCAAUGUUUCUUUUUUCCAAUUAUUGAUUAUAAAUAGGAAACUAAUCAACCAAUAAAAAGACAUUAAUUUGACAUGUAGGAGAGAUAAAACUUAAAAUCAAUAAAUUAAAAUUUAUUCAUUAAUAAUAUGGAUAAUUAUGGUAAGUGGAAUUUUUUUGCAAUUAAUAAAACAUUGCGGACUCAAUAUCCUCAAUUAGAUAAAUUUAAUUGUGUAUCUACUAUAAUUAAUUGAUUUGGAAAAUUGUAGUCAAGUCAAUCCAUAUUAUUAUAAUCAUGUAUGAUGGUAAUUCACUAAUUUUUAAUUACUAAUUUAUUUCAAGUAUAACUAUAGUCUAUACAUAUAAUAUCAUUAAAUAAAAUAAUUAAUAUAUGUGUAUACUUUUUGUGCACAUAUACAUAAAAUAAAAUAAUACCAUAUUAAAUAUGUGCACAACAUGAAAAGACGAAUAAUAAAAACAAAAUGAUGAAUUUAUUCGUGAAAAAUAUUAACAAAAAUAAUAAUAUUUUUGUAAUUACUCUAUUCAUGUAAUUGAAUUUAAUGGCUUCAAACGAUUGACCUCAAUUACAUUAUCCCAUUCGUUAAACAAAGAAUAAUACUUGUUGCCGCACACCAUGUUGUUUGAUCUACAAAAAUCACUAUAACCUCAUGUCAAUUAAAAACUUAGUUUUCCAUGAUUUAUUCGCAAACGCAGAACAACUUUAACAGGAGGACUACUCUUGUAAUGAAUGUUGAUUGUACACAAUCAAUCCAUAAGUUUUAAAGAAAGAAUUACUCAAAUGUUACAAAUACAAUUGAAGAAAGAAAUUACAUUAAAAAAGAAAAAAAUCGGAAAUUUUAAAAUACAUUAGAAAAAUGGCAACGAUGUAUCAACCAUUGAAGGCAUGUGAUGAUAAUACAAUUCUUUUUCAAAUCUCUUCGCCAUAUCUGAAAAAAAAAAUGAAAGAAUAAAACAUUAAUAAAUAAGUAAUAAAACUAAUUAAGACAAAAGUGUACGAAAAAAUAAGUCAAAAUGAAAUAAAAAAUAAAUUAUUUAUAAUUGCAUUAAGUUGCAAUGAGUGUAAAAAAAAAGGGAGUUCUUGUGUGGGCAAGAUGAAGUAUUUGAAUGACCAUUUUAUAGGUGAUUUGAAGAAUAUAAUAAAGGAAACAAAUCAAUUAAUGCCAUAAUAUUAUAAUUGAAUACCAAAUCAAUUUAAUGAUUUGAAUUUCCAUAUUUGUUCCUAAAUUAAUGAAAUUAAGAGACUUAAUUUUCGAAAUUAACUUACAAACAUAUAAGAAUUAUAUAAAUUUUAACAUUAAUGAUAUGUGUCCACAUGGAUCAAAAUGAACCAAUGAAAAUGAAUAUUUCAUCCAUGUAUGCAAUUGAAACUAAAAUAAAAUUAAUCAACCAAUCAAAAUAAACGAUUUUGACACAUAGGCAAGAGAAAAUUUGAAAUUGAAUAUAAGGAAAGUAAUUAAAUUCGGAAAUGGUAAUAAACUUAAGAAUAAGAGUGUUUAUGGUAAGUGGGGAGUUUUUGCAGUUAAUAUAUAAUUAUUGGACUCAAUGUCCUCAAUUAGAAAACUUUGAUUGUGUAUCUUAGUUUUAUAUAUAAUAUAGAUUCUUUAAUUUAUAAUUGCAACAUGAAUAACAAUCAUAAUUUAAACAUGAGUAAAAAGCAGUUUGCCCCCUAAAUUAAUGCCCGUUUUGCACAUUGCCCCUCAAACAAUUUUUUUUUUUGCACGUUUUUAUCUAAACUCGUUUUUUUUUGUUGCAAGUUGCCAAAAAGUGGUAUUUUCAGACGUAAUCCACCGGAAGUGUAAACAUGCAGGGGAAAAAAUGUCUUUUCACCCUUUAUUUAUUUUUUAGUGGGUUUAGUUUAAUUUUCCCUUCUCUCUCCCCCAUUUUAGUUAAUUUAUCCGACAUUUGCCUUCUUUCCCACUCUCUCGUCCUAUCUUCCCCAAAUCCUCUCUGGUUCGAUUAUUGUUGAUAUCGCAGAAAGAGAGCGCUUCACGUUUUAAAUUCAUUUAAGGGAAAGGACAAAAACCUUAUUCAACCAAAAAAUAAGAGAACGGAUCAAUGAAAGAGAGAAGAGAUAAGGAAAAGAGAUCUGUCAAUUUUUUUAACAGCUUUAAUCUAUUCGCAUCUCAUUAUCCCCAUCACCUGGCCGGAAAUCCCGUGGUUGACCACCUAGAAGAAACCCCACUCCGACGAGGCCUUAGUAAUCUGCUUCUUGCAGGCUCCGACCACGAAUUUUUCGAGCUCGAGCUGCCCCAAAUCGACAACUGGAAGAUCGCAUUCCUCCACCGAUGGAAGCUCCGAUAGGUUCAUCUUCUGCGGCGGCACUGUGGCGAUCAAAUUGUUGAAGAGAUUCUUUUAUGUUUUCUCGAACGGUGGGUCAGCUUGCCCAAAUUAACAGUUAGAACAAGAAAAUAAAAACAGAGGUCUGAGUGUUAAUUCUCACAAAAAUCACCAUUGAAUUCGAAAUCAAAAUCAUGUAGAACAAGAAGAGGAGCAAGACAAAUCACCACCACAAGAACCAACCUAGCUCGCUGCCCCAUUUGUCUUCAAUGAUUUUGUUUGCCAGAGAACCGAUAUAAAAAGCAAAAAAAAAGGAGAGGGAUGAAUCGAAGAGAAGAUGAAUGCUAAAGUAGAAGAAGAGGAGGAAGAUAACCACUACCACCAAGAGGAGCAACACAAAAAAAUGAUGAGAUUUUUUUACUGGGAUAUGGGUUGGCUUUGGGAGGGUGGUGGUCUGACGGGAGGACAACUCCUUUUUCUUUAUCCUUUUUCUUUCUUUUUUUUUUUAAUUUUUUAAUGAUUAAAAUAUAGAAUGUAAAUGAAGGCACAAAUUUGCCCCGGAAAAUCUCAUGUGCAACACACGUGUUGUAAUAUUCCGGUCAAAAUUGUCGGAAUAUUCCUUUUAGGAGGCACCGUGCAAUGAAUUAACGAGGUCAAGUAAAAAAGUGUAAUUUUUUUUUGUUUGGGGGGCAAAGUGCAAAAUGGGCCAUAGUUUAGGGGGCAAACUGCUUUUUACUCCUUAAACAUUAAUAAUAAAUAUGCUAUACGUAAUAAUGAAAAUCAAAAAAUAAUAUAAUAAUAACGAAAUGAUAAUCAUGAUCAUAACUUUUAGAAAAACAAAAACAUAAAUGAAACAUACCGACCAAUAAACAUCUUAAUAAGAUUAACAAGAUAAACUAUAAGUAUACAUUAAAAUUCAUUAGAUUUUUUUUUUAACCAAAUGUUGCAUGAAUAAAAUGGGGCCUCCUUAAAACCUUAUUUGGCCAGACAAGGAAAAAGUAUCCCCUGAUGUUUAGUGAUCAAGAAGUAGAAUAUUGUUCCCACAAGGAAUGUGCAAUUUCAUCCCUAAAUUGUGCGUGAGCUUGAACCAUAGCUUGACUUGGAUGACCUCUGUGGUAGAAUGAAUCCACAUCUACGUCUUCCAGCUCAAGUUCCUUGUUGAAAAUUUCAUCAGCACGACUAAACUUUCGGAUAUAAUUGCGUAAUGCACAACAAGUAAUGACCAAUUGCACUUGCCUAUGAAUCUUGUCGCUUGGCAUUCCCCAUGCCAAAAUUGGAAAACGCUUCUUCAAAAUGCCAAAACAGGAUUCAAUACAAUUCCUUAAGCAUGCAUGUGUAUAAUUAAAUAUCUCAUUUGGUCCAGUCAUUGCUCGAGUUCCUCUAUUAAAUUCUUCUAUAUGGCGCCUACAACCUCUAUACGGCGCAAGAAAACACAUGUAGUUCAUAUAACCAGCAUCAACAGCAUCAACAAGGUAAUAUUUUCCUUUGAAACUUUAGACUUAGUAUAUAUAUUUUAUUCUUAUGUAAUAUAAACGACAUUAUAUUGAAAAUAAAUGAGUACCAUGCGGCGGAAAAGGAAACUUUGGAUCAUUAGCAAUGGCAUUAGGAAGCACCAGAGCAUCAUUAGCACUUCCUUCUCAUCCGGCAUACACGUAUAUAAACAUGAGAUCAAAAUCACAUAUUCCAAAGACAUUCUGCGAUAUGUGUGACUUUCUUGAUCUAUAUGCAUUGCGUUUAGAGGCAGGAACUCAUGCUGGCACUAAUGUUCCAUCUGUUACACCAAUAGCAUCCUGUUAAGUAUGUAUUUAAGGCUUAAAUAAUCAAUAUAAUAAAAUAAUUGAAAAAAUAAUGAUAAGAUACCUCGAAGAACGCAAAUCCGGCUCCUCGGCAAUUAUUGGAUGUAUUUGGUUGAAGUUUGGAGGAGGAGUUAUCACUCCAAAUGCCAAUAAGUUUAAUGCCUUAAUCACUCUGUAAAUGUGACGAUUUCUUGUUUCUAAUGAAUGUUGAAAUCGUUCCAUACUAUCACGUUGUAGAUGAUGCAUUCCAACAGUACGCAAAAAUAAGGCCAACUCUUCGUUAACAGAUACCCGAGCGUAUUUCGACAAUAUUAAGUGGCCUCGACUUGUCAAUGUAUGAAGCAAGGACAUGAAAGUUGGUUUGUUCAUCCGACAAUUAUCGUAAAACCUUCCGUCGUGGUCGUGUAGUAUCUCACCUACCCAAUCAUUUCCACGAAGCAUAGACGUAUUACGUGGAACCCGAGUAGGAAAAAAAUACGGUAUCACAACUUCCAUUAUCAACUUAUACACUUGAGAUUCAUUACUGAAUUAUUCAUCUGAAUUAUUUGUUGGACUUCGUGGGCUACUUGGGCUACCUUCACUCCCAGUAGACAUUUUCCUUCAUAAAAUAAUGAUAAAAUUCAAGAAGAAAAUAUGAAUAAUGCAUAAAUAUAAGAACAUAAACAAACAAUGAAUUAAAAUAGAAAAUAACGUUAAGAAUACACAGGCUAAAAAUACUCAUACAAUCCAAUGAUUAAAACAAUACUUGAAAAAUUGUUUAAUCGACCCUAAUUAAAAAAAACCCUUCAACCCAACACUCUUGAAGCCAUCACCUUGCACUCAUCACCGCUACAAAGAAUUCAAUCAAACCAGUCUAUCCUCACCAUCCAUGGUCAUAAACAAACUCCUCAUUGUCACAAUUUAAAUUUCUAUUAAAGCCCUCAUACGACGCAAUGAAUUUGUACCAGUAAGCCUCUUGAUGGAACUAUAACAUUCAUCCAUUUGGUCAUUACAAGUCACUUGCCAACUGUUUUUCUUAUCCUGCAUCUGUCCACCAAUUUGUUGCAUCACCAUGGUCAUGGAUUAUGUCUUCCCACUCUUACCCCUCUUGUAGUGCUUGUUGCUACGGUUGCUUGGUCCACAAUCGGGAUCCAUAUUAACCAUGAAGUCAGCGCUAGAUCUUUUGCCUCCAAAAUCUAUUUUAUAGAACCUCCUACAGUCUCCGUGUCAUCAUCAUCACUAUCAAUGGGUCCCUGACAUCCGGACCUUGCAUGUAAACCUGUUGCAUAAGUUCUAUAAAAUAUCUCGGUGCAAUUAUCGUAAUGGGGAAUUCUAUUACUAAGCAUCUUAGCAUAGUCUUUAUUUCCUAUUCAAUAGACAAAAGAAAAUGUUACAAGGCAAUUCAUUUUAAACUAACAAAUUUUUAAAUUGAAAAUAUAAGUAAACUACACUUACAACAAUAACUGCAGCCAGGCUUUCCGGCUCACCGGUAAUCUUCUUUGUAUGUUCAUCAAUUCCAUAUCAUGUUUAUGUGUUCAACAAUUAAUAGUACAGUUCCAUAGUGACCUUAUUCUUGUGAAUUUUUCCCGACACUGUUUGACAGUGUAGUGGAACUGGUAAUUAGUGGACUCGUUCAACUGACCAGCAUGUAUAGUCCAGAUUAGCCCCGAAAAGGUUGAGUUUAAUAAAUGUCCUUGUAGGUAAUACUCAUAGAAAUUUUGAAUUAGAAAUUCCUCAUUAGCAUAUGGCCAUUGAGCAUUUUCAGACAUGUUGUUUGUUUCUAAUUACUUAAACCUCUAUGCAUCAAAAUCAUAUAAUCGAAUAAAAUUAGUUAUAUCAAAUAGUAAGACGUAUACAGUUAAAUAAAAUAGGUAAAAGUUUGAUAAUGGUGAAAUACUUGACUAUUAAUUAGUCAAGUAUCAAGUACCACAUAUUAUCCAAUUUAUGUUACGGGUUGCCACUGUUAUGUACCUUCAAAUCAGUGCUGAAGGAAUAAAAUAUGCAAAUAAUUACGGAAAAGAUGCACAAAACAAAACAUUAACAGAGAACUUCACAAAAGACGCACUAAACUAUACAUUAAAGAGAGCAUAAACAAAAAAACAGAGCACAUGUAGAAAUCUCAGAUUAAUUAGUAUUCGACUGGUAACAUAAACAGAGUACAUGUAGAAAUAUUCGCCUGCUAAUAUUUCAAAUUAAAUUAUAUCAAGCUCCCAACAUAUCAUUCGCUCAAGUGUGGAACUUCUCCUCGAAAUCCAAAAUAAAAAAUUAUAAUUAGAAAAAUAAUUAACCAAAGACGAUUACAGAAACUCAAACACAUGUCAAAGGUCUCAUGCGGAUCUGAAAUAAUUUAGAUAUAAUAUUCUAGAUUUAGAACAAACAAGUUUUAGAAAAUUCAUAUACCAACUAGAUCGAACAAACAAAAAUAUCUUCAAGCAUCGAUUUGAAGUUUUAACGAACAACCCACAUCAUUUCGUCUACAAACCAUAACAUAAACAUCGAUUUGCAUAAAUUAAUUGAAGAACCAUUACCUGCGACUUCCUUUUCUUUGAGAAUCGAUCCAGUGGUAUAUUACUAUCAACAGAAGAAUCAACAGAAGAAGAAUGGUCGUGGGAUGCAGUUUGGGAGUCGGAGUGAACGACCACAAGUGUUUUACAGGGAGAUGAAGACAUAUAACCCUCAACAAAUGCAAUUUAUAAGCAAGUACAAAAGAGUAAGCACAAUAAAUAUAUAUAUAUAUAUAUAUAUAUAUAUAUAUAUAUAUAUAUAUAUAUAUAUAUAUAUAUAUAUAUAUAUAUAUAUAUAUAUAUAUAUAUAUAUAUAUAUAUAUAUAUAUAUAUAUAUAUAUAUAUAUAUAUAUAUAUAUAUAUAUAUAUAUAUAUAUAUAUAUAUAUAUAUAUUAGAACACAAUCUUCAAUAUACCACAACAUAAUAAAGUCAAUUAAUUGAAGAAUUGAAUUCCAUCUUGAAUAAGAUAAUAGACUUUAUCAGAAAAUGAAGAUGGGGAGAGAGGCUGGUAUCGCUGCCGACGGAGAGAGAAAGAGAUGAACUGUAGAGAGAGAGUGGGGUGGACAGAGAAAGGAAUUUGUUUUUUCCUUUUUGGAGAGAGAGAGAGAGGGGGGAAAUUUAAUUGCAAAUAAAAUAUUGGGGGACCAAGUCUGAAUAUUGGGCGGACAAUUGGAGACAAAAAUUGAAUUACUUGCCCAAAAGAAUAUGAAAAAUUGAAUUUGAAAAGCGAACCAAACAUUGUUGUAUUUCCCCGAAAUCUUGAAAACAAUAUGAGAAAUUGUCCAAACAUAGCCGAAGAAUUCUGAAUGCAACUAAUCUUAUCUAUACGACAGAUAUAUUUGAAAACUUAGAUUAACACUGUAUCUCAGGUUUAUAUGAAAUCAAAAUAACAUAACAAGACUAAAAAUCAGGCACCACAAGAAUUUCAUAUAAAAACUCACUAGUACAAAAUUCAAGAGUCACUUAAAUCUAAAGCACUCAAUGUCACAUAAAGAAGAACACCACGACCAAGAAAGGAAGACAAUCUGACAUGAUGAACGAACAAAGUGAUCCAAGACGUUUUACGAACAUUGAUUAAAACAUUCAAAGUUAGAACAAGUUGAUUAAAGAUUUGAACUUCACCCUUUGGAAUAAAAAUUAUUCACAAGUUCAUAAAAAUGUGAACAAAUAGAGAAUUUUUUGGGUGGAUUCUUUGACGGCUAGGUCUAUCCAUUAACAACUUUGUUAAAUUAAUGAGGUAUAUACUCAAAUUUAAAAUCCAUUAAUGAGCAGCAUGUGUUAAUUGUAAUUUCUUGUAGGAUGUUUUUAUCUACCAUGACCAGUAUAGAUUUUGACGUAGGUGAUACCGGAAGUCGUUUUUGGUGUUGCACAUUGCAUCUUAAUAUGUUUUAAUCAAAUGUCAAAUGUUUAAACUAGUGAAAUAAGACUGACACAAUAUUUUUUCAUGAACUUCUCGUCAUGUUAGCCCAUGAUUAAUAUGAUAAGUCAUUUGUCAAGGUCCUUGCUUGGCAAAUUAGAAGCUGGUUUGAAUAAUGAUCUUACCUUGUUUUCUUAGUUGCAUAAAUUUGUCUAUAGUUUCUGGUAUUUAUAAGAGCCUAAAAUAGUUAUCAUACAAAUUCGAAUAUAUUAGAAUGUGUUGAUUCUAUCGACAUUGUAACUAGACUGACUCAUUUUGAUUUGUACACUGGAACUUAAAGCCUCAAAAUGUUCUAGUCAUUAAAGGUCAACCAACGCCUACAAAAAUUUUAGAUAUGGGAAUCCACAUUCACUUAAUAAAGGAAGGCAUUAAGUACUUCACGUGAUAACAAUCUAUAAUUUUAUUUCUUCGAACGCUUUCAAAUAAUGAAAACAUAGAUUGAGUGAAUCCAUUCUUUUUGUUCUUUCAUCCCGUCUCAGUAGGCCGUGGUAGUUCGUGAUAGCAAUCUCAGAAAAUAAUCGUUAACAUACGACAAACUUGUGCCGCAGACUCAUUUAAUCUAAAGUGAAUUCUACUUUUCUGUAUAACCAAAGGCCAUCACUUAUUUGGAGAUUCAUUUGAGUGUGACCAUAAAAUAGUGGAUGGUUAUAUGAAAAAAAAACAUCUUGAUAUGUCAUAUAUUAGAAGCUAGAGAUUUCAUUCCUCAUAGGGAUGGCAAUUUGACCCGCCCCGAGCCGCCCGAAAUUUUCAGGUAUUACCCGCCACGAAAAUAAAUGGGGCGGGUAUGGGGAUUGAUUUUUUUUUUUUUACCGGGUACAGGGACGGAUUUGCCUAUACCUGCCACGUCGACCCGCCCUACAUUAUUUAUAUAUAUAUAUAUAUAUAUAUAUAUAUAUAAAUAUUAGCUACAAAUUGGGAAUUUUAGGUUUUGAUUAUAUAAUGAAAUAUUAGUAUUAUAAUUAAAUAUUGGUUUGUUUGUUGAAAUAAGUUUUUAUAUUAUAAUUAGAUUGCAUAUUUAUUUAUUAAAAAAAAUAGACAGCGAUUUUUACCCGCCUCGAUACUCGUGAGGAUUUUAUGGGGCGGGUGUGGGAUUCUUUUUAUAAAGUUCGGGGAUUUUGAUGGGGAUGGGGAUUUCCAUAAUGGGGCAGGUAUGGGGUUUACAAAACCCGCCCUAUACCUAUCCCAUUGUCAUCCAUAAUUCCUCAUGUACUCGAAGUUGAAACAAGUUUGAGUUAAUCUCACUAAAAUACUUGCUCGACCGGCUAUCAGGACCAUAUUUUUAUUUUGUUCCGUUUUAUUAAGUACAGUUUGUACAUAUUUAAUUCUUUUAUUUGAUUGUUAAAUAAUCCAAAUACUAUAUAAAAUAUUAAGUCAAUCUCGAUUUUGAGACGUCGAAAAUAGGUUCUUAGUUAUCCGAGGAACUAGCGAUAGACUCGAAACGGCGAAAAUGUGAUAGCCAACCAUAAGCUCUCAUUUCACCAUUUCAUGUAUUCAGCUAGCGACUCAGAUAAAUAAAAGCCUUUAUUCGACUUCCCAAGGAAAUGAUGAUUUAGGACAUCUUUAGCGUUUGGCCUAUCUAACAAUCAAACAAAAUCAAAGAUGUACAAAGUGCACUUAAUCGAAAUAAAAUGAAACUAUGGCACCAAAAACGGGUAAAACGUGUAGUUAAUGAGUAAGUAAUAAGAUCUAUAUCCCCUAGUAUAUGUUUUAUCAAAAAACUAUUUCAUACCACCAUCAACUAUUUCACCAUCACGAUUAACCUCUUAGCAAAUGAGGUAUGGCCUUGAUUCAUACAAAAACAAAUACUCACAUCAAACUAAAUGAUUAUGCAACAUAACUUUCUUAUGUUCAUGAUUAUUUUGAGUUCGUCAUCAUGAACUACCACGUGCUACUGAGGCAUAAAUCAAUGAAAAGAAAAGGAAACGCUCAUGUAUGUUUCAUUAUUUGAAAUUGUCUAGAGGAACAAAAUGGUAUUUAAUUGUCACGGAAGUUUUGUAUGAUCUCCUUAUUUAAGGGCUUAAUGAUUCUUAUAUUUUAUUUUUUUGCAUAUAUUAGUUGACCUUUAAUUACACUAACAUUUUGGGUAUUUAUGUACAAAUAUACAAAUUCAAUUGAACGUAAAUGGGUCAGUCAGAUAUCAAUGACGUUAUUAACAUAUUAUAAUAUAUUUGCAUUCUUAUGAGAUAACUAUUUUAUUUUCUUAAUUUGUUUUCUUGAAAACAAGAAAGCAAAUUAAGAUCAUUAUUCACGAAUUCAAAGUCAACUUAUAAUUCAUUUUAAGCAAAAUCUUUGACAAGAGGAAACUUAUCUACUCGAUCAUGGUCUAACAUAACAAGAACGUCAAGCUCAUGUAUACGUAACUAAUUUAUAAAUCUUAUUCAACCCCUUUAAAUAUUUGACAUUUGAUUCAAACAUAGUUCCAAUGUGCAAAUACCAAAAGAUUGUUACCAUAUUAACUACGUCAAAUAAAUACAAAUCGUAAAUAAAUAAAAAUAGUUAAAUGAAAAAACAUUCACGGCAUGUUUGUUAAUUAAUGGAUCUUGAACACGAGUAAACCUCAUUAAUAUGAACACUAUUGUAACAAUCUCUUGAAGUUUUCCAAAUCGACCAGUCUGAAUCGAUGUUUGGCCUGCCCAGUACGUCACGAAAUAAAAAUCGGAAAAUAUGAAACCAACUAAAACACGGGUUUGACCGAUAAGAAUCGGUAAACCCAGAAACCGGAUGAAGAAUUGGGUUUUCGCUUGAUAAGGUGCGUAGAUGGCCGGAUCUAUGCGAAGGGUGGUCGUGGGUGAUUAGAUCCGAGCUGUUAAGGUCGUGGAUGGACGGAUCUGAGUAGGUGACCGUGAUUCUAUUGGUGGACUGCCGGAUCUUGGGCUGAAGCAAAUAAAGAAAACAAGGAAAAAAGGAUGUGAAGAUGCAGAGGAAAAUCAAGAAAAAUAGGGGGAAAGAACGAAGAGGAUGUGCGUGAAAUGGAGCUCAGAAAGAAGAAAAAGAGGGAGUAGGGAGAGAAUGGGGACUGAGGGGUGUGACUGGUGCGUGUCAGGAGGGGAGAAAGAAGGAGUGGCGUGAAGAUAGGAGCGGACGAAAAAAACAUAAUAUGAGAGUGUGUAAAUGAAUUCUAAAUUAUUAUGAGAAAUAAUGGAAUGGAUUUGGAUUUAAAAUGAAGAAAACAGGAGGGGCAUAUUAAAAGAUAUUGAAAAAAAUCUAUUUGAAUUAUUAAAUUUAAUAAAAUAAUAACAAAAAAAAGUAUUAUAAUCGAGUCAAACUAUUCCAACCGUAGAUCAGUUGGGGACAACUUUUUUUAGGGUCAUUUUUAAAACGAGUAAAUAAAACGGGGUUGUUUAUAUAGGUGUAAAUGAAUUAGAGUAAGUCGCCGGUCUAAUUGGCGACUCCAAAUUGUUGGCUCAGUCAAUGGCGAAUUCAAAGAAAAAAUAAUAAAAUAUUGUACAGUCGCUAUUGACGGUGGCGACUUCAUACAUUUUUUGUAAUCUUUUAUUUGGUUUUUCGAUAUUUUUAGUCAUUUUUUUAUUAUUUUGUAUUUUUCAAAAAAAACAUAACUUAUUGUUAUUAAAAUAAAGCACGUAAAACUCUUUUUGUUAUUGCUUUUGUGAUAUUUAUUUUGUAUGAAUGUUUUAUUUGGUAAAACACCAUUUAUUAUUUUUUAUGUAUUUUUAAAAUUGUACACUUUUAUAUUGCAUUACUUUGAUAAAUAAGAUUUAUUAUGGUUAUAAAUAUGCAAUGAUUAAUUUAAUGCUAACAAACAAAAAUUACCUUGAUAUGUAUUUUAAUAGUAAGAUGUUAUGUUUUUUUUAUUACAAAACAAUAAGAAAUUGCUGGAAAGAAAUGAUGAAGUCGCCAUUUUUACUGGCGACUUCAUAAUAUUUUAUUAUUUUUUUCCUUAAAUUCGCCGUUGACCGAGCCGACACCUUUUGGAGUCCCCAGUUAGACCGGCGACCAACUCUAAUUCGUUUCACUUAUCAAAACAACCCCAUUUUAUUUACUAUUUUUAAAAACGACCCUACAACAAAAAUUGCCCCGCUCAGUUGGUUCCGUGUAGGGGCAUCCACAAUAUUGGUUUUUAAAUCCACUCUUCAAACCAUGGGGCCAACAUACCACAUACUCACAUUCAUCCUCCUAUAACUACUCUCUAAAAAUGAGUCUCACUUAUAAACUCUCCAAAAAUUAUUUUGUGCUCCAGUUGGUGCAUUUUGAUCAUUCCUAAAAUAGAUCUUUAAAUAUUAAAUUAUAAUAAAAUAUCCACUAUUAACAUAAAAAUUGAAAAAAUAAUUAUUUUAAACUAAUAUAUUUAAUUGAUAAAUCAUAUAUAGUUCUUGAUUAAUUUAAUUUUUAAAUAACGAUAUCUUAUCUAAUAUUUUAUAAUGUUUAAUUAUGUUGUGAGUUUCAUUAGUUUAUUUGUUUUGUCUAUUUUCAUAUACAAAUUAUUAAUUAUUAAAUGUUAUAAAUUAUUUAAAAAAACAUAAAUAUUAAAAACAUAAAAUAUGAUAGCGUACAAAUGUUGGAACGUCCCUCCAACUAUAGGCAUAAACAAAAUAAAACAAAAAUUAAGAGAAUGCAUGAAAAAUAAUUAUUGGAAUCCGUAAAUGUUGACUUAUUUUUUCGUUCACGACAUAAGAUUUCUCUUUCUUGUUCAAGGAUCCAAGUUUAUUAAUCAAUAAUCCAUUUUUUCCCUUAAGUGUAGGUGUUGACUCGGGAUUCAUUAUCAUUACGUAUUUCUCAAAUCUUUUCUUUUCUUGUUCUUGCAUUGCUAUAAUUAUUAUCUGAUCGGUUUCUUUUUUAGCGUGUAGCUACAUUUGUUUUGCUUCCAUUUUGGCUUGUAACUUUUGUUGUUCUCUUGCAGUUAUUCUAAUGGCUUCUUCUUCGAACUGACUUGAAGCUUGUUUUCUCAUACUAGAAACUCCUCUACAAAUAGGUCUAUGGAAGGAAAAAAAUUAUGCUUUCUAGGACCUUAUACAGUUUUGAGACCAGUAGGACGUGCUAGUCUAGUUGAACCGUGAUUAGAUAGUUCAUCUUCAUUAUCGGGACUAACUGUGGUUGGAGUCGUAGUAGGGGUAGAUUGCUCAGUUGAUGGAGAUGUGCAUUAGAAGACUCUCCCACGUCAUUUUAUCUAAAUUAAUAUCUGUCAUUUUUCUUUGAGAAGUCUUUUUUUGUUUUCCUCGUUAGUCGUUGACAUGAUGGUACCAUUUCUAAGCGUCCUUCAGAAUAAGCCAACAAGUAUCCCAUUUAAAAUGAUGAUUUUUAUUAUCGAAAUAUAAAUUCUUCGCUGCCCCCAUCUAUAGAUAAAACUUGAAAUAUAAAUGUAAAUACUUGACUUAAAUGUAUAUAUAUAUAUAUAUAUAUAUAUAUAUAUAUAUAUAUAUAUAUAUAUAUACUGUUCACAAGGAGAUAGUAAUCCCAGGCCUAAAGGAAGCAAGGUGAGGAUAGAAGAAGGCAACCUGCCACCAAGUAAGCCCCUCUUUCUCCUUGUCGGUCUAAUUAGUCUUAGAUAUUCUAUCAGGCUUGACUAGACCUACAAGAGUCGGCUACUUAGCUUAGACGGACACAAUUUCGGACCUUUGUAUUGUGGAGAUAUAUGUACAUAUCUUUAUUGAAUCUUUGUUGCCCGAUUCUUCGAAGGCGGGUCAACCUCAGGAAUCCCAGGGGGCCAAUCCCUACUUUCAUGUUUGAUCCUCUUUCUGGUUCAUCCCACGACGCUAGAACGGGUUCAGUGGCCGCUCCUGCUUGACCUCAGAUUAUGUCUUUCGCAACGUCAAGUAAUUGGAUAAUCUCGACAGCUGGCGCAUCUGUUCUGGUCUCUUCUUUUUCCGUUUAUUUCUAUUUCUAUCCCGGUUAGAUCAUGGGAUGACUCCUCGAAUCCUUUGCUUUAUUUCAUCUCUCUGACAAUGGGCUUUUGCCAAUCAAUAUCUUCUGACUUUCUCAAAUGAAGGUCGUCUUCGGAUUUGACUUGACUUGCUGGGUCCCUUCCUCAGUCAAAGACUGGGGCCAGAUUAGUAAUCUAUCAAUCCACCGUGGCUUUCUUUCUCCAACUUCUUAGCCCCGAUCUUGGGGAUUUCCUAGUGACCAAAUUGAUAUUUCCGUGAGUGGUAGAAAGCAACGUGCGACUUGAAGGACACGAUCCAUUGUGGAUUUUUACAUCCAUCAUUUUCCAUUUGUCUAGGAAUGAGGGUGCCCUUGACUCGACAUUGUUUGUUCUAUUACACUUAAGCCCUUCAUUUUUUUUGGGUUGUAAAUAGUCCACGAUGGAGCUCGAGUAGAAAGGAUUAAUUCAUUUCUCGGGGGCAAGGAUCUAGGGUUAAUGCCAAUC
rnacentral:lncRNA from 1 species